rnacentral:lncRNA from 1 species
GUUUGUGUCUCUCUUUAUAUUCCACUAAGGUCGGUGAUCUUGAUGCCACACACACUCAGAUGUGUGUUCAUCUCCAGAUACUACUCCAUGCUACCUGCCCUUUUUGUUUUGUUCAAUAACUGGGUAUCAUAUCCCGGCCAGUGUGCCAUCUAUUUUGUGUUUGUUUCCUUCUAGUUCCAAAGGGGUCAUCAUGAUGUUACCUUCUUUCGAUAUGGUGCUUUGCAUGACAACUGUUGUAUGGUACCAUCUUGUUGGCCAAUAAAUACAUCUUAUCCUAUGACCCUUUGCUAUGACCCUUUGCAAAUAAGUACAAGAUUGUUAUAAGCGUCAAUACUCAGUAUAAUUGAUCGCUGCUGUGAGUUCCCUUUCAGCUUAUCGUAGGCACACAUUAUUGCUAGCACGGUAAAGACAACCAACACGAAUGAUGAAGUAAACGUAGCGGUACUUUUGUAUACCAACACCCUUACUUAAAUGUACUGGUGUCAUUCCCUACUGGCACAUAUAUUCUUAUAUGCUAGCCAGAUUGGAAAAUUAACCAAUUAAAAUAAUUAUUUCAAGAUAGAAAUAACUUAUCGGCUUCUCGAAGCAUGUGUAAUUUUAAUUCAAGGACUCAAUGGAAGUUGAAUCACUUCAUCUAGAUUGCCUUCUGGAUUUUGGUUAACUAAAUUUAACAUUUGUGUCGGGGGGAAAUAUUAACGAUUUUCUUACGCUCUCUAAUUAACGGAUACAAGGGCUAGGGCCCACCCCUAAUACCCAUAAUCUCCGCUAACAACACAUCCCAGAGGCACUCCGCUCCGCCUCGCCCGACUUCAGGGUCGCAGGGUCGGACGUGCCCGACCCCCCAAGGCCUCGCCUCGUCUCAGCCGAUGGAGUUCCGCCUCGCCCGACCCUGAGCCCAACGGAUCGGACGCGCCCGACCCCUCGAAGCAGGACUCCGCCUCGCCCGACCCUGAGCGCAAGCGGUCGGACGUGUCCGGUCCCACCUGACAGAGCUCCGCCUACCCGAAGGUACGAGCAGGUCAUCAGACGGAAGCGCGGGCUCUGUGAGUCCCCCUGGGCUCACCCAACCGAUGGGACCGCGCAAGCUUCCAGAUACAGUUCUGACACAUGGAGAGGCGCCCGCGUUCCUCGACAUGACCUGUCAAAAUGUUGGUCUGCGCACUGCUGCCACGACUGCACAGGGCUACACCUGCACCGUCCUACCCCACUGUGACAUCUGUCAUAGGGCACUCAUCGCUCAUACCAUCUAAUGGAGGAGGGAAAACCGCCUAGUUUUCCACGUGGGCUAGCAAGAAGAGCACGUCAGCCACGCCGCCCCGUCAGGGUGCAUGGCUACAGUGGUUGACCAUCACCCGCGACGUGCACAGUCACAGUGGCCAGUCGUCACCACCAACUUGCACAGCUACAGUGGUCGGCCGCCAUGCACGACUCGCGUGUCCGGCUACAGUGACCGACCGCCGAGUCACCGAUGGGACCCAACGGCAACCCCUAUCCCUUAGUAGCAGUACCGACAAGACGCAGAGACAAGAAGGGAAGACGACGUCUCUAGUAGCCCCACUUGCUUCCCUUUUUACCUUUCUACCUGUUUACCUUCCUUACUCCCGGCUCAUUUGUAACCUCUGUAUCCUCCUUGCACUAUAAAAGGAGACCAGGGGGUCUGAGGGCAAGGGACCCUCGGAGACCGAACCCCGAAUUCACCCAAGUACAAACCAACCGAACCACCAGACGAGAAAGACUCACAGAGAUCUGGGAACCAGCUUCCCUCUCUCACCUAUUUGUAGCCUCUACUCCAGACUUGGUACGAGUAACACGAGCAGCCACCCGCACUGGACUCCUCCGCCAGAAACUGGUCCAACCAGUCGGGUCCCUCCCCCUGCUCUUCGUCCUCAUCAUCCUCAUCAUCGUCGUCCUCAUCCGUUGCCGUGUCUGGCCCCUCCGCAGCCUUCAGAACUCCGCUGCAGCUUUCUUUUUCUUCCUCACCGUCUCCUUGUCCUUCCUCUUCUUCUGUGCUUCGUCGAGGAGGCGGUUCCGCUGCCUCUGCACCACGUCCUCUGGCACCGGUGGACGGGAGGCUGUGACAUGGUUUAAGUUACCCUGCAGAUUCGAAGACUCCGCGUCAGAAUAGCAAACCAGGAAAUGCAGGAAAGAAGAACGAGAGUGCAAAUUUCUAACCAGCAGGACAUAGGCCUCGUCCGGGCGCAUCGGAGGGUGCCCCGGCACCGGGAACACGACAUCCCUGUCACCCAAUGCAUCCCGGACACGCUGCUCGAUCUCGGCGUCGGCAAUUGCACCCGUCGCAAGGACGGUGCUGUGGUACGCCCCAACAACUCCGGCCCCGGUCAGGCCCUCCUCCUUCAGAAGGUUGAUGGCUUCGAGGAGACCCCGGAUAUUCUUCUUCUCCUUCUCAACAGGGCCAUAUGUCCACGUUCCCGGUGCCUCCACGAUGACGCGGCCAGUGAACUCCGUCAAGAGGACAUCGGGGCGGUUCUUCACAUAGAGCCACUGCUGAUGCCACCCUUUGUGGGAUGACGGGGUCUUCAUCGAUGUAUACUCCUUGGGCCGAUGGCCACAGAGGUGGAUGCCGGCACACCCCAUCAGCAUCGGAAUCGUCCGCGUCUGGUUUCCUCUCUUCUCGGUCCUCUGAUGAAGAGUGACAGCGAAGAAGUACUUCCACAGGGCGAAGUUGGGCUCGAUCCCCAGGUAUCCCUCCCAAAGCACGACGAACGCCGCGAUGUGCUGGAUUCCGUUGGGGUUGAGGUGCUCCAGCUCAAUGCUAUAGUAGUGCAGCAGCCCCCGGAAGAAGCGACUUGGGGGAACCGCGAACCCCCUCUCGUGGAAGUGCGCGAAGGAGACGAUGUACCCGUCCUCCGGCUGUAGCACGGCCUUGUUCCCGGGAUACCGCCACUCGUUCUCGGCGAUCCUAUCGCGAAGAAGGCCCUUCUUCACGAGACCGAUCACGCGCGCGGUGUUGAAGAUUGACCAAGACCUUGAAUCCAUCGCCGAGGAAGGGGAAGGCUCGACGGCGGUGGUGGAAAGGUGAAUGCUCUGGCUCGAAAGAGGAUGAAAAGUGAACAAGGAGGCGAGAAAGGCUGAAGACGAGUGCGGAGCGGAGCAAGCAAGGUAAGCUCUCUCGUUUUACAGGGGGCGUGCGAGAAACGAAAGGCGAACCGAACGCAUUUAUUGCGACGUCAGGUAUGCCCCAUCGCCUCCGCCUUUCUUCGGAAACCGUACGCAUGAUUUCUUUUUAACCGCAGGGAACGCUACGCCCCCUCGCCCCACGAGCCCGGUGUUUUUUGCCGCUUCGUCUCCUGGAGGUCAUGCGCACAACUUCCUCCACAAGCGGCCCAGGGCCCGCUUCAGGUAAAAAAGGGAUACAGAGCUGAAAACACUCUAACGGCCCAUUACGGUCCAGGGGUUCGAAGGCUGGCCCUCUAGAGGGUUCGACAUCCACCCCAGGACAUUUCUUGAGCAAGGGGUGAGAAGGGACGGGUCCGCUAGCGACCACUACCCUGGUGAACAAAAGCCAAGGGCGUCCCGACCUCACAUUUGAGUCUCGAUUGGCGUUUAAGUUCAUGGUUUUUCCCCGAAGAAAGGCAAAGUGCCCCCGGAUCCGGUUGAACAGACCUGGGAACUAUAUGAACUGGCCGUCCGAAAUCUGGAGUACGCCACCAGCUUGGCCCAAGCCGGACCCGCCCGAACAGGGACCGGGACUCCACUCGAACUGACCCGUUAGCAGCUCACCGAGCACCAUGGUUCGUCCGAUGAGGAUAACAUGGCACGGCUCACCCCCUCCGUCCCAACGAACGGACGCUGAGGGGUAACGACUAAAAGACGAUCCGACCUCUCGAUCGGUCCCCUGCAAUGCGCGGGGGCUCGAGGGCUGGAAUCACAACGAAACGACCAUGCGCAUGGUUACGACUCGGAAUUUUGAGGCAGGAAUGGUCAUUGAAACAAUAGGGAAUCUUCCCAAACCGUACCAUCCUCAGAACACUCUGGCUACCCAAAACUCCCCGGCCAGGCCAAACAAGCAAAACUUUUCUCCUGAUCAAAUCAAGGUACAUGUUAAACAAGACCCCUGACAAACACUCUGCCGAGAGCCAAUCACAGCCUCUGGAGGAGCACCUUGCUCCACCAAAGGCUCGGGGCCUACUGUCAGGGGGAAAUAUUAACAAUUUUCUUACGCUCCCUAAUUAAUGGACACAAGGGCCAAGGCCCACCCCUGACACCCGUAAUCUCCACCAACAACACAUCCCAGAGGCACUCCGCUCCGCCUCGCCCGACUACAGGGUCACAGGGUCGGACACGCCCGACCCCCCGAGGUCUCGCCUCAUCUCAGCUGAUGGAGUUCCGCCUCACCCGACCCCAGGCGUAAGGGGUUGGACGCGCCCAACCCCUCAAAGCAGGACUCCGCCUCGCCCGACCCCGAGCGCAAGGGGUUGGACACAUCGGAUCCCACUAGACAGAGCUCCGCCUCGCCCGAAGGUAUGAGUAGGUCAUCAGACGGAAGCGCGGGCUUUAUGAGUCCCCCCAGGCUCACCUAACCGAUGGGACGCGCACAAUUCUAGAUACAGUUCUGACACGUGGAGAGGUGCCCGCGUUCCUCGACAUGACCUGUCGGAAUGUUGGUCUGCACACUACUGCCACGACUGCACAGGGCUACAACUGCACCGUCCUACCCCACUGUGACAUCUAUCAUAGGGCACUUAUCGCCCAUGCCGUCUAACGGAGGAGGGCAAACCGCUUGGUUUUCCGCGCAGCCUAGCAACUACAGCACGUCAGCCACGCUGCCCCGUCAGGAUGCAUGGCUACAGUGGUUGACCGUCGUCCGCGACGUGCACAGCUACAAUGGCCAGUCGUCACCACCAACUUGCACAGCUACAGUGGUCGGCCGCCAUGCACGACCCGCGUGUCCGGCUACAGUGGCCGACUGCCGAGUCACCAAUGGGAUCCAACGGCAACCCCCAUCCCUCAGUAGCAGUACCGACAAGACGCAAAGACAAUAAGGGAAGACGGUGUCUCCAGUAGCCCUACUUGCUUCGCUUUUUACCUUUCUACCUUUUUACCUUCCUUACUCCUGGCUCAUUUGUAACCCCUGUGUCCUCCUUGCACUAUAAAAGGAGACCAGGGGGCCCGAGGGCAGGGGACCCCCGGAGACCGAACCCCGAAUUCACCCAAGUACGAACCAACCGGACCACCAGACGAGAAACACUCACAAAGAUCUGGGAACCAGCUUCCCUCUCUUGCCUGUUUGUAGCCCCUACUAUAGACUUGGUACGAGUAACACGAGCAGCCACCCGCACUGGACGUAGGGCUAUUCCUGCCCGAACCAGUAUAAACCUCGCGCCCUCUCGUACAACCAUCCAAGCCUUACGCGUAGAGAAACAAAUUUACUAAGCCGGUAGUCUUGACCCGUGAUUCGUGAGACCGACAAUUUGCACAUACAAAUGUUAAAGUACAAAUGUUAAAUCUAGUUACCAAGCAGAAUACGAAAUAGCGGGCUAUAGUGAGGCUAUAGCGGCGCUAACUGCUGCAACAACAGUGUUGUACUAAUUAGCAGGCUAUAGCGGAGCUAUAGCGGUUGAGCACAGCUCUACGCUAAAUAUCAUAGCCCUCAAUUUUGUACAUUGUAUAUACUAUAUAAAUCUAGUUAACAUUUAGUCUAAAUGUUAAAUCGAGUUACCUAAAAUCCUGAAAGCAAAAUGUAUAAAUAUAUAUCUUUUAGGGUAGUAUAAGCUUCGAUUCCUUUUGCUGCUCUGUUAAAUCUCAUCUUUCGUUGUAGCCCAACACUCUAGUAUUGAUUUUGCACCAAGCUUCUUUGAGCCGCUCUGCCCUCUGAUUUUGCUGCGUAGGGGAAUCUUUAUCAGGUUGGGCUACUUCCAGUCGUGCGAUGUAUACCUUUGUAUCUUCUAGAAGGUAGACAGAAAACCCGCGUUCUCUUAAGGCAACAACCAGAAGAUUCUGCAGCGCACGGGGCAUAUCAUUGUUGUAGAAACGACCUUUAGUAUCGAUCUCCAACCCCUUAUAGUACUGGUUUUGCAACCAGUACCGUUAUGUCGGACCUUUAGUACCAGAUCAAAUAACCGGUUCUAAAGGGACUCCUUUAGUACCGGUUGGUAACCAGUAUCAACUUGUUUUGCGGCCAAAAAAAUAAAGAAAAAAAUAGCCAGAAGGCUAGCACACACACACAUCCCACGAAAUAUGCGCGUGCGCGGUCCAUGGGAUUCGAACCCAUGAAAUCAAGCUGCGCGCAACCCUUCGUUACCAUCUCACCUUCAGUACCGGGUCAUAACACCACCCGGUACUAGUAUCGGAUGCUGUAAUGACUCGAUACUAAAAGGCCUCUAGGGACCCUCAAAUUUGGACCCGAUACUAAUGCUAACAUUAGUACCGGGUCAAAGUGCAGCCAGUACUAAAGCAUGGGACGAAAGGUCAUAUUUCUAGUAGUGUAUAGUUGUUGUGUAGGACUGACUUGGCUGUCCUCUCUCUUCUCCAUCCCAUUGGUCUUACGCCGCCGCUCGCACGCGAGCCGGCACCCAACCAGAGGAGUGAGAGCUAGGGGCGGGUUGGGAGGUGGGGGUAGCGACUGGUGGCUAGGGUGAUGGUUGAUGUUGGCGGGGUUAGGGUUUCAUGGUUUUCAAGCUACCUACGGCCGGCGAACCUAGAGGAGGAGGUCGACAUCAGCUGCAACCCGCGGUGGUGGUGGUUUGGCCGGCGCCCCAGGCGAGGCAGCGUGGGAGUGCUGCUGGCGGGUUGGUGUUGGCGCUCAUUAUUGACACAUUUUUAGUACUAUUUUGUUCAUGGAAUAACACUCAAACGUGCUGGUGCUGCUGCCGCCAUCGCCGCCCUAGCCAUAAUAUAAAGGCAAAAUUUGCUAGAGGACAUGCAAAAUGAUGCUAGUUUGCUGGAGGGCACCGUUGACCAUGUAAUAUGCUACAAGACACUCUAGUUGUUCUAGAGUGUAUCAAUUUGCUGAAAGACAUUGCUACGACUAAAAUAAUGUUUCUGGACUGAGUUGGAGAGAGAGAUGGAGUGAAAUGUCUGUUUUGCCCAUGACCCCACUGAUCAGAUCCUUCUUCUUCCACCCUCCUUUCUUCUUUCUUCAACCAUUACCCAGCUCUAGUGUGUUGCAGAUCUACGAGGGUGGCGGCCCGGGGCGAGGGGCAUCGCUUGCCCUCAGACGAGCGCCGCGAGCGACGGCGCGGGGGCAGCAACGGCGCGUCGGAACCUGACCGUUCGUUAGCUCCUCUCGCUGCUGGGGAAGGAGGGGGAGGGGCCAUGGACGGGGUUCCCUCGAAAACCUUAGCCUCGAGCUCAGGCGGCUACGCGCAGGCAGCACUAGGCUCUUCGCGGGGAGGGGGCGCGGCCAAUCAUUGGCACCCCACUGGUCCAAUGCUGAUGAAGAUGGUGCCAGCGUCGUGAAGAUGGUGCCAGCGUCGUGUGAGGACCUCUCAUCUCCUCGAGUUCCAUGGCCAGCACAGGUGAGCGUCCGCUACCACAAAACAGAGGUGUCGUGAGAGUCAAAAAAACUCAUGAAAAUAGCUAAAACCAUCAUGAAAAUAAUCCAUGACACGACACUCUAACGAAAAUCCUCUCACAAAUAUGGUGCCAUCAAAAUACCAUUUUCAUGAGAGUGAACUGUCAUGAUUUUAUUUCGUGAGAGUAUUUCCUAUCAAUGACCUCCACGAAAUACUUUGUGCCACCAGGUCUUCAAGAUCAUUUUCAUGAGAGCCGAACGUCACGAAAGGUCCGCCACAAAUGUUUUUCCUGGGAGCCUCUAACUCUCAUCAAAAGCAUGUGGGCCGCCGCGAAAAACAGCCUGACCAAAUGACAAUUUUCAUUUUCAUGUGCUCUUACCGCCAUGAAAAUGGUCAUUUUCAUGAGAGUUGAUGAAACAAAAAAAUAGUGCCAUUUUCAUGAGAGUUCAAGCAACCAGGAAAAGGCACUAAUAAACAUCCAGAUCCCAUCCAGCACACAUCCAUGCACAUAUAUAACCCACAUAUUGCUCCAGCAACAUCCAUGCAUAUACAAGAUCCAAAUGUCUUGGUAUGAACCUACAUGCAUGUGAUGAACCAGUAACCUGCAAAAAGAGCUCAUAGGAUCUUGUCCUCAUAUUGUAGCUGUGAAAUUCUUGCAAGUAGUGUUGCAAUCAGUUCACUUUGAACCAAAAGAGCUCAAAGGAUCAUGUCCUCAAAGUUCCUCUUAAAGCUUAUGGGUUUGCUGGUGGAACUGGAAGGGCUUGAUGCAGCAUGCCAUUCUGCAAUAGAGAAAAAUUUAGAAAGCUGUACUAGUUAAAAUUGGAUGCAGCAGAGACACAUGAAACUAGUAUUUAUACAAUUCUAUAUAUAUAAUAAUUUGUCCCCUAAAUUUUUAGGAUCCUCUCGACGGUGGUGAGUCUUCCAGUAAGGCAAUUGAAUGUCCAUCGUGAUAAAAUUCUCCUUUGGAUUUAUCAUCUUCUCAACCAGAAAUCCUAGGAGUUCAUCCUUAAGCCUUACCAGUUGUAAUUUGGAAAUAUGUGAAAGUUAAACGAACAAUUAAAAUCUAAGGAUCCUUAUCAUCAUUUCCAUACGUUUGCGAAUUAAAAUAAUGAAGGAUACAAUGUUAGGUGAAAAUUCAAGAAACAAAAUUUUGUAUAGAGAUAAUGGUCCGACAUUAUUACAAGUUAAAGUUGUUUUAAAUAUCCUUGUAAUCUUCCUUUGGUUUCCUCGACGAUUCCAAGACAGUAACCUUGCUUCUAUCAAUGAUAAUUAUAAGGAGAACCCAAUGAAAACUGUGUAUUCAUAUUAGAACUAACUAAGGUUAAUUCGGAUAGGAAAGGAAAUCAAAAAUAGAUGGUACCCACACUUACUUAAAGUUGUAGGGUAGUAGUAUGUAAUGCUUGUAAUUCUGUUGCUCCAAGAAUUUGUAUAUGUGGUUCAAUGUAGACUUUGGUUGAUCCUGUAUCUGCUGUUGGUUGAAUAAGUGUUUCUAACCAUUUCUAGCCGUUAGAACUGGGACUAAAGGGAGCUCUUAGUGCUGGUUGAUAUUACUAGUCGGGACUAAAGAGCCCCCGUUAGAGUUGGUUUUCGGACGUGGAACUAACCACUCCUUUAGUCUCAAGUCCAAAAAUGAUUGAGACAUUUGUUGCUGGAUGGAACACUAGUAGAGAAUUGGCUUUCGAUGCGCCCCCUUUUGUCCCGGUUUAAAGUUGGACUGGGACAAAAGAGGGUGCGCCACGGUAGGUAAAAAUGGAGGGGGGAGUUAGUCCCGGUUGGUAAUUGCAACCGGGACUAGAGGCCCCCCUUUAGUCCCGGUUGCAAUGGCUAGCUGGGGGGCGUCGGUGGCGGCACCUUUUUGUCCCGGUUGGAGUCUCCAACCGGGAUAAAAGGUCCACCCUUUUAUCCCGGUUGGAGGCUCCAACCGGGACAAAAAGUUUAGUCCCGGUUGGAGCUUCCAACCGGGAUAAAAGGGUGUCCCUUUUGUCCUAGUUGGAGCCUCCAACCGGGACUAAACUUUCAACCGGGACAAAAGGUGUGGUUGGAGUUUUUAACUGGGAUAAAAACUCAUCCCCCAUUAUAUACCAAGACAGAGGACUUUCUUCCUCCUCCAGCCCGAGCCAGUCCAGCACAUUCACAGAGAGUUGACCUUCACCUACUCUCCGGUGGUGCCGAAGCAAGGAGGUGCUGCCCGAAGUUUUUUCCCUCAUUUUCGUGGGAAUUUCACUCAGCUAACACAAGUGUUGUGAAGGUUUGCUACUUCAUCCUCGUUUAUGCUUUGAUUUAUGCUUUGGAGAUGGAAAGAUUAUUUGUUAGAAUGUGAUGAAGUAGAAAAUGGAGAGAAUAUUUUGAGCUAGAAUGUGAGGGAGAUUGAUGUGUCAUAUAUAGUAUGCAUUCUUGCAGUGGUUUAAGAAUGAUGCUACCUUGUCCAGACAAUUUAUCUUAUCAAAUUCAAUAUAGUUUUUCAAAUCCAUACUUGUUGAACUUGCAUACCGUGUUCAUCUCUACGAGGAUAUUCUCUGCCGAGCAGCAACGUAUGUCAAGAAGGAGGUUCGAUUCUACGAGGAAGAGUGGAUACGGACAUCGUGACCGUGUCCCCUUUUCCGUAGCAUCUAACCUCUUUCAUGAUGAAGUGCGGUGCCGCCCAGUUGAGAACAUGCUCGCGAGAUGAACACAGUAUGCAAGUUCAACAACUUCUGCAGUAGUAAGGAAAGAAUUUUUGUACAUAGAUGACUUCUGCUACUUGUUGAACUUAUCAAAUUCAAGAAGGUUUUUCAAAUCCAUACUUGUUGAACUUGCAUACCGUGGUCAUCUCGCAGAGGAUGUUCUCCGCCGAGCAGCAACGUAUGUCAAGAAGGAGGUUCGAUUCUACGAGGAAGAGUGGAUACAGACAUCGUGACCGUGUCCCCUUUUCCGUAGAAUCGAACCUCUUUCAUGACGAAGUGCGGUGCCGCCCAGUUGAGGACAUGCUCGCGAGAUGAUCACGGUCUUUAAGUUUAACAACUUAUGCAGUGUUAAGGUAAUAAUUUUUGUACAUAGAUGGCUUCUGCUACUGGAGAAAGUGGCGAUGGUGGGGGUGAUCGUGGUUCCUCUUUCGGCAAGGGGAAAAUCAUAGUUGGCCCUCAGCAUAAGCCAAAGAAAAAGAGCGCACUGGAAAAAGCAAUGCUUCGUUAUUUGCAGCAACGUCAUGAAGAAGUUGUUGCCGCGGGUCAGGAACCUCCUUUUGGUCGUCGUUAUGCUCCACCCUUAGUCCCGGGUGUUUCACAUCCACUUAGUACUACCGUUUCAGGCGGCACAAAUAAACCUAAGGAUGAGGCUAGGUCAGCGGAACUUUCGUCUUCACUGUCCAAGGAUGCUUAAAGUCCUCCUAGAUAAUAACCAGUGGAUGGCUUGUUGUAUUGUAUCAUGUUGUUUGGAUCUUUAAUUUAAAUAUGUGUAUUUGGAUCUUCAUGUUGUUGUAUUGUACCAUGUUGUUUGGAUCUUUAAUCAAUUUUCACACGUAAUCCAUUGUCAAGUGUAAUCCAUUUUCAUGCAUAAUAAGAUGCAGAUGGACCGGCAAUGGAUGUAUAAUGCAGACAGGCAGAGCAAGGUGUUUAUUGAUGGCUUGCAUUAUUGUCUCGAAGUGGCCAAAGCGAACAAGCCAGAGAAUGGGUUCGUAUGUUGUCCAUGCUUCCAAUGCAAUAACAAGAAGGAGUAUUCAUAGGAUUCCUGGGGGACUAUUCACAGCCACUUGUUUAAAUACGGUUUCAUACUUAACUAUUUGGUUUGGACCAAGCACGGUGAACGAGGGGUCGUAAUGGAAGAUGGCGAGAAGGAGGAGGAAGAUGACACCAUUCCAGACUGGGUUGUAGGCCAAGCUUUUGCAGGUACUACAAUGGGCGAGGCUCAUGAAGAUGAGUUUGCAGAAAAUGGCCCUAUUGAUGACUUUGGUCAGGUGAUACGAGAUGCAUACAGAGAUUGCGAAAUUGAGAAGGAAGCAGCAAAGUUGCAGCGCAUGAUAGAUGAUCACCAAAAAUUAUUGUACCCAGGUUGCCAGCUGGGCCAUAAAAAACUAGGUACGACACUAGAAUUUGUGCAAUGGAAGGCAAAAAAUGGUGUGUCCGAUAAGGCAUUUCAGGGGAUGUUGACCAUUGUCAAGAAGAUUCUUCCCGAGAAUAAUGAAUUACCGUCCACAACAUAUGAAGCUAAACAGAUUAUUUGCCCUCUCGGAUUGGAUGUUCAGAAGAUACACGCAUGCCCUAAUGACUGUAUCCUCUAUCGUGGUGAUGACUACGAGAAAUUGGAUGCUUGUCCCGUGUGCGAAGCCCUGCGGUAUAAGAUUAGGUGAGAUGAUCCUUGUGAUGUCGAGGGGCAGUCUCCCAAUAAGAGAGUUCCCGUGAAGGUGAUGUGGUAUUUCCCUAUAAUACCACGCUUGAAGCGCUUGUUCAGGAAAAAGGCGAAUGCUAAGUUGAUGUGAUGGCACAAAGAAGACCGUAAGGAAGAUGAGAUGCUGAGACACCCCGCAGAUGGGGCACAGUGGAGAUCAAUUGAUAGAGCAUUCUCGGACUUUGAAAGUGAAGCAAGGACAUAAGGUUUGGUUUAAGUACUGAUGGAUUCAAUCCAUUCGGUGAGUUGAGUAGUGGCCAUAGUACUUGGCCUAUGACCCUAUUUAUGUUGAACCUUCCUCCUUGGCUAUGCAUGAAGUGGAAGUUCAUUAUGAUGCCGGCGCUUAUCCAAAGUUCAAAACAACCCGACAACGACAUUGACGUGUACCUAAGACUGUUGGUUGAUGACCUUUUACAGCUCUGGAAGGAAGAAGGUGUACGUGUGUGGGAUGAGGAUAGACAAGAGAUCUUUAAUCUACGAGUAUUGUUGUUUGUAACCAUCAAUGAUUGGCCUGCACUGAGUAACCUUUCGGGACAGACAAAUAAGGGAUAUCGGGCAUGCACCCACUGUUUAGACGACACAGACAGCAUGUAUUUGAAGCAUUGUAAGAAGGUCGUCUACAUGGGUCAUCGUCGAUUUCUCCCUGCUCACCACCAGCUGAGAAAGAGCAGGAUGCAUUUCAAAGGGGCGCCAGACCAUCGUAAAAAACCUGCACACCAUAAUGGAAAGUGUGUCUUCAAGAUGAUGAAGGAUGUAAAUGUAGUCUUUGGAAAGGGUCUUGGUAGCCAACCUAUUCCAAACGACAAUAACGGACAUGCACCCAUGUGGAAGAAAAAGUCAAUAUUUUGGGAGCUACCUUAUUGGGAAAUCCUAGAGGUUCGCAAUGCAAUAGACGUGAUGCACCUGACGAAGAAUAUUUGCAUGAACGUGCUAGGCUUCAUGGGUUUUUAUGGGACCUCAAAAGACACAUUGGAAGCACGACAGGACCUGAAAGCCAUGGGGCAACGAGAUGACCUACAUCCGAAAAAGAGAGAUAAUGGAUAGCACUACUUACGUCCUGCCAGUUACACUCUGAGCAAGGAAGAGAAGGAUAGCAUGUUUGAAUGCUUGAAUAGUAUGAAGGUCCCGUCUAGGUACUCCUCGAAUAUAAAGGGAAUAAUAAAUAUGAAAAAAAAGAAGUUUAUAAAUCUCAAGGCCCAUGACUGUCACAUGUUGAUGACCCAGUUGCUUCCGGUUGCACUGAGGGGUGUUCUACUAGAAAAUAUCCAGUUGCCGCUCGUAAAGCUAUGUGCGUUUCUAAAUGCGAUUUCACAGAAGGCAAUCGAUCCAUCCAAGCUAUCAAAGCUACAGAACGAUGUGGUGCAAUGUCUUGUCAGUUUUGAGUUGUUAUUUCCACCAUCCUUCUUCAAUAUUAUGACGCACUUACUGGUUGACCUAGUAAAAGAGAUUGGUAUUCUCGGACUUGUAUACCUGCACAAUAUGUGGCCUUUCAAGUGUUCAUGGCAGUCCUAAAAAACUAUGCUCUUAAUCGUGCCCAUCCAGAAGGAAGCAUCGCCAAGGGAUAUGGAACAGAGGAGGUGAUCGAGUUUUGUGUUGAUUUUAUUGAUUCAAUUGACUCGAUUGGGGUUCCAACUUCACGCCAUGAGGGGAGGCUCCGAGGAAUGGGCACCCUUGGAAGGAAAUCAAGUUUGAGCAAUGAUACUGAUUUGUUCGACAAGGCACACUACACGGUUCUACAACAGUCAUCCUUUGUGUCUCCAUAUAUUGAGCAGCACAGGCAGAUGGUAGUUUCCAAAAACCCGACCAAAUCCGAUGCUUGGCUUACCCGUCUUCACAUGGAAACUUUUCCCUCCUGGUUGCGCCAACAACUUAUGGGUAACUCUGAGAUUCACCCACAGCUUGCCUGGUUAGCCAGGGGACCUGCUAGCACAAUUGUGAAAUUUCAAGGCUAUGAGAUAAAUGGUUAUACAUUUUACACGAGAGCCCAGGACCAGAAAAGCACGAAACCAGAAUAGUGGUGUCCGCAUACAUGCCAUGGACAGAAAUAAUAGCAAGGAGUCGUAUUAUGGUUUCAUAUAGGAGAUAUGGGAACUUGAAUACGGACCGUUGUACAUCCCUCUAUUUCUUUGUAAUUGGGUGAAGCAAACUGCCGUAACCAAAGAUCAGUACGGAAUGACAAUAGUAGAUCUGAGCAAGACUGGAUACAGUGAUGACCCAUUCGUACUUGCCAACAAUGUGCAACAGGUGUUCUAUGUGAAGGACAUGUGUAGCAAACCCAAGAGAAAUCCAGAAGAGACAUGGGAGCCAAAGUGCCACAUAGUUUUUCCAGGUAGAAGAAAAAUCGUGGGAGUCGAGGAUAAAACAAACCAAUCAGAUGAUUAUGAUUAGUUUGAUGGCAUGCCUCCAUUCGCCGUUGAAGUUGAUCCAAGCAUCCUGCUAUCCAAAGAAGAGGCUCCGUACUUACGCCGCGAUCAUGAUCAAGGAACUUUCGUGAAGAAGAAAUUCUACAACGUUGUAUUGUAAUGCGCUAAAUUUACAUGACCUUUGUGUAGUAAUUGAUACAAUUUUUAAUUUACCCUAUGUAUGAUUUGAUGUGUUCUUAAAUUUGUUAGGUGAAGAUUUAUUAGAUAAACAUGAACAAUGUUAACCACAUACAUACAUGGAUUUUUCUGCGCAUUGAAAUUAUUUAAUGGAAUAAUUUCUUGAUCACAGCGAUGUAGUAAAAUAAAUAUUUUAGAGCCUAAAUGAACUGGUAUAGAAUUAAUGACUAACUCACACUUAUUGUCAAUUUACUCGCUAAUUAAAUAUAUUUUUGCAUGUACAAAAUAUGUGAAGGUUUUUGUUUUUCAUCCUGAAUUGCAGUGAAAAGAUAAAUAAAAUCCAUUUCCAAAAAACAGGCGGGAGAAGAAAACUGGGAAAAGGACCUUUUGUCCCGGGUGCCAACAGAAACCGGGACAAAAAGCCCCCCCCCUUUUAUCCCGGUUGGUGGUGGCACCCGAGAUAAAAGGGUAGGCUCCAAGCCCCACUUGGCGGACGCACCCUUUUGUCCCGGGUCCCGUCACCAACCGGGAUAAAAGGGGGGGCCUUUUAUCCCGGUUGGUGAGGGGACCCAGGACAAAAGGCCCUUUAGUCCCGGGUGUCAUUACGAACCGGGAUAAAAGGGGGGUUAAAAGGCACUAUAGCCCCUUCUACCCCCCACGCCAGUUACAGUUAGCAAAAUUUUCACCAAGAUCCCGCGCGCACUCUGCUCCGUCGCUGCCCGUCCGCCUUCCUCGCCAGCCGUCAUCGUCGUCGUCCCCCAUUGCCCCGGCCGUCGUCGUCCCGCCGGCUGACCGUGCCCAGAUAGCCUCCUCCUCCAUCGCCCCGGCCCGCCUCGAUCCUCCUGCGUCGUGCCCGGCCCCUACCUCAUCGACGCCGGCCACCUCCAUCGCGGGGCCUCAUCGCCGCCUCCAUCCUCGUCGCCACCUCGACGCCCUGGGUCGCCGCCUCGUCGCCCCUCGUCGCUGCCUCGUCGCCGUCCUGCCUCCGCCGUCUCGCCGUCCCGCGCGCCUUCGCUCCGUCGUCGCCUCCGCCGUCCCACCGCCCCAGCCACCGCCAUCCCGCCACCCCGGCCACCUCGUCGCCCCGACCACCGUCGACCGCGCGUGAGGUCCGCCGCACCGGCACUGGCGCCGGGAGUACCGCCUUGCUGACGCAAGCCCACCGGCUUGCGUCAACAAGGGCCUUUUUUAAGUUAGAAAAUAAAUAGAAAGGAGUAGUAAUUAGGUAGAAAUUCAAUAGAUUUUUGUAUAUGUGUUACAAAAUCAAAUUAGUGUAAAUUAGUUGUAAUUAGGUUCGUCGCUCUGCCUAGGUUAGAAAUGAAUCGUGUUUCGUCGUGGUUCCGUCCCCGCCUCCGCCGUCCCGCCACCCUGACCGUCGCCGUCCCAACCUAGGCACCGUCUGUGGUUCCGUCCCCGCCUCCGCCGUUCCGCCUCCAUCGCAAAUUCAUGUUAUUGCUAGAAAUUCCAAUAAAUAUGAACAAAUUAGUAGAAAUUUGGUAGAAAUUAAUCAUUGCUGCGGCCACCUCGCUCCACAAAUUCAUGUUAUUGCUAGAAAUUCAUAAAAAUUCAUGUUAUCACUAGAAAUUCGUACAAAAUUCAUGUUAUUGCUAGAAAUUCGUAAAAAUUCAUGUUAUUGCUAGAAAUUCGUACAAAAUUCAUGUUAUUGCUAGAAAUUCGUACAAAUUCAUGUUAUUGCUAGAAAUUCGUCACAAAGUACUACUAAUUUGCAAAAAUUUGUAUAAAUAUUCCGGACUUUGUGGGAUUCAUGUUAUUUUCUGAUUUCAUGUAUAUACCCUUAUGUACAUAUAACUAAGGAGAUUUCUAUGACUUUCAUGUAUGUUUCAAUCAAUAGUUGAAAUGGCAGACGAUGAGACCGCAAGGUAUCUCAUGGAGCAGAUAAUCGCUGGUGAUGGUAGUGGCGACAACCUUCCACUAUCGUACACCGAUGAAGAGGGCACCCAGGCGGACAUGUUCCUCAACAUGUCCGCCGAUGGGAAUGAAGAGCAAAAGCCCCAGCAACACCUUGCCGGGGCGGAAGGUUCCGGCGAGGUAUAUAUAACGAUUCUUGUAUUGUUUCACACCACCGUUACUACUACGUACUAAUUAACGAAUCAUGAACCGUUAGCCCUCUGGAUCGACGCAAGGGCAGAAGACACGAGGUCGUACAAAGGUGAUGGAAGGGAGGCUUGUCAUCACGGAAGUGAUAGAAGAGGGCAGGCCGGUUGCUCCCGAGAAAGUAGCAAAGAAGUACGUGAGUCAGAUCGGGGCAAUCGUCCGGGACAACGUGCCUAUCAGCAUCAGAGAAUGGAAGGGCAGAAGCACUAAUCCGUACGCCCUCCUGGAGACAGAAAGAAUAUGCUGUGGGAAGAUGUCAAGAGACAUUUCACAUUCACCGAAGGAUAUAUUGAGAAGGAUGUGAAAGCGUGGACGCUUAAGAAGAUGGCUACACAAUUUCCAGACAUUUAAGAAGAUGCUAGAUACCCACUACAUUAAGAAGGGCCGAACUCCAGACUUCAACGCGUGGUCAAAGUUGAGGGACCACUAGGAUGCAUUUGUUGAAUAUAAGAGGAGUGAAUACGAUGUGAAAAAGAUCACGACCAACACAACAAAUGCUAGUCAGAAGGGCUACCAUCAUCAUCUGGGGCGAGAUGGUUAUGGCUCAGCAAUUCCCAAGUCGAGGAAGAUGGAACAAGAUCUGAUUGAACGGGGAAUCGUACCGGCAACUAUUGAAUGGCCCGAACGAUCAAAAAAUUGGUACUACGCUCAUGGAGGCUCCCUGUGCCAAGAGGAUGGGACGUUGAUUUUCAAUAACACAAUACGUUAGAAGGCCAAACAUCUUGUGAAGAACAUUGAAGAUUCUAAGGCUGGGAGGUUGAAGGUGGACCGAGAAAAUGAUGAGCUCACAUUGGCCCUUGGUAAUCCAGAGCACCCAGGAUGUUGCCGAGGGUUCGGGGUCGUUCCGUGGAAGUUUGUUUUCCGAGGCGACAGCGCCUCGUACAGAAGCCGGAAGCGAAGAAAGGAACAGAUCGAGGAGAGCUGGUGGCAGAUGCUAGAAUCCAAAGUGCAGGCACAAGAACAAAGAAUGAUGGAGGAAAUCAAUCGUCGAGUGGCCCACGCAGUUGUGGAGUUGGCCCAAUCUGGAGCAUUGCCGAAUCCUAACAACGCCAGCCCUUCUCAAUGCCUCUUGAGCAGUUAUGCUUCUACAGGGGUCCCCGAUGCGCACACGCCCAGGUUACCCGUGGAGGAGCAACGGUUCCCCGUGGAUGCCAUCACGCAACACACCACAUGUGAGCUGCAUGCACCGGUCGGCAACCUCACUAUUAAGGUAUACUUAUACAUAAUAUUUAUGCAAUCUUGUCAAUUGAUCCACGCCUCGAUAUCGGAGUUUAACUUGUUUACUUCUACUAUAUGUACAGGUAGCGUACGGGAGUGCGUUAGCAACCCUGGCGGGGCAGAGCAGUCAUGGCAUGAAGAUUCCACCUGGCUACGCUAGCGUCCGCGUAGAGCAAAUAGUUGAUAGCCAAUAUGAAGGUCUAGAGCUCGACCUCCCGGGAGGUGACAGGGAAAGAACACUGGCAGAUGCGCUUCAUGGGAUCAUUCUAUGGCGAAAACGCUACAUCAUUAUUCCCGGCACGGAGCCAUCUCCUCAGAGCUCAAGACCACUCCCCGUAGAUCCCCAGCAGCGACCUUCUCCUCAUAGCUCGAGACCGUCAUCUCCUGCACAACCUGCUCCAGGACCGUCCCUUCCAUCUAUAUCAAGGUCUCCAUCUCCACCACAUCCUGGUGGUGGGAGCGACGACGACAAUAACAACACCCCUUCCUGAUCACCAUCGCCGGCACCAAGAGCGGCCCCCAUGAAGGAACCUGCACCACCACUAAAAAAGUCACGAGCACCGCCUCCCAAGCAAAGACAGAGAAAGAAGAAAACAAAGGAGCCUGAAGUGACUCGUAAGGAACGCUGGGAGACAAUGUCUCAUGCGGAACAGUGGGCAGAAAUCCAACAAGAGGCCAGUGAGUGGUUCAAGAAACAAGCCGAAGAAAAAAAAGCAACGGAGAUGCAGCCACCGCCAGUAAAUCGAAGAGAUUUAAACUUUUUUAUCAGGAUGGAAGAAGGAGCCAAGAAAAGGAUACCACUCUUAUCAAACUAUGAACGGGCUUUAGUAAAGGCUGAUGAAAAGGAUAAAAGGAAAGGAAAGUCAUCUUCCAGCGGUGCUGUCCCCGACCUCAGCCAUUUAUCAAAAAAAGAUGCUCAACGGGUAAAAGCAAUGCCCUUGGAUCAACAAGCAGAAGUAUUGAAGUUCAUGCAAGAAACAGGUCUGGGACUUGAUGAAUGCCUAGGGCAAGUUGAGACGCCAACUGCACCGCCCCCUGAGCCGAGAUGGCCUUAUGAGCUAGGCAAACCUCUAGUAAAGCCUUCAUUGGUACGAAAGCUAUCAACAAAGAUGUACGCAUUCCAUCAAUGGUACAUGAUGGCAUCCGCUGACUCAAGGGAGAUGCUCGGCCUGAAGGUAAAACCGAUGGAUUUUCACGACAGAGGCGAGAAAGUGCUGUGGCUAGACUUCAAGGAUAUAUACGAAGUGUACCAUCAUGAUGCCAUAGACGUCUCUCUGAUCCGCGCUUGGGUUCUGUAAGUGUCCGUUUAUCUCUACAUGUAAAUUUUGGCGUGCGUCACCGUACUAACUUCGUCUUCCAUUUCAUGUAGGAUGCUAAUUCAGACAUGCCGCCGAGAGGCGUACCUACAUAUAGGCUUCAUGGAUCCAUCUGUAGUUAACCAACAGCAGAUACAAUUAGCAUCGGAGAAAACCUUGGUGGAAGUAUACAAUUUCCUAGACAAACAAACAUUCAAGGAUUUCAUACUAUUUCCAUACAACUUCAAGUAAGUGUGUGUAUACCGUCUACUUUCGAUGUCUUUUUCCUUAUCUCUACAUGUUAGUUAGCUCUAAUAUGCAUGAACAUUUUACGCACGCAGCUUCCACUGGAUCCUUAUUAUAAUUGAGCCUCAAAGAAGCCACGUCACUGUCUUCAAUUCGUUGAGGAAAGAUCCAGUGGAGCACCAAGAAAUGCAACACAUGCUAGGCUUGUAAUAAUUCUGGACCUUUAUCUCUAUGCAAAAGUUUGUUUCCUAAAUUCUAUCCCUGUUACACUAUAUCAUUCAUUAUUCUAAUCCACAGCGUAUGGAAACAAUUCAUAAGGACACAAAAAGGUCCAUUCAAAGAAAAACUUACAUGGAACACAGACUUCCCGGUACAUAUGAAGUCUGCACAUUUAUUACAUUGUAUAACACGAAUAUUUCAUAACUUAUUUUUUUCCGUAUUGAAGUGCUUAAGACAGGAACUCGGAAAUAAUCUAUGUGGCUACUACAUCUGUGAGCACAUGCACAGUUUUAUGGGACCCAAGGGACUAAAGAUGACGCCGCACAACUUUAAAGUACGUAAAAUAAAACUAUUACUAGUUAAUUAUUUUCUAGCUCCUUAUAUGUAUUUGUUCACGUAACAUUCACAAAUUUCCAAAUUAUAGAUGUUAAAUAUUCAACAAGGACUCUUGAAGGAAGAAAGAGUAGCGGCAAUAUGUGAAGGUCUCAUUGGAUUCCUAAUGGACAAGGUGGUAGAUCCAAAAGGAGAAUUUUAUUUUGAUGGACGACAAUUAGACACUCUGAUCAGCAACACCUCGAUGGGAAGAUUGUAGAUAGAUACUUUGAUUUAUUUGUAUAUAUAAUACGCGCUAAUUAUGAUCGAUUUGUACUAGUUGAAUUCUGUAUAUGAAUUGUGUAUAAGAAUUGUGUAUAUAUAUAGUAACUGUAUAAUUACAAAUCCCAUUCGUUUAAAUACUAGUUAAUUUCAUUCUAAAAAAAUCUCAACUACUUAAGGUUAACAAAAGGGCUGCGGUACUACGUACGUGAUGCAUGCAUGAAAAAUUCAGGCGCCAGGCAGGUGCCAUGCAGGGCAUCAUUUAGUCCCGUUUGGAAUCCAGCCGGGACUAAAGGGUAACCCUUUACUCCCGGUUGGGAAACCCAACCGGGACUAAAGGGGGACCGUUACUCCCGGUUAAAAGACCCGGGACUAAAACCCCCCCUUUUGUCCCGGUUGGCUUAUCCCGGAUAAAUUUUCGGGAGAUAUGCACCCUACCAACCGGGACUAAAGGCCAAUUCUCCACUAGUGGAAGGUCCUUUCUCUACCAUGAAUAUUGCCAGAAAGAAUUGAAAGAGACCGCUUGCUAAAAACAUGUCAUAGAUGCGGACCAAGCUACCAAGGAGGUAGACCAAACAUGAUACACACCAUGCGUACCUUGCUGUGCAGACUAUGCAUGGACAAGAUACCCGACCACAUGUUGGCUUUGGUCACAUCAAAAGAAUCAUGUAGGCCAUUAAUAAACUACUUGAAGCGUCAUUCCGUAUCUUAUAUCCAUCAUCUGCAUUACAUUACAUUAAAUAUUAUUAACUAUUUGAAUAAAAUGAACCAAUUUAAAAAUAAUGAAUUGUACAUUACUACAAAAAGCCCUAGCACUGCCAGUUCCAAAAACAUCAUUGUUGACGGCCGUUAAGUACCAAAUAUGACGGUCAAUAUCCUAAAGAAUAAAGGACAAUUGGCAUUUCUUACACACAUAUUUGGUUUCGAAUAAUGUAGUUCUACAUGUCCUUGGAGAUUAUUUGGGUGUGGGUGAAAUAAUACAAAAAGAAGGAGAAAACACACUCCCAUGGCAAAGAAACAUAACUCCGACCAAUGAGAGAUAGCCACAGGGGCAGCACAUGGAUCCAUGGGCCCACAAACUGCAUCAAACCAUCUUACAAGGCGGGUAGCACCCACAACUGUCAUUAGGACCCACCUGGAAGUCUAGCAAAGAAGAAGGUUGUGAGUGGGGCCACGAGGGGUUCGGUUGAAUCAUCUCUAGCUCCCUUCAUCCCCAGCUGGCGCGUGGCGGUGGUUCAUGGUGUCCCGACAUCGGUUAGAGGACAUUCCCCCAAAUAUUCCUCCUGUAAACCAGCUCUAUGAACCUAUAAAUAGAGGGGUGUGCUCUCCAUUCCAACACACACCACAAGUUGAAGCACUCUCUCCCUCUUUAGUUUCCAAGUUUACGGAGAUAGGCUGGAGUAGCUCUGCUAAAGGUUCCAAGUCCACUUGGAGUUAAGCGUAUGUCUCUUGUAUCAUUAUUUCCUAGAGAGACUUUAUGCUAUUCAAGUUAUUUAUCUUCUUCAUAUAGUGUUAUGCUUAGUUCUUAUAUGCAUGAGUUAGUCUAAUACCCUUGCUCUAUUGAUAUGCUCAGCUUAUGUGCUCGUAUGCUAGUCAUGUACCCUUGCUGUCAUAGUAUAGGGUUAUAUGCUGUCAUGUGUGCCUAUAGACCUUGCUACAGUAUAUACUUGUUGUGUAUACAUACCAUUUGUAUAUACAUUAUUACAAGUUAAGGUAGUUUUAAAUAUCCUUGUGUUGACAACCAAAGCUUGAUCUUUUGUUUCCAUUGCCAGCGGAUUCAUCGGCUCAGAGUAGGAUCAAGACAUCAAGUUGAUGGAGUUCUUUAUAUUUCAAGAGGAGUCAUGGAGUUCUUUAUAUUUCAAGAGGAGUUGAUGGUGCUUUCAAUAUUGCAACCAGACAUCAUUGGCUCUGAAGACACCGAAUCAUCGGAGUUCUAUGAUCAGUUUCGGAACAUGAAGCCUUCAUACUCCGAAACUGGGGGGCCUGUGUUGACACCGAAUUAUCGGACUUCUAUAAUUAGUUUCGGAACAUGAAGCCUUCAUACUUCGAAACUGGGGGGUAUGUGUUUACACCAAAAUUUAGAAAUGUGCUCUGAAAGGAAGGACCUGGGAGAUCUAUUGGCUGAAAUACAAAUCCAUCGAAACUAGCCUUAUGCUAAGAGAUCAGAAUAUUGUACAAAGUCUAGAAAGUUCUAUUUACAUCUAAGUAACUCGAUAACUAGCCUUACGCUAAGAGAUCAGAAUAUUGGACAAAGCCUACAAAGUUCUAAUAUAGGUAACGUAAUGACCAGGUGAGGAUAGUUACAAGCUCGCUUGAGAUCGAAGCCGAUGUAGCCCUGCGCGCAAGAAGAAACUCACCUAUUUCUACUCUACUCUUACUCCUAGGGUUUGAUGGCGUGGCGUCAAAAGAUUGUAUUGAUUGAUUGAUUAUUUGAUACAAAGCUCAUGGGCCUAUAUUUAUACCCUUGAGAAAGCUAAAAUCCUAAUCAGUUAUGACAUGAAUCGUGACAGAAAAUCUAACUAAAGAUAGAUCUCCAUGCUUUCCCUUAUUUGGUGGAGUCGAUUUCACUUCAUAUCGGAUCCCUCCCGAUCUUCUAUCGGCUUCUAGCAUCCGGUCAUCUGCGACUGGCCUUGGUCAACAUCAGGUGUCAACAGACUUAUUUCUUCUACAAGUUCAUCGGCUGUCAGAGCCUUGUCUUAGUCAGUUGACUCUAGUAAAAAAUCGAUGUCAAUACAUGCCCCCCAAUUUUUGAAUAAAAUAUUAUAUUUCAAAAUUCUCUUCUCUUGUCAACAGCUUUUGAAAGAAAAAGAGUCACUGCUGCAAUCAUAAUCUUUUUCCCCGGGUUUUGUGAUAGCACCCUCCUCAUUUUAAGGGAUUCACCAUGUGGAAAUUAUAAUAUAACUGCUUCACCCAUUUCGUUUUCUUCACCAAACCAACUAUUGUCAGCCGCUACAACCAAAAAUCAAUUAUUCCCUUCACAUGCCUAGCGACUGCAUCCAUCACUCAUCGUCACCAUUAGUCUCCAUGUGUCAAGGCUUCUUCAACCAGCAAUGGCGACAUUAUCUUCCAUUCCACAGGUACCAUGUAUCCUAGCCAUUCCUUUCCCCUUUCAACCUGAAAUCCAAUCUAGUCACUAUAUAUCAAACCUGUGUUCUUAAUCAAUACUUGCCCCCUUGUACUUAGAAACACCCUUUUGAUCCCCAUAUCCGAUACGCAAGCAGAAUACUUUCUAGGCCCCAUGGGUAGUGAAGACCCAAUAGAAUCUAUUAAUGCUGAAAUACUUGGACAAAGUCUAGAAAGUUCUAUUUACAUCUAAGUAACUCGAUAACUAGCCUUACGCUAAGAGAUUUAAAUAUUGGAUAAAGCCUAGAAAGUUCUUAUAUAGGUAACUGAAAAGUGUGUUGACGCAAAAAUUGGAUGGUUGACUCCUGCGUACUAACACACGGAACCAGGGAGAAUCUGCUUAGCUACUGUUCGGGUUAUAGCCCUCUCGAUCCGUAGCGUGCCAGUUAAUCUGACCUGCUGAUUGACAAGUAAAAAUGUCAAAUUAAGAGCAAAUCAGCUGGUGUUCCGAAUCGCUCCACGGGACGUAUCAGUAGACAGCCGAUACGGGCAAACGACAAUCAGCUAGAUCAGCCGAUUUGCUCUUGUAUUUGACGUUUUACUUGUCCUUCUCAAUCAGCAGGUCAGAUUGACUCGCACGACGCAGAUCGAGAGGGCUAUAACCUAAACAAGAGCUAAGCAGAUUCUCCCGGGUUUCAUGUCUUAGUACACAGAAGUCAACCGUCUGAUUUUAUCAUCAACACGCUUUUUGGCACGCUCAGUGGGACCCGAUUCAUAUCUUAAUGGUAAUUGGUGAUCAAGUUUCAAACAACGUAUCCACUGGUAGAAAACUGAGCAUUAGUCCCGGUUGGUAAGGGUCAUAUCUCUCGGAUAUCCAUCCGGGAUAAACCAACCGGGACAAAAGGGGGGGGUCUUUAGUCCCGGGUAUUUUAACCGGGAGUAAAGGACCCCCUUUAGUCCCGGUUGGUGUCACCAACCGGGACUAAAGGGCCUGCCACGCCAGGCGCGGGACAGGCCCUUUAGUCCCGGUUGGUGACACCAACCGGGACUAAAGGGGGUCCCUUUAGUCCCGGUUGGAUUUCCCAACCGGGACUAAAGGGGUCCCCUUUAGUCCCGGCUCAAUUCCAACCGGGACUAAAUUGCGCUUGCAUGGCACUGGUGACGCCUGAAUUUUUCAUGCAUGCAUCACGUAUACGUAUAGUAGUACCGCGGCCCUUUUAAUUUGUUAACCUUGUAGUUGAGAUUUUUUUAGAAUGAAUUAAAUCAACUAGUAUUUAAACGAAUGGGAUUUGUAAUUACACAACUACUAUAUAUAUACACAAUCCUUAUACACAAUUCAUAUACACAAUUCAACUAGCUUAAUUAGUACAAAUCGAUCAUAUAUACAAAUAAAUCAAAGUAUCUUCCUACGAUCUUCCCGUCGUGGUGUUGCUGAGAGGAGUGUCUAAUUGUCGUCCAUCGUAAUAAAAUUCUCCUCUUGGAUUUACCACCUCGUCCAUUAUGAAUCCAAUGAGACCUUCACAUAUUGCCGCUACUCUUUCUUCCUUCAAGAGUCCUUGUUGAAUAUUUAACAUCUAUAAUUUGGAAAUUUGUGAAUGUUACAUGAACAAAUACAUAUAAGGAGCUAGAAAAUAAUUAACUAGUAAUAUAUUUAUUUUACGUACUUUAAAGUUGUGCGGCGUCAUCUUCGGUCCCUUGGGUCCCAAAAAACUGUGCAUGUGCUCACAGAUGUAGUAGCCACAUAGGUUAUUCCCGGGUUCCUGUCUUAAGCACUUCAGUGCGGAAAAAAAAUAAGUUAUGAAAUAUUCGUGUUAUACAAUGUAAUAAAUGUGCAGACUUCAUACGUACCGGGAAGUCUGUGUUCCAUGUAAGAUCUUCUUUGAAUGGACCUUUGUGUGUCCUUAUGAAUUGUUUCCAUACGCUGCGGAUUAGAAUAAUGAAUGACAUAGUGUAACAGGGAUAAAAUUUAGGAAAUAAAUUUUUGCAUAGAGAUAAAGGUCCAGAAUUAUUACAAGCCUAGCAUGUCUUGCAAUUCUUGGUAGUCCACCGGAUCUUUCCGUAACGAAUCAAAGACAGUGACGUGGCUUCUUUCAGGCUCAAUUAUAAUAAGGAUCCAGUGGAAGCUGCGUGCGUAAAAUGUUCAUGCAUAUUAGAGCUAACUAACAUGUAGAGAUAAGGAAAAAGACAUCGAAAGUAGACGGUAUACACACACUUACUUGAAGUUGUAUGGAAGUAGUAUGAAAUCCUUGAAUGUUUGUUUGUGUAGGAAAUUGUAUAUUUCGGCAAAGGUUUUUUCCGGCGCUAAUUGUAUCUGUUGUUGGUUAACUACAGAUGGAUCCAUGAAGCCUACAUGUAGGUACGCCUCUCGGCGGCAUGUCUGAAUUAGCAUCCUACAUGAAAUGGAAGAUGAAGUUAGUACGGUGACGCACGCCAAAAUUUACAUGUAGAGAUAAUAAACGGACACUUACAGAAUCCAAGCGCUGAUCAGAGAGACGUCCAGGGCAUCAUGAUGGUACACUUCGUAUAUAUCCUUGAAGUCUAGCCACAGCACUUUCUCCCCUUCACCGUGAAAAUCUAUCGGUUUUACCUUCAUGCCGAUCAUCUCCCUCGAUUUGGCGGAUGCCGUCAUGUACCAUUGAUGGAAUUCGUACAUCUUUGUUGACAGCUUCCGUACCAUUGCCGGCUUCACUAGAGGCUUGCCUAGCUCAUAAGGCCAUCUCGGCUCAGGGGGCGGUGCAGUUGGCGUCUCGACUUGCCCUAUGCAUUCUUCAAGUCCCAGACCUGUUUCUUCCAUGAACUUCAAUAUAUUUUCUUGUUGAUCCAAGGGCAUUGCUUUUACCCGUUGAGCAUCUUUCUUUGAUAAAUGGCUGAGGUCGGGGACUGAACCGCUGGAGGAUGAUUUUCCUUUUCUUUUAUCCUUUUCAUCAGCCUUUACUAGAGCCCGUUCAUAGUUUGACAAGAGUGGUAUCCUUUUCUUGGCUCCUUCCUCCAUCCUGAUAAAAAAGUUUAAAUCCCGCCGACUUACUGGCGGUGGCUCCAUCUCCCUUGCCCUUUUUAAUUCGGCUUGUUUCUUGAACCACUCACUGGCCUCUCGUUGGAUUUCUGCCCACUGUUCCGCAUGAGACAUUGCCUCAAAGCGUUCCUUGCGAGCCACUUCAGGGUCGACCUUUGUUUUCUUCUUUCGAGGCUGUCUUUGCUUGGGAGGCGGUGCUCGUGACUUCUUGAGUGGUGCUGCAGGUUCCUUCGAGGGGGCCGCUCUUGGUGCCAGCGACGGUGAUCGGGGAGGGGUGUUGUUAUUGUCGUCGUCGCUCCCAGCACCAGGAUGUGGUGGAGAUGGAGACCUUGAUAUAGAUGGAAGCGACGGUCCUGGAGCAGGAGAUGCCGGUCUCGAGGUAUGAGGAGAAGGUCGCUGCUCGGGAUCUACGGGGAGCGGUCUUGAGGUCUGAGGAGAUGGCUCCGUGCGGGAAAUAAUGAUGUAGCGUUUCUUCCAUAGAAUGAUCCCAUGAAGCGCAUCUGCCAAUGUCUUUUCCCCGUCGCCUCCCGGGAAGUCGAGCUCUAGACCUUCAUACUGGGCAUCUACUAUUUGCUCGACGCAGACGCUGGCGUAGCCUGUUGGAAUGUCCAUGCCAUGACUGCUCUGCCCUGCCAGCGUUGGUAACGCACUCCCAUACGCUACCUGUACAUAUAGCAGAAGUAAACAAGUUGAACUCCGAUCUCGAGGCCUGGAUCAAUUGACAAGAUUGCAUAAAUAUUAUGUAUAAGUAUACCUUAAUAGUGAGGUUGCCGACCGGUGCAUGCAGCUCACAUGAGGUCCGUUGCGUGAUGGCAUCCACGGGGAACCGUUGCUCCUCCACGGGUAACCUGGGCGUCUGCGCAUCGGGGACCCCUGUAGAAGCACAACUGCUCCCGAGGCGUUGAGAAGGGCUGGCGGUGUGAGGAUUCGGCAGUGCUCCAGAUUGCGCCAACUCCGCAACUGCGUCGGCCACCCGCCGAUUGAUUUCAUCCAUCAUUCGUUGUUCUAGCAUCUGCCGCCAGCUCUCCUCCAUCUGUUCCUUUCUUCGCUUCCGGCUUCUGUAAGAGGCGCUGUCGCCUCGGAAAGCGAACUUCCACGGAACCACCCCGAACCCCCGGCAACGUCCUGGGUGCUCUGGAUUACCGAGGGCCAAUGUGAGCUCAUCAUUUUCUCGGUCCACCCUCAACCUCCCAGCCUUGGAAUCUUCAAUGUUCUUCAUGAGAUGUUCGGCCUUCUCACGUAUUCUGUCAUUGAAAAUCAGCGUCCCAUCCUCUUGGCUUAGGGAGCCUCCAUGAGCGUAGUACCAGUUCUUUGAUCGUUCGGGCCAUUCAAUAGUUGCAGGUAUGAUUCCCCGUUCGAUCAGAUCUUGUUCCAUCUUUCUCCACUUGGGAAUUGCUGAGCCAUACCCACCUCGCCCCAAAUGAUGGUGGUAGCCCUUCUGACUAGCAUUUGCAACGUUGGUCGUGAUCUUUUUCACACCUUCUUCACUCCUCUUGUAUUCAACAAAUGCAUCCCAGUGGUCCCUCAACUUGGGCCACGCGUUGAAGUCUGGAGUUUUGCCCUUCUUGAUGUAGUGGGUGUCCAGCAUCUUCUUGAAUGUCUGGAAUUGAGUAGCCAUCUUCUUAAGUGUCCACGCUUUGACAUCCUUCUCGCUAUAAUCUUCGGGGAAUGUGAAAUGCCUCUUCACGUCUUCCCACAGCAUAUUCUUUUCUGUCUCUGGAAGGGCGUACGGAUUAUCGCUUCUGCCCUUCCAUUCUCUGAUGCUGAUAGGCACGUUGUCCCGGACAAUUGCCCCGAUUUGACUAACGUACUUCUUUGCGACUUUCUCGGGAGCAACCGGCCUGCCCUCAUCUGUAACUUCGGUGAUGACAAGCCUCCCUUCCAUCACCUUUGUACGACCUCGGGUCUUCUGCCCUUGUGUCGAUCCGGAGGGCUAACAGUUUAAGAUUCGUUAAUUAGUACGUACUAGUAGCGGUGGCGUGAAACAAUACAAGAAUGGUUGUAUAUACCUCGCCGGAACCUUCCGCCACGGCAAGUUGUUGCUGCGGCUGUUGCUCUUCAUUCACAUCGGCAGACAUGUUGAGGAACAUGUCCGCCUGGGUGCCCUCUUCAUCCGUGUAUGAUAGUGGAACGUUGUCGCCACUAUCAUCACCAGCGAUUAUCUGCUCCAUGAUAUACCUUGCGGUCUCAUCGUCUGCCAUUUCAACUAUUGCUGCAAACAUACAUGGAAUCAUACAUGACAGUCAUAGAAAUCGUCUUAAUACAAAUUUGUAUAUAAUCACAGUUCGGAAUCAUACAUGUAUAUAAUGAAAUCAUAAAAUAACAUGAAUCGUACAAAGUCCGGAAUCUUUAUACAAAUUUCUAUGAAUUUAUACAAAUUUCUAUGAAUUUAUACAAAUUUCUAUGAAUUUCUAUGAAUUUCUAUGAAUUUCUAUGAAUUUCUAUGAAUUUCUAUGAAUUUAUACAAAUUUCUACGAAUUUCUAUGAAUUUCUAUGAAUUUCUAUGAAUUUAUACAAAUUUCUACGAAUUUCUAUGAAUUUCUACAAAUUUCUACGAUUUUCUAUGAAUUUCUACAAAUUUCUACGAAUUCCUACGAAUUUUGACGAAUUUCUACGAAUUUUGACGAAUUUCUACGAAUUUCUACGACGGCGAUAAGGGCGGCGAAGGCGGGACGGCGGCGGUCAGGGCGGCGGAGGCGGGACGGCGGCGGUCAGGGCGGCGGAGGCGGUUCACCGGAACCACGGGCGGUGCCUAAGCUACUACGUUGUGAUGGGCGGCAGGACGGCGGCGAUCACGGCGGCUACUCGGCGGCGAUCACGACGGCUACAAGGCGACUGUCACGGUAGCUACUCGGCGGGACGGCGGCGAUCACGACGGCGGGACGGUAGUUAACAACCUAACUACAAAUCUAACUUAACAAACUAACUAGAAAUCUAAAAAUCUAACUUAACAAAAUUAGAAAUCUAAAAAUCUAACUUAACAAAAUUACAAUUCCAUCUAAAAAAACAAAAUUAAAAAUUAAAAGAAAACGGCCAGCUCUCCCGGCGCACCGGCCGGCGCGGCAGACCUCUCGCGCGCGGGGCGGCGGCCGGGGCGGCGGGACGGCGGCGGCCGGGGCGGCCUGACGGCGGCGGCUGGGGCGGCGACGAGGACGAAGACGACGACGGCGGGAUGACGGCGGCCGAGGCGAAGACGACGACGGCGGCCGGCGAGGGGCGACGAGGAUGGAGCUGGCGACGAGGGGCGAUGCAGCCGGCGAGGGAGGCGGACGGGCGGCGACGGGCGGAGAGGGAGGCGGACGGGCGGCGACGGGCGAGGGAGGCGGACGGGCGACGACGACGGCGCAAUGCGGGACUUCGACGGCGCAAUGGGGGACGACGACGGCGGCGGCCGGCGAGGGAGGCGGACGGGCGGCGACGGGCGGAGAGCGCGGGACUUGCGAAAAUUUCGCUAAGUGUGGAACUGGCGGGGGGUAGAAGGGAGUACAGUGCUUUUAACCCCCCCCCCCUUUUAUCCCGGUUCGUAAUGGCACCCGGGACAAAAAGGGCCUUUUGUCCCGGGUCCUGUCACCAACCGGGACAAAAGGCCCCCCCUUUUAUCCCGGUUGGUGACGGGACCCGGGAUAAAAGGGUGCGCUCCCAGCCCCACCUGGCGGGGGCACCCUUUUAUCUCGGGUCCCGUUACCAACCGGGACAAAAGGCCCCCCCUUUUAUCCCGGUUGGUAACGGGACCCGGGACAAAAGGGUGCCCCCGCCAGGUGGGGCUGGGAGCGCACCCUUUUAUCCCGGGUCCCGUCACCAACCGGGAUAAAAGGGGGGGGCCUUUUAUCCCUGUUGCAAAUGGCAACCGGGAUAAAAGGGUACGUUCGGGCGGGAGACGAAACGUACCCUUUUAUCCCGGUUGCCGUUUGCAACCAGGAUAAAAGGGGGGCCUUUUAUCCCGGUUGCUGUUAGCACCCGGGACAAAAGGUCCUUUUUCCUAUUUUUCUUCUCCCGCCUGUUUUUUGGAAAUGGAUUUUAUUUAACCUUUUCACUGCAUUCCAGGAUGAAAAACAAAACCUUCUCAGAUUUUGUACAUGCAAAAAUAUAUUUAAUUAACGAGUAAAUUGACAAUAAGUAUGAAGUAAUCAUUAUUUCUAUACCAACUCAUAUAGCCUGUAAAAUAUUUAUUUUACUGCAUUGCUGUGAUCAAUAAAUUAUUCAAUUAAAUUUUUUGAAUGCGCAGAAAAAUCCAUGUUAGUAUGUGGUUAACAAUGUUCAUGUAUAUCUAAAAAAUCUUCACCUAACAAAUUUAAUUACAAAUUUUAUCAAUUAAUACACAAAGGUCAUGCACAUUUAACGCAUUACAAUACAACGUUGUAAAAUUUCUUCUUCACGAAAGUUCCUUGAUCAUGAUCGCGGCGUAAGUACGGAGCCUCUUCUUUGGACAGCAGGAUGCUUGGAUCAACUUCAACGUCGAAUGGAGGCAUGCCAUCAAACUGAUCAUAAUCAUCUGAUUGGUCUGUUUUAUCCUCGACUCCCACGAUUUUUCUUUUACCUAGAAGAACUAUGUGGCACUUUGGCUCCCAUGUCUCUUCUGGAUUCCUCUUGGGUUUGCUGCACAUGUCCUUCACAUAGAACACCUGAUGCACAUCAUUGGCAAGUACGAAUGGGUCAUCACUGUAUCCAGUCUUGCUCAGAUCUACUAUUGUCAUUCCGUACUGAUCUUUGGUGACGGCAGUUAGCUUCACCCAAUUGCAAAGAAAUAGAGGGAUGUACAGCGGUCCGUAUUCGAGUUCCCAUAUCUCCUGUAUGAAACCAUAAUACGACUCCUUGCUAUUAUUUCUGUCCAUGGCAUCUAUGCGGACACCACUAUUCUGGUUCGUGCUUUUCUGGUCCUGGGCUCUCGUGUAAAAUGUGUAACCAUUUAUCUCAUAGCCUUGGAAUUUGACGAUUGUGGUAGCAGGUCCCCUGGCUAACCAAGCAAGCUGUGGGUGAAUCUCAGAGUUACCCAUAAGUUGUUGGCGCAACCAGGAGGGAAAAGUUUCCAUGUGAUGACGGGUAAGCCAAGCAUCGGAUUUGGUCGGGUUUUUGGAAGCUACCAUCUGCCUGUGCUGCUCGAUAUACGGAGACACAAAGGAUGACUGUUGUAGAACAGUGUAGUGUGCCUUGUCGAACAAAUUAGUAUCAUUGCUCAAACUUGAUUUCCUUCCAAGGGUGCCCAUUCCUCGGAGCCUCCCCUCGUGGCGUGAAGUUGGAACCCCAAUCGAGUCAAUUGAAUCAAUAAAAUCAACACAAAACUCGAUCACCUCCUCUGUUCCAUAUCCCCUGGCGAUGCUUCCUUCUGGACGAGCACGAUUACGAACAUAGUUUUUUAGGACUGCCAUGAACCUCUCGAAAGGCCACAUAUUGUGCAGGUAUACAGGUCCGAGAAUACCAAUCUCUUUUACUAGGUGAACCAGUAAGUGCGUCAUAUUAUUGAAGAAGGAUGGUGGAAAUAACAACUCAAAACUGACAAGACAUUGCACCACAUCGUUCUGUAGCUUUGAUAGCUUGGAUGGAUCGAUUGCCUUCUGCGAAAUCGCAUUGAGAAACGCGCAUAGCUUUACGAGCGGCAACCGGACAUUUUCGGGUAGAACACCCCUCAGUGCAACCGGAAGCAACUGGGUCAUCAACAUGUGGCAGUCAUGAGCCUUGAGAUUUGUAAACUUCUUUUGUUUCAUAUUUAUUAUUCCCUUUAUAUUCGAGGAGUACCCAGACGGGACCUUCAUACUAUUCAAGCAUUCAAACAUACUAUCCUUCUCCUCCUUGCUGAGAGUGUAACUGGCAGGACGUAAGUAGUGCUGUCCAUUAUCUCUCUUUUCCGGAUGUAGGUCAUCUCGUUGCCCCAUGGCUUUCAGGUCCUGUCUUGCUUCCAAUGUAUCUUUUGAGGUUCCAUAAACACCCAUGAAGCCUAGCACGUUCACGCAAAGAUUCUUCGUCAGGUGCAUCACGUCUAUUGCGUUGCGAACCUCUAGGAUUUCCCAAUAAGGUAGCUCCCAAAAUAUUGACUUUUUCUUCCACAUGGGUGCAUGUCCGUUAUCAUCGUUCGGAAUAGGUUGGCUACCAAGUCCCUUUCCAAAGACUACAUGUACAUCCUUCAUCAUCUCGAACACACGCUUUCCAUUACGGUGUGCAGGUUUUUUACGAUGGUCUGGCGUCCCUUUGAAAUGCAUCCCGCUCUUUCUCAGCUGGUGGUGAGCAGGGAGAAAUCGACGAUGACCCAUAUAGACGACCUUCUUACAGUGCUUCAAGUACAUGCUAUCUGUGUCAUCUAAACAGUGGGUGCAUGCCCGAUAUCCCUUAUUUGUCUAUCCUGAAAGGUUACUCAAUGCAGGCCAAUCGUUGAUGGUUACGAACAACAGUGCUCGUAGAUUAAAGAUCUCUUGUCUAUCCUCAUCCCACACACGUACACCUUCUUCCUUCCAGAGCUGUAAAAGGUCAUCAACCAACGGCCUUAGGUACACGUCAAUGUCGUUGCCGGGUUGUUUUAGGCCUUGGAUAAGCGCCGGCAUCAUAAUGAACUUCCGCUUCAUGCACAGCCAAGGAGGAAGGUUGAACAUACAAAGGGUCACAGGCCAAGUACUAUGACCACUACUCAACUCACCGAAUGGAUUGAAUCCAUCAGUGCUUAAACCAAACCUUAUGUUCCUUGCUUCACUUUCAAAGUCUGGGAAUGUUCUAUCAAUUGAUCUCCACUGUGCCCCAUCUGCGGGGUGUCUCAGCAUCUCAUCUUCCUUACGGUCUUCUUUGUGCCAUCGCAUCAACUUAGCAUUCGCCUUGUUCCUGAACAAGCGCUUCAAGCGUGGUAUUAUAGGGAAAUACCACAUCACCUUCACGGGAACUCUCUUCUUGGGAGACUGCCCCUCGACAUCACCAGGAUCAUCUCGCCUGAUCUUAUACCGCAGGGCUUCGCAGACGGGACAAGCAUCCAAUUCCUCGUAUUCAUCACCACGAUAGAGGAUACAGUCAUUAGGGCAUGCGUGUAUCUUCUGAACAUCCAAUCCGAGAGGGCAAAUAAUCUGUUUAGCUUCAUAUGUUGUGGACGGUAAUUCAUUAUUCUCGGGGAGAAUCUUCUUGACAAUUCUCAACAUCCCCUGAAAUGCCUUAUCGGACACACCAUUUUUUGCCUUCCAUUGCACAAAUUCUAGUGUCGUACCUAGUUUUUUAUGGCCCUGCUGGCAACCUGGGUACAACAAUUUUUGGUGAUCAUCUAUCAUGCGCUGCAACUUUGCUGCUUCCUUCUCAGUUUCGCAAUCUCUGUAUGCAUCUCGUAUCACCUGACCAAGGUCAUCAGUAGGGUCAUUUUCUGCAAACUCAUCUUCAUCAGCCUCGCCCAUUGUAGUACCUGCAAAAGCUUGGCCUGCAACCCAGUCCGGAAUGGUGUCAUCUUCCUCCUCCUCCUCGCCAUCUUCCAUUACAACCCCUAGUUCACCGUGCUUGGUCCAAACCAAAUAGUUAGGCAUGAAACCGUAUUUAAACAAGUGGCUGUGAAUAGUCCCCCAGGAAUUCUUUGAAUACUCCUUCCUGUUAUUGCAUUGGAAGCAUGGACAACAUACGAACCCAUUCUCUGGCUUGUUCGCUUUUGCCACUUCGAGAAAAUAAUGCAAGCCAUCAAUAAACACCUUGCUCCGCCUGUCUGCAUUAUACAUCCAAUGCCGGUCCAUCUGCAUCGUAUUACGCACGAAAAUGGAUUACACUUGACAAUGGAUUACGCGUGAAAAUCGAUUAAAGAUCCAAACAACAUGGUACAAUACAACAACAUGAAGAUCCAAAUACACAUAUUUAAAUUAAAGUCCCAAACACUGCAUAAGUUGUUCAACUUGAAGACCGUGAUCAUCUCGUGAGGAUGUCCUCAACUGGGCGGCACCGCACUUCGUCAUUAAAGAGGUUAGAUGCUACGGAAAAGGGGACACGGUCACAAUGUCCGUAUCCACUCUUUCUCGUAGAAUCGAACCUCCUUCUUGACAUACGUUGCUGCUCGGCGGAGAACAUCCUCGGCGAGAUGAACACGGUAUGCAAGUUCAACAAGUAGCAGAAGUCAUCUAUGUACAAAAAUUCUUUCCUUACCACUACAGAAGUUGUUGAACUUGAAGACCGUGUUCAUUUCGCGAGGAUGUCCUCAGCUAGGCGGCACCGCACUUCGUCAUGAAAGAGGUUAGAUGCUACGGAAAAGGGGACACGGUCACGAUGUCCGUAUCCACUCUUUCUCGUAGAAUCGAACCUCCUUCUUGACAUACGUUGCUGCUCGGCGGAGAACAUUCUCGCCGAAAUGAACACGGUAUGCAAGUUCAACAAGUAUAUGGAUUUAAAAAACCAUAUUGAAUUUGAUAAGAUAAACCGUCUAGACAAGGUAGCAUCAUUUUUAAACCACUGAAAUAAUGCAUACUAUAUAUGACACAUCAAUCUCCCUCACAUUCUAGCUCAAAAUACCUCUCCAUUUUUCUACUUCAUCAUCACAUUGUAGCAAAUAAUCUUUCCAUCUCCAAAGCAUAAAUCAAAGCAUAACACGAGGAUGAAGUAGCAAACCUUCGCAGCACUUGUUGGCUGAGUCAAAUUCCCACGAAAAUGAGGGAAAAAAGUUCGGGCAGCACCUCCCUUGCUUGGGCACCACCGGAGAGUAGGUGAAGCUCAGCUCUCUAUCAAUGUGCUGGACUGCUCGGGCUGGAGGAAGAAGAAAGUCUCUGUCUCGGGGUAUAGUGGGGGAUGAGUUUUAAUCCCGGUUAAAAACUCCAACCGAGACAAAAGGAAACACCUUUUGUCCCGGUUGGAAAGUUAGUCCCGGUUGGAGGAUCCAACCGGGAUAAAAGGGACACCCUUUUAUCCCGGUUGGAGGCACCAACCGGGACUAACCCUUUUAUCCCGGUUGGUGCCUCCAACCGGGAUAAAAGGGUGUCCCUUUUAUCCCGGUUGGAUCCUCCAACCGGGAUAAAAGGGUCCCGCCACCGACGGCCCCCGCUAGCCGUUGCAACCGGGACUAAAGGGGGGCCUUUAGUCCCGGUUGCAAUUACCAACCGGGACUAAUGCUCCCCUCCAAAUUCCCGCACCCCGGCGCACCCCCUUUUGUCCCGGGCCACUUUUAAACCGGGAUAAAAGGGGGUUGAUCGAAAGUCAGUUCUCUACUAGUGAUCGGUGACUCCGCUCGAGGAGAAUUGUUUAUAUCAAGCAUAGAAAUGACAACGUUGGAAGUGGAGGAUAUAUUUUGCUCUGUUGAUUUAAUUGCCGCGAGAGUGGCGGACAAGUUCUAAUGAUUGAAGAUCAGAAGCGUCUCGUGGAGAAUUUUUCAGAAGCUAUAUUUGGAAUUAUUAUAUUAUCUCAGGAGCAGAUUAAAUAUAACGCCACCACUGAAAGCCGAUGAGAUGUAUCUAUCGGCUACAUGCUAUUCAGAUGAAUUUGAUGACAGAUUAAUUACGGAGGAGACCGACCGAUACAACAUUAUGGUUUCUUACUGCUGAUCUGUUAUGAAAGAGGAUGUGAGAAGCUGAUAAUCAAGCAACAAUAAAAUGAUAUACACGCAGGGCAUUAAAUAUUGAGUUAAUGAUUGGGAGUACUACCAUUAUCUUAUGAAAAGUCCAUCGGCUAACCAAACAGCGUCAGCCGAUGGAAGCAAAUAGUGUCAGCCGAUAGAAUGAUGUUAUAUAAGUAUAUAUAUCGGCCUCCGAGCCAAUGGGAAGUAGGAACUAUCAGCCGAUGCACACAUCCAUGGACAUAGCCGAUAAGACAUUGUAUCGGCUGCUUGGCAAAUAAAAAUAGCAUCGGCUGACCGCUUGUUAAAAUAUUAUCGGCCGAUUGCUUGGCAAAAUAGUAUUGGCUGACUGCUUGGCAAAUAAAAAAAUAAUAGGUUGACCAAAAAAGGAUAGCAUUGCCUGAUUGCUUGGCAAAUAAAAAAAAUUACGUCGGCUGAUUGGUUCCAGCAAAAUAGUAUCGGCUGCUUGUUGAUCAGAAAAAGCCGAUACUGUUACAGCUCCCGCAACUGUGCUUUGCUGUCAUCGGCUGGGUUGUUCGUGCUCCAUCUGCAAAUAUUUGUCCCGGCUAGAAAGUAUCGUACGUGCAUUGGGAUUCGGCAGUACAAAUCACGUACACGCGUAUGGUCUGCUCAGAAGCUGUCUGUUCGACGAAGUUCCAGGCCAAUGGUGGAGACUUGAUGACCAUGGUGACCUGCAUUAAUCAACAUGAAGUAUGUAUCGGCUGUUCGGUGAUUGGUAGCAAAUCAGCUUUCUCAUAGCCGGUGACAUAUGGGGCAAGAAAUAUCAGGCUUAAAAAAGGACAGUACGAUCAAUGUCGAAAGUUGUAGCCGACGGUUCUAUUAUUGUGCAGUCGAUGGAACAUAGAAGAUGCAUCUGAAUGAGCAAAAGGAAGGGAGCCGAUAGAAGGGAAUUUAAGUUGCAUGAGAUCCAAUUAAAUUAAGAUGACGAGAGGUGUUGACAUCGAAUCAUCGGACUUCUACGAAGUCUUCAUACUCCGAAACUAGGGAGUCUGUGUUAACACCAAAAUUUAGAAAUAUGCUGAUGCAAAAAAAUAAUGAAAUCUCCUAAAUAAGGCUCAAGAAAGAAAAAGCAAGAAAAGAAAAUCAAUCGCACGCGGCAAGAAUUGAAUAAAAUAUUCUAGAGGUAGAGUUGGUUAGGAUAAGCUUAAUUAGGGAUAGAGUUGGAUUAGUUAGAGAUAGUAUUUUGAUUAGAAAAGAUUGUGUACAUGACUUGUACGUGGUGCGUCAGAGGCCAUCCGCCCUAUAAAUAUAAGGGGUCGUGGCCAUUGUAAUUAUCAUCACACGAUCAAUAUACAACAUAUUUAUCUUUUACCUUUUCGGCUUCACGCCAUUGUAUUAGGAGUAGGAGUAAUGUAGCUUCCUGACGAGUUCCUUCUAGCAAGCUGUGCUGCAUUGACCUUGAUCUCUGGCGAGCUGCAAAGUUCCGUCACCAGGUGUUCUAGGCUUUAACCACCGGGCGCAUCGCUUGUGGUUUCGUCUAGUUUCAUCUACAAGGUAUCGAAUAUCAUGGAUCUUUAACUUACGCAUCGCUUCUGUCUUGAUCUACGGUAUUCACCAGUUAUCCUGCCUUGGUUAAGUCUGCAUCGGCUGAUAUUUAUCUGUUCUAUCAUCUUGCCGUUCAGUUUGCUUUAAUUAGCUUUAGAUCGGUUCAUUAUAGAUGAUAGAUCGCUUAAUAGCCUGUUGCAUCUUAAUCUUGGUUACCCCUUCAAGUGCUGUUGGGAUUAAGUUUCGUUAUGAUUGGAUUCAUCGGCUGGUGGGGUUGGUGGGGUUCAGAUUAACAUCGUGCUAAAUAUUUCUAGACUGCAACUACUGGACGCAUCGCUGUGGUUUCAUCUAGAGAUAUUGGUAGAGAGUUUAGUUUAGAUCUCAUCGGUUCGUGGCUCUAGCUAUGGUGGAGCGGCAGCUGAAUAGCAUCCUGUUUUCUAUCGGUCGCCUGGCCGAUAGUUAUUGCAAAAUAUAUUAAAUCGCCUGGAUGGCCGAUGGAUCACUCACGCUCGUCAAGGAUCAUAUCGGCCUGAUCGGCCAGUUGCCUCGGACUUCAAAGGAUUAUUUUCACCUUGUCAGUUGAAUGGUCAAACUGGCUGGCACGCCCGCGCACACCAUGCGCGCCGAUUUGGAUUUUGCACUGGAGUUAAGUAGAUCUUCCAGGUCCUCAUGUGGUGACGAAGGAUCCACCACCAUCAGGAUUUUGCGUCAACACAUUUUGGCACGCCCAGUGGGACACGGUUAUAAGGUUCAUAUUUUUAUUCAUAUAAAAAAGCAUCUUCGGCAUCAUCGGCCAAAUGAGUGUUCAUCGGCUUGUUAGAAUUAAUUCAAUAUAAUAUUUCAGCAAAAGCAGCCGAUGUAGCGAUUGGAGAUAAGGCCAAGUCAAGUCUGCGUGUAUACGCAUGUUCCGGUGGGAUCAUCUUCAUAAAUGCCAAUGACGAUUAGAGAUGAAGCUUCCUGCAAAAUGAUUGGCUACUCUAUCCGGGAAGAAUUGCUUUUUUAUGAGGCAUAUAUAGAGACCCAUGUUGCAAUUAGGGGGCGUAUUCGUGCAUUGGCUGAAAUAAAAAAAUGCAUCGGCAUAUUGAAAAUUGCAUCGGCCGAUUGACAGUCGUAUCAGCUGAUUGGAAAAAUAAAAAGGGAUCAGGGAUCCGCCGAUUGAAAAUUGCAUCAGCUGAUGGAAAAUGAGAGCAACAGUUACAAUAUUUUUUUUAAAAGAAAGCAAGUAUCGGCAAGCAGUAGCCGAUGGAUUUGUAUUUCAGCCAAUGGGGUUUUUGUUUCAGCUGAUAGUACUACUGGCUGAUGGCAAGUCCAAUGGAGUUAAAAUUGCAUUGACUGAUUGAAAUAAAAAUUAAGUAUCGGCUAAUUUAUGGCCAAGUAGCAUCUGCUGAUUUGUUGCAAAGUAGUUUCGGCUGAUUUAUGGCAAAAUAGAAUCGGCCGAUUUAUGGCAAAGAAGCCAAUAGACAAAAGCAUCGGCUGGUAGAGAAGCCGAUUGAGCAAGCAUCUGUUGAUGAGCUAUGUAUGGGAAAAAGUAUUGGCUGCUUAAACAAUUGACAAAAGCCAAUUGGUCAGACUGAGAAGCCAACUGGGAAAGCAUCGAUCGAUGGAUUGCGUAUGGGAGAGAGUAUCGGUUGAAGUCUUUAGUAUUGACUGCUAGAUAUUUGAGCAAGCGUCGGCCGAUUGACUGCUUGGUAAAAAAAACAUCGGGCUGAUUGCUUGGUUAAUAAAAAAAUUGCAUCGUUCAAGCAAAGAUUGCAUGGGCUGAUUGGUUCAAGCAGAAUAGUAUCGGUUGCUUAUAGAAUAUAUCGGAUAUUAAUUUCGAAGCAUGAAAAUAUUCAUACUCCGAAACUGGGGGGCCUGUGUUGACAACAAAAGCUUGCUGGUUACUGCAUCAAGUUUUGGUGUCAACAUACUUGAUCUUUUGUUUCCAUUGCCAGCGGAUUCAUCGGCUCAGAGUGGGAUCAAGACAUCAAGCUGAUGGAGUUCUUUAUAUUUCAAGAGGAGUCAUGGAGUUCUUUAUAUUUCAAGAGUAGUCGAUGGUGCUUUGAAUAUUGCAACCAGACGUCAUUGGCUCUAAAGAUACCGAAUCAUCGGACUUCUAUGAUCAGUUUCGGAACAUGAAGCCUUCAUACUACGAAACUGGGGGCCUGUGUUGACACCGAAUCAUCGGACUUCUAUAAUUAGUUUUGGAACAUGAAGCCUUCAUACUUCGAAACUGGGGGGCCUAUGUUAACACCAAAAUUUAGAAAUGUGCUCUGAAAGGAAGGUAUCGGCCGAUGAUGCAAAAAAAUAAUGAAAUCUCCUAAAUAAGGCUGAAGAAAGAAAAGCAAGAAAAGGAAAUCAACGCACACGGCAAGAAUUGAAUAAAAUAUUCUGGAGAUAGAGUUGGUUAGGAUAAGCUUGAUUAGAGAUAGAGUUGGAUUAUUUAGAGAUAGUAUUUUGAUUAGAAAAAAUUGUGUACAUGACUUGCCUUGUACGUGGUGCGUCAGAGGCCAUCCGCCCUAUAAAUAUAAGGGGUCGUGGCCAUUGUAAUUAUCAUCACACGAUCAAUAUACAACAUAUUUAUCUUUUACCUUUUCGGCUUCACGCCAUUGCAUUAGGAGUAGGAGUAAUGUAGCUUCUCGACGAGUUCCUUCUAGCAAGCUGGGCUGCAUCGACUUCGAUCUUCGGUGAGCUGCAAGUUCCGUCACCAGGUGUUCUAGGCUUUAACCACUGGGCGCAUCGCUGUGGUUUCGUCUAGUUUCUUCUACCAGUUACCGAGUAUCUUGGAUCUUUGACUUAUGGCACAUCGCUUCUGUCUCGAUCUACGGUAUUCACCAGUUAUCCCGCCUUGAUUAAGCUUGCAUCGGCUGAUAUGUAUCUGUUCUUUCAUCUUGCCGUUCAAUUUGCUUUAGUUAGCUUUAGAUCGGUUCAUCAUAGACAAUAGAUCAUUUAAUAGCAUGUUGCAUCUUGAUCUUAGCUAUCCUUCGAGUGUUGUUGGGAGUAAGUUCCGUUGUGAUUGGAUCCAUCAGCUAGCAGGGUUUAGAUUAACAUCCUGCUAAAUAUUUCUAGACUGCAACUACCGGGCACAUUGUUGUGGUUUCACCUAGAGAUAUUGGUGGUGACGUUAGUUUAGAUCUCAUCGGCUUGUGGCUCUAGCUAUGGCGGGGCAACAACUCAACAACAUCCUGUUUUCAAUCGACCGUCUAACUGAUAGCUAUUGUAAAUUAUAUUAAAUCGGCUGGAUGACGAUGAAUCACUCACAUUCAUCAAGGUACUGGAAUCGGCUUCACAGCCGAUAUAUUUGUCAUGAUUUAUUUUGUUGCACCAUUAUCGCUACUGUGCUAGGAUUAUAUCGGCCUAAUCGGCCAGUUUCCUCGGACUUCACAACGACUAUCAUCUCCUUGUCAGUUGAAUGGUCAAACUGACUGGCAUGCCCGCGCACACCACACGUGCCGAUUUGGAUUCUGCACUGGAAUUAAGCAGAUCUCCCAGGUUCUCAUGUGCUGAUGCAGGGUCCACCACCGCCAGGAUUUUGUGUCAACACCUUGUAAUCUUCCUUUGAUUUCCUCAAUGAUUCGAAGACAAUAACCUUGCUUGUAUAAAUGAUAAUUAUAAGGAGAACCUAGUGGAAACUGUGUAUUCAUAUUAGAACUACCUAUGGUUAAUUAGGUUAGGAAAGGAAAUCGAAAAUAGACCGUACCCACACUUACUUAAAGUUGUUGGGCAGUAGUAUGUAAUGCUUGUAAUUCUGUUACUCCAAGAAUUUGUAUAUGUGGUCCAAUGUAGACUUUGGUUGAUCCCAUAUCUGUUGUUGGUUAAAUAAGUGUUUCUGGCCAUUUCUAGCCGUUAGAACCGGAACUAAAGGGGGCUCUUUAGUACGGGUUGAUAUUACUAACCGGGACUGAAGAGCCCCCAUUACAGUUGGUUUUUGGACGCGGAACUAACAACUCCUUUAGUCCCGAGUCCAAAAACGACUGAGAUAGAAGAUCCUUUCUCUACCGUGAAUAUUGCCAGAAAGAAUUGAAAGAGACCGCUUGCUAAAAAUAUGUCAUAGAUGUAGACCAAGCUACCAAGGAGGUAGACCAAACAUGAUACACACCAUGCGUACCUUGCUGUGCAGACUAUGCAUAGACAAGACACCCGACCACAUGUUGGCCUCGGUCACAUCAAAAGAAUCAUGUAGGCCACCAAUAAACUACUUGAAGCGUCAUUCCGUAUCGUAUAUGCAUUGCCGGUUCAUCUGCAUUACAUUACAUAAAGUAGUAUUAACUAUUUGAAUAAAAUGAACCAAUUUAAAAGUAAUGUGUUGUACUCUACUAUAGAAAGCCCUAUCACUGUCGGAUCCAGAAACAUCAUUGUUGAUGGUCGUUAAGUACCAAGACGGUCAAUAUUCUCAAGAAUAAUGGAGAAUUGGCAUUUCUUACACACAUAUUUGGUUUUGAACAAUGUAGUCCCACAUGUCCUUGGAGAUUAUUUGGGUGUGGGUGAAAUAAUACAAAAAGAAGGAGAAAACACACUCCCAUGGUGAAGAAACAAAACUCCGACCAAUGAGAGAUAGCCACAGGGGCAGCACACGGAUCCAUGGGCCCACAAACCGCAUCAAACUGUCUUACCAAGGCGGGUAGCACCCACAACCAUGAUUAGGACCCACCUGGAUGUCUACCAAGAAGAAGGUUGUGAGUGGGGCCAGGAGGGGUUCGGCUGAAUCAUCUCUAGCUCCCCUCAUCCCCAGCUGGUGCAUGGCGGUGGUUAAUGGUGUCCCUACAUCGGUUAGAGGAGAUUCCCCCAAAUAUUCCUCCUGUAAACCACCUGUAUGGACCUAUACAUAGAGGGGUGUGCUCUCCAAUCCAACACACACCACAAGUUUAAUCACUCUCUCCCUCUUUAAUUUCCAUGUUUAUGGAGUUAGCCUAGAGUAGCUCUGCUCAAGGUUCCAAGUCCACUUGGAGUUAAGCAUAUGUCUCUUGUAUCGUUAUUUCCCAGAUUGACUUUAUGCUUAGUUCUUAUAUGCAUGAGUUAGUCUAAUAGCCUUGCUCUAUUGAUAUGCUCGGCUUAUAUGCUCGUAUGCUAGUCAUAUACCCUUGCUGCCGUAGUAUAGGCUUAUAUGCUCUCAUGUGUGCCUUUAGACCUUGCUACAAUAUAUACUUGUUGUGUAUACAUACCAUGUAUAGGCUAGUCGAUCUAUACCAUGGCAUUGGUUCAAUAGCCAUGUUUUUGGUGGCUCCAACCCUAGUCAGAAUAGCUCGGGACAGCUAGAGUGUUGUUAAAAAUGCAAGAGUGAUGGUUGGGUUGUUUAGCAUCGUUGGAUAUGGGUUUUCCCCACGGGUUUCUAAGAGUAGGCGGCAGCUAGUGACAGCCCUGUCCGUCCUUCGUAAUCCCCCCACAUUCAAGUACGCCAUAGAAGUUCAUAAAUUAGCAGUAACUACACCGGCAGACCGGUAGGGUAUUGUCUCCCUAUAGUACCUUGGUGCAUAGAACUAGGUCAUAUACACUGUGUGUCUAUGUUUACGCUGAUAUGAUCUGUGCAGUAUAUAGCAUGUAUAUAUGAACCUAGAGCUAACUCCUAGUCCAUUCUCCGUAGCUUAGUUAUCUUGAGAUGAUUCUUCUGUGUGUGUAACACUACCCAUCUUAUCAUUAUCCUUAAUCCUGUCUUGUGUAAUAUAUCUACUCAUCCUAUGAUAUACUCAUAUGCAUAGUAAACUAUUUUGACCUACCCGCCUUCCUUUGGGAAAUACGAUACCCUGGAAUAAUCCUAGGUGAAAUGCUACAACGGUAUAUCCAUGUGCUUACGGAAUUAUUCCUGACCAUUAAAUAUACCAACAAUCAUCACUAUCUAUUUUGGGCAUCGUUAGUGAAGGGUCGGCAGUGAUGGGCAUCCCCUUCACCAAUGGAGCUGGAACUGGCGGUGAUGGCCAUUAAAAAAAAUGGGACCCCACCCAGCGUACCCCGCAACCCGGCCGGCUGCGCCUCCCAUCAUCCCCGCCGGUCGCCCUUCCUCUUUGCCGGCCGAGCAUGGUUCCGGCCCUCGUCCCUACCGCCUCGCCUCCAUCGCGACCCCCUGCCGAUGCCCUCAUGCCUGGCCCCCCUCGUCUGGCCGGCCACCCUCCCGAUGCAUCCACCGGGGCCCUCGCACCACCAACCACCCUAGCCUAGAGAGAGAGAGGAGGAGGGAGGUGAGGCCACGCACCUCGUCCUACAACGCCGCUGUUGCUCCUCGGCCCACCGCGCCUCACCCCACACCACAGCCGCACCUCGCCAUCUUACCGGCCGCGACGCCCCAUCUCACCGGCCACCGUUCCUCACCCCCACAUCGGUCAUCGCUGCUCCUUGCCCUACUGCUGCUCUUUGCAGCCGCGAAUGAGGGGCGAGUGGAGGGGGAGGGGCGGGGCAGGAGGAGGGCAAGAUCCGGGAGGAAGGGAGAGAUUUUGGGAGGUGGAGAUGGAAGGAUAUGGCGGAAGGUAGAGAUCUAGAGGGAGAGAGCGGGGGGGAGAGGGGGGCAUGUGGGGAGAGAGCGCAUGUGGGGUGGGGCCGGGCUGGUGGGAUGGAAGGUAGAGGGGCCGGAGGGCGCAGUGCAUUCAACUGGAUUAAGUAAAUAUUUCGGAUUCGAGACCCCAGCUUUAUUAUCACCGCUGGUCCGUAGUACCAUUCGGUGCCGGCUCAUAAUUUAAUUUGAACCGGUGGUGAUGUUUUAUUAUCACUGCUGGUUUCAAUUUUCACCAUCGGAUCAUAUAAAAAUCCGGCGGUUAAAAAUCCGCUGGUUUCGAUGAAAACCGACAGUGAUAGGACGACUGUGAUAGUCUCUUCUCUAGUAGUAGUAUAUUAGUACCGGCUGCCGGAUGGUGUUGCCGACGAGUACUUCUCCAGGGGCGAUUCAGUACUGAUGUUAGCAAAGCUUGUUCUCUAUGAAUUUGGGGAUGGAAAGCUAGUUCUCUAGUUGUGAUUUGUUACAUAUAUCUCUAUGAUAGUCUAGAAAUUGCAUGUCCUUCGUUGACAUAGUUGAAGCUGCUUCAAGAAUUUACUUCGUGCAGUCGUGCAGCAUAUUGGAUUAUCACCUAGACAGGAUACAUAGGUGAAGCAUUGCAUGUGAUUGUGGCUGAUAAUUAUGCAGGACGCUGUUGCAAUCAACCAUCAAGAAGACUGGAGCGAUGGGGUUGCCUCAUCAACAAUUUUUAUAUAUGGCUGCAGUAUUAUUAAGCCCACGUCAAUAAUUUUUUCUCCGCAGCAUAUAUAUGGUUACUCAGUUCGCUGGAGUAUCGCUGUGGAAAAACAUACGUACUGCGCCUCGGAACUAACUGGCAUUCAGGCCAUCAACGACCAGAUAUUUGGGACAACCAACAAAUAGUAGGUGGUUCCUAAGUUGUAGUCGUAUGUACUAAUGCGCCUCGAUGGGGUUUUCUUCAGAUAUUUUAUUGCCGUUCAAUGAACAAGCAGAUACAUAACCUGUGCAGAAAAUUCCAUCUCCACGCAUGCCACUGCACCAACAAGAUCCUCAGUCGACGAUGAUGGCUCAGCCUGUUCCUUCUGCCACCAAAUCCUCAAUCUUCCCUCCAGCAACGGAGAAUGCACCUUUAGUACCUUCAGUAUCAGAUGUUGCAAUCGGUACCGUGAAACCGAGACUAAAAUCCUUACUUUGCAGGGGGCAAAACAAUCUUGCAAAUAUAUAUUUUGAAUUCCAACAAAAUUUAAGAAAUGUUAAAGAUGACUAGCUGAGAGUCAACAGACAAGAUAUGAUAUUAGGAAUGUGGGAGGAUGAAUGCAUUUGUACAGGGGUCAUACUAUUUCCAGACUCUUCUAUAUUUCCAUAUGACUACCUACUUCAAUGUCACGCGAGCCAUUCAAAAAGAUACAUGGUACACUUGUAUGUCUAAUCCAUUAUUGAUUAUUUCCUCUUGUCAUCUCUUACAAGUAUUUCUCCAUACUAUAGAAACGUGCAACACAUUUUUAGGAUAUGGACACGCAUGAUUAAUAUGCUUGGACUAGUAUACAGGUCAUCUUUGGAUGAGUACAUAUGAAUGCCAGGGAGGGACUGAUGGAUAUAAGGAAAAGGGACCAUGCAUAAAUAAUGACAUAUGUAACAUGGCAAUCUUCAUUGCCAUGCAACUCCUAUCAACAAUCAUGGAAUACAUACUACUGCUCCAGAAGGGUGGUGUGCAAAUUUAUUUUACCUCGCGGUGAAAAUCUCCAGAGCAGGCCUGAAGUUAAAAUAAGAGGCAGUCACUAUCGAUCAUGACAGUCUCGAAACUGUACAGCACUAUGCUAGUCCUAGUCCUCAUGUCGUUCGUGCUGUCGUGUAGCAUGAUGGAUUAUUAACUGGGCAGGACACGGAGAUGGCUAGCGAUGACAGAGGAUGACGUACAUGAUAUUCACCUCUGAAAUGAAGCGUAGGCUAAUGAAGCACAAUUGCAUGUGAGUGUGGCAGAUAUUUAUACAGGACAGUGAUUGCAAUAAUCGACCAUCGAGAUCGAAGACAGGGGCGAUGGGGUUGCCUCAUCAAUAAUUCGCGCAACCAGACAAGCUGCAGACUCAAUAUGGUACGAAGCUAUUUGGUCAGCCCACAUGCUCUGAUAUAACAUUGGCAUCUGCUGAUCUACAGUAUAUAUGACCAGAAAUAUUGUGCCACCUCAAUAAUUUUCCGAAGUAUCGUUGGGGAAGCACCUACAUACUAUGCCUCGGAACUAACUGACAUGUUGGCCUAGGCGGUCCAGGCCGAUUGGACAGGCUCUUCCUUAUGGCUCCUCACGUCCCCUUCGUUUCCGAGUAAUCUCAGGUGUUCUGAAGUUUUCUUUUCACUUGCAUGUGGACCUUAUAUAUCAAUAGCUUCGGGAUAAGAAUGCCUCUUGAUAACCUUCCAAAUCGUCGCUUGAUUCACUUUGAUUCCAAAAUCAUCUUGCCAUAUCUUUUGAGACUUAGGCCCUAAGGCAUCAUGGAGGAUUGCUCGCCAAGAAUGAGCACCAUUGGGCUCCUGAGGACCCUAGGCCGAUCAGCCUGGGCUCUAUAGGUUGAUUGGCCCAGGCCCUCUCUGGGCCCAUUGGCCUUCAUCUUUCUCUGAGUCGACGCUUAUUGAGGGCUUUGUCCAAUUAUAGUCCAUUAUAGUCUAAUUUCCAAAAAAAUAGAAUAUCCUCCAAAAUACAAUACAUUUGUGAAAACAGCCCAAUUAUUAGGUAUGAUCAAUAGUCUAGGUAUUAAAUUAAUGUUAUUAUUUAAGAUAAAUAGGGAUAAAGGGUGUCAUUAAUAACGAGCACCAACCAGCGUACCAGCUGUUAACACUAACCGAUGCUAAUAUGUACCCUUUAGUACCGGCUAUUUCACCCGGUACUAAACGAGACAAGAGCACCCUAACAGAGGUUAAUACCAUCCAUUUCAUGAGUAAAAUACUAUGAUUCAAAAAUAAUUCAAAUCCCUUAAGACAAUACCUAUCAAAUGAGUAGAUUGUAAAUAGAGUAAAACAAUGUCCUAAUGAAACGGAACACUUCUGGUUCGUGUAGAGCACAAUAUAGAAAACAGUAGGGUAGCUGUACGAUUGACACGUGGUCCAUUAAUUAUUGAGCCAUCACUAUGGACAUGUCUUCAUGAGUAGUGUACUAGUCAUGACACAUGGUAUGUAGUAGGUGGAGGUAUUGAGUUAGCCAUGCCAUGAGCACUUAGUUACAACAAACACUUUGCCAUUAUCGAGCAUCCCAAAUCACUACAAAAUCCAUAGUUUACCAUAUACUACAAAAUCUGAGUUAAAAUAAGAGCAUACACGGAAGAGUCCGAAUGCACCGGUUUAGGACCAGGCACAUUGAAUUACUAGAAAAAGUUAUCGGACAAGGUUUUGGGUAACCGCAUGAAAAAUGUUGGAUUUUACUGAACACUUAGUUACAAUUACCAUGCCGUGAGCACUUAGUCACCACAAACAUUUAACCACUUUAGAUCAUCCUGAAUCCCUAUAAAUUCUGUACCUUACACCGUACCAUGAAAACGACAAGAACAGAGACAGAUGCAGUGAAAAUCUCCAGAGCAGGCCUGAAAUUAAAAUAAGAGGAGGCAGUCUCUAUCGAUCAGGACACGGAGAUUGCUAGCCAUGACAGAGGAAGACAUGAUAUGAUAUUCACCUCUGAAAUGCAGCGUAGACUAAUGAAGCACAAUUGCAUGUGAGUGUGGCAGAUAAUGGACCAUCGAGACCAUCGAAUGGUAUGAAGCAUGAUUAUCACCUAGACAUGAUAUCCUAGACAGGACGGUGAAUUGUAAAAAGAGUAAUCUUGAUCAAAGAAUGUCCUAAUGAAACGGAACAUUUUUGGUACGUGUAGAGCACAAUAUAGAAAACAGUAGAGUAGUUGUACGAUUGAAACUGCAUCCAUCCACGUGGUCCAUGAAUUGUUGAGCCAACACUGUGGACAUGUCUUCAUGAACACCAUCUAGUGAGGACAGGAUGCAGAAAAAUAUAAAAACAUGUCAUAGGGAGGCAGACCAAUCUUGCAAGGAGGUAAACGAAACGUGAUACACGAUCUGCCUACCUUGUCGUGGAUACCCCAAGAGAAGAUGUCAUAGAGGUGCAGACCAAGCUAGCAAGGAGGUAGAUGAAACGUGAUACACGGCCUGCCUACCUUGCCGUGGAUAUUAGCCCUGAUAUCAUUCUAUUGUUCAAGGAAUAACACUCAAUGCUGCUGCUGCUGCUGACCUGGCUCCAUAAAGUUGUAUUCCUCUAGCCGCUUGCACUAACUUUAUCUGAAGUAUUAUUCUCUCUGCCCUGAUAUCUGAAGUAUUAUUCUCUCUGCUGACUUUGCUGAAGAACCUACAUAAUAUGUCUUGGAACUAACUGACAUUGAUUCACAGACAAACUCUACAAGGUGCUGUUGUUGCCAUAUUUUAGAGCAUCCCAAAGGACUAUAAAUAAUAUAGUUUACCAUAUACCGUAUACCAUUAUAUGUUAGCUAAAAUAAGAGCAUAACAUGUCGCAGGAGUCCAAAAGCACCGGUUGAGGACCAGGUACAUUGAAUUACUAGAAAAAGACAGGGGGCAAUGUUUAGGUAGCCACAUGAAAAACAUUUGAAUUUACUGUUCCAUGAACACUUAGUUACCAUGCCGGGAGCACCUAGUUAACACUAAAAUUUAGCCACUUUAGAUCAUCCCGAAACACCCUCAAUAGCGACAAAUUUUGAUUUAAAUGCCGUCACCAAUGAUCCUCAAUAGCGACGUGUUUAGGUUUAAAUCCCGUCACUAAUAACCCUUGGUAGUGACGUGUUUUGGUUUAAAUCUCAUCCCACUGAUCCUCAAUAGUGACGUGUUUUUAGCAACACACGCUAUGAAUGACUUGUCAUUGGUGACAUGUUAAAUGCGUUAUCUCAAUGGCAAAUCAUUGGUGACGUGUUUUAAAAAAACAUGUCACUGUGAGAGUUAUUGGUGAAGGGUAAUUAAAAUGCAUCACUAAUUUUGUAGCAUUAGUUAUGAUAUAAUUUAGUAACGCAAAAAUCUACCAUCAGUAAUGAGGUUUAGAGCCGUCGCUAAUGUGGGUUUCUUACGAGUGAUGCAAGCUCUACAAGGUGCUGUUGUUGCCAUUUUAAAGCAUCCCAAGUGACUACAAGUUAAUAGCAUAGUUUACCAUAUACCAUAAAAAUAUUAGUUACAAUAAGCACAUCCGCAUGUGGAAGAGUCCGAAUGCACCAGUUGAGGACUAAACACAUUGAAUUACUAGAACCAAAUGUAAGACAAAGAAAGGGGUCAAGGUUUGGGUAACCGCAUUAAAAACAUUGGAUUUUACUGUACCAUGAACACUUAGUUACCAUUACCAUACCUUGAGCAUCUAGUUACCACAAACAAUAAUUUAGCCACUUUAGAGGUUCCAGAAUCACUAUAAAUAAUAUACCAACACCGUACCAUGAAAACAUCAAGAAGAGAGACGGGUACAUGGACCACCAUCAAGUGAGUAGUGACAGCACGCACAAGAAUACCCGGAACCUGUUAGCUUGUCUGUAGUGAUCUGUUUUCUUCCCCAUAAAAUCCAUGAGUAUUGCCACAAAUAAUGAAAGAGGCUGACCAAGCUAACAAGGAGGUAGAGAAAACGUGAUACACGUAGGUUUCAUUCAAGACAUCCAUGUAAGAUUCAUUCAAAACAUUCAUGGAAAUUUCUUGUAAGUUUUCAUGUAAAUUUCAUUCAAGACAUUUGUUAGAGGUGUUGUAUAUAUAUACCUUAACGUACAUAUAUCUAUGAUUUCAUGGUUGUUAGUGAUGGCAGAUGAGGAGCAUGCAAGGUAUUUAAUGGAGCAGAUUAUUGCUAGUGGUAGUGGCUCCAACCUGCCCGUAACGUACACCAACGAAGAGAGCAGCCAGGCGGACAUGUUCCUCAACAUAUCCGGUGAUGGCAAUGAAGAGCCCGAGCAAAACCUUGCCGUGACGGAAGGUUCCAGUGAGGUAUAUAUCAUUUCCAUUGUUUUACCCCAUCUAUAAUUUCAUAUUCAUUAUUACUAUGUACUAAUUAAUGGAUCUUGAACCAUUAGCCCUCUAGAUCAACGAACCGAAAUAAGCCCCGAGGUCUUACAAAGAUAAUGCAGGGAAGGCAUCACAUCACGGAAGUCACAGAAGAGGGCACAUCAGUUGCUCCCGAACAUGUGGCAAGAAAGUACGUGAGUCAAACCGGGCAAUGUGCCCAUCAGCAUUAGGGAAUGAAAGGGCAAUAGAAAUGAUCUAUACACGCCCCCGGAUACACAAAAGGAUAUGCUGUGGGCAAAUAUCAAGAAACACUUCACAUUUCCCAAAGGAUAUGUUGAAAAAGAUGUGAAAGCGUGGAUGCUGAAGAAGAUGGUCACCGAAUUCCAGACAUUCAAGAAGAUGUUGGAUGUCAACUUCAUCAAGAAGGGUCGAACUCCGGGUUUCGAUGAGUGGCCAAAGUUAAGGGACCACUGGGAGUCAUUUGUCAAAUACAAGACGAGUGAAGGUGGUGCGAGUAAGGUUCGCAUCAAUGUUGCCAAUGCUAGCAAGGAGUACCAUCAUCAUCUAGGGCGACGUGGUUACAGCACUGCAAUUCCCAGAUGGCGCAAGAUGGAACAAGACCUGAUCGAUCGGGGUAUCGUACCAGCAACUCCUGACUGGCCUGAUCGAUUGAAAAAUUGGUAUUAUGCUCAUGAAGGCAAUCUGAGCCAACAGGAUGCGACAUUGGUCUUCAAUAAAACAAUACGUCAGAAGGCCGGAAGGCUUAUUAGGAACAUUGAAAAUGCUAAAUCUGGGAGGUUCAAGGUGGAUAGAGAGAAUGAUGAGCUCACAUUGGCCCUUGGGACUAUCAUCUCUAGCAUUUCCAGCUCCAGGACUGUCGUCACCACCGGGACCGUCGCUUCUUGCUCGAUCACAGUCUCCAUCUCCAGCACAUCCUGGUGGUGCGAACGAUGACGACAACAACACCCCUCCCUGCCCACCAUCGCCGGGACUAAGACCCGCAUCGAGUAAGGAACCUGCAGCACCACUGAAGAAGUCGCGACCACCGCCUUCCAAGCCAAGUCAGCAAAAGAAGAAAGCAGAGAAGCCUAAGCCCACUGAGAAGCCAACAACCGAUAUGACCGAUGCGGAAAGAUGGAAGGCACUCAAAGAAGAAUGCAGGGAGUGGUUCUGUAAAAAGAACCAAAGAAAGAAAAGGAAAGCAGAUGGAGCCACCGCCAGUAGAUCCAAGAAAAUUAUAAUUUUUUAUUAAGAUGUCAAAAGGAGCCAAGAAGAUGAUUCCACAACUAUCAAACUACGACCGGGCGUUAGUCAAGGCUGAUGAGAGUUAAAAAAGGAAAGGAAAGUCAUCUUCAAGUGGUACUGUCCCCCACCUCGAGGAUCUACCAGAAAAAGACGCUAAAAAGAUAGUAGCAAUGCUCUUGGAUCAACAAACACAUAUAUCAUGAGAUUCAUGCAAGAAACAGGUAUGUGCCUUGCUGAAUGUCUAGGGCAAGUUGAUAUGCUAGCUCUAGAGCCAUUUGUACCGAAAUGGACCUUUGAGCUAGGCAAGCCUCUAGUAAGGCCUGAGCUGGUACAGAAGCUAUCCACAUAGCUAUAUGAAUACCAUGAAUGGUACAUGAAGCAGUCUGCCAAUGAGAGGAAAAUGUUCGGUCUCAGGGAAAAACUGAUAUUUUUUUUCGGCGAAGGCGAGAAAGUCUUGUGAUGGAAUUCAAGGAUAUAUAUGAAGUGUACCAUCAGGAUGCCCUUGAUGUCUCUCUCAUCAGCGCCUAGGUUAUGUAAGUGUAUGUUUAUCUAUACGUAAUUUUUGUCUCAUAUCAUUAUUUCUUUUGCGUGCGUCACCCUACUAACUUCGUCUUCCAUUUUAUGUAGGAUGCUAAUUCAGAUGUGCCGCAUAGAAGCGCACUUCCAUGUUGGCUUCAUGGAUCCAUCCCUAGUUAACCAAAAGCAGAUACGGAAGUAGCUAGAGAAAAUGUUGGAGGUGGUAUACAACUUCCUGGACAAACAAAACUAUAGAAUAGGGGCAAUAUGUGAAGGUCUUGUAGGAUUCCUAGUGGACAAGGUGAUAAAUCCAUAAGGAGAAUAUCAUUACAACGGACGAGCAUUAGACACACUGAGCAACACCUAGACGGGAGGAUCCUAGGAAUGACCUAGACAGAUUUUGGUAUAAAUAGUAAUUGUGUAAAUACUAGUUUGAUUUGUAUAGGAAUAUACUAAGAAUUGUAUAUAUAGUAAUUGUACAAAUACUAGUUUGAUUUGUAUAAAUACUAGAUUGAUUUUAUUAUAAAAAAGUUUUAAGUCGUACGUGCAUGCGCCUACAAAGGCGCGUAUGCCCUUUAAUCCCGGUUGGAAAAACAAACCGGUACUAAAGGGGCUCGUGCCGCACCUGGCAUGACCGCCCCUUUAGUCCCGGUUGAACGACCCAGGACCAAAGAUCUGCCCCGUCUCAUAAAUUUUAUCCUGGAUGCUUUUUAGAGAGAUUUGAGGCCUAUCAACCAAGACUAAUAUCGAGUUUUCUACCAGUGGAACUAACUAACGUUCACAUGCUUCUGACAUUCACCUGCCAUUUGGUGUAGACAAGGGCACCCUAACAUAUGGUUAAUAUUAUUCAUGAAAGAAAAUCCUUUGAUUCAAAAAUACUUCAAACCUAAUAAUACAAUACUUCUCACAUCUGAAAAAUAUGAGAUGGCCCGACAGUAUUCUAACCGACGCAAUAAUAUUUUGAGGGCAGCACUACUACAGCGACCCUCAUUCGUGCCGGUGCUGGAACCCCUAUCACGACCCUGAUACAAAUGAGGGUACAUUAUUGUUGCCAGUGCUAGAAUAGCCACGAAUAACUUGCUAAACAUGCUGUUACACUCACUACUAGAAAAAUAACCUCUCGUCCUGAGGCUUAGUACCGGUCACUUUUUUGCCCAGUACUAAUGUUAGUAUUAGUACCGGAUCCAAAUUUGGGAUCCCCCAGAGACCCUUUAGUACCAGGUGGAGUCUCCACCCGAUACUAAAGGCUUUGUUACCGGGUGAAGGAUCCUCCCGGUACUAAUGGGGGAUUUUUAGUACCGGGUGGGAACCCCACCCGAAACUAAAAUCUCCCAUGCGGACCCCUCCCCCCCCCACGCGUUGCCUCUGUCCUCCCUCCUCCUCCUCUGAGUAGUUAUCCCUUCCUCAUCCCUCCUCCUCCUCCCACACGUGGGGUGAGGUGAGGUGGCAGUAGCAACGACAGGUGGUGUGGCGGGUCACGGCGGGCCGGAUGCGGAGCCGCAACGGUGGUCGGCGGGAUGGGGUGGGGCAGAGCGGCAUGGCAGGGCGGAGCGGUGGGACGGGGCCGAGGUGGAGGUGCCGGGCGGAGGUGGAGUGGCAGGACAGAGGCGGAGGCGGAGCGGCGGGUCGGCGAGCGGGUGGAGGGUGGCGACGAUGGGGCGGGCAGAGGCAGAGGGGUGGGUGGAGGGGCGGCGUGGUCCACCGGCGGGGGGGGGGGGGGGAGAGGGAGGCGUGGGGGGUGCGGUUGGUGAUUUCAAUUUUCUUUUAAUUUUUUAACACCCUUCAGUACCAGUUAUUUUAACCGGGUCUAAAGGGAUCCCCUCUUGUACCGAAUUGCUAGUACAGGAUGCACAACCGGUACUAGAGGGAGGUUCCCAACCGGUACUAGAGCCACUUUCCCCGGUAGUGACUUUUUCACCGAUUAGAAUAUGUUAUUAUUCUAAUCAGCUUUUGUUGAUCUCCUGUAUAAUUUAGUACCUAAUUCUACUAGCAAUUGUUAACGCCGACACGUAUUGGGUAUAGUCCUAACAGUGUCUAACUAGGGCACUACAUUUGUUAACCUAUAACUACUGGUAUCGAUUAGCCCUGGUUAGAAUACUGUCAAGGCAGCCAGAAAAAAUUGUUUGCCAAUUCUGCUAUCCAUCAGAACCAUGACUAGUACCGUAUUGUAAUAAACGAAUUACACAAAUAACUGAUGCACACAAAGGAAUAUGCACUCGCAUGUGCUAGACGUUCGUAGCAACAACAAAUUACUCUCAUCAUCAAUUAAACAUAAUAGAUUAAACAUUAACUGAACAUAGUUCAACACGUACAUCAACAAGACAAAGCAGUUUAAACAUCAACUGAACAGAACUGAAAACAUACAUCAACUGAUGAUAAACUUCGACAUGAACACAACACAUAAACAUCAACUUCAAUAGAACUUAAUAGAGCAUAUUAAACAACAACAUCGACAAAACAUAUAAACCCAGCUCAGUAGCUCAAGCAUCAACUAAAACUGCUGAAUUAAAAUAACAUAACAUAGUGUAGUUCAUCAUGAUGAUAACUAACAGAACCGAAAAGCCUAACUGGGUAAAAGAGCAAUUCAUUCAUAAUGCUUCAGCACUUACAUCACCGGAGUAUGCAACUGGCGGCGUCGCUUACGUCACUAUCACCGCGCUUGGCGAGUAAAGGAGGAGGAGGUGGCAUAGUAAUCGAAGAGGAGGCCGCUGUCGGCGGGUUUAGACUACGUGGAGGUGUGGGUAGGGUUAAGGUGGCUCUGUGGACGAGUAUAUAUAAGAGGUCUGGGCUUGUUAGAAUAAGAUAACAUUCUAACUGGCCAAAUUCGGAUCCGGUUAGAAUAAAUUGUUCUAACCAGCCUUAAUUCGAGGUGGUAAGGAUAAGUUAACAUUCUAAUCAGCUCUAUUUGGAGCCCGAUUGAAUGUUCUUGUUAUUCAAAAAAAGAUCAAGUUCAUCAAUUUUUUUCUAGAAAAACAUCAAGAUAAUUUAAACACGAUAUAUAACAAGAUUAAUACAUUUAAAAAUUGUUUUCUCCAAUAAUUAACGAUAUUUAACAAAUUCAAAAAAAAUCCAAAUUAACAGAACAUAAUAACCAAUUGUUCGAAAAAAUCAAAAUAGUCCACACAGUAUCAUAUUACAAAUUCAGAAAAAUAUCAAAAUAAUCCCUGAUCCACUCGAUACCGUCGUAGAACUUUGAAAUACUGAGCUUCUUGAUUCAUCUGAGGUCCACGUACUCGUCUCAGUAACACUAGUGGUGGCCAUGCAUCUUGUAGAUGUCUUCUAAUGAAUUAAGCUUGACAUACAAGGUCGUGCCUUCCACUCCUUGAGGAUUGCUUAUGACGUUUCUGCAAAUAACGAAGCAUUGCUUUCUCCAACAUGAUUAUUUUCUUCGGCUUAUCCCAAGGGACAACUAUGGUUUUCCCCUUGCCGGAAGAGGAACGAUGAUCGCCCCCACCAUCGCCACUUCCUCCAGUAGCAGAAGCCAUCUAUGUACAAAAAUUCAUACCUUAGCACUACAGAACUUGUUGAACUUGAAGACUGUGAUCAUUAGGCGAGCAUGUUCUCAACUAGGUGGCACCGCACUUCGUCAUGGAAGAGCUUCGAUUUUACAAAAAAGGGGACAUGAUCUUCCAUGAUGUCCGUAUCCGCUCUUUCUCGUAGAAUCAGAGCUCCUCCUUGAUAUACGAUGCUGCUCGGCGGAGAACAUGCUCACCGAGAUGAACACGGUAUGCAAGUUCAACAAGUAUGGAUUUGAAAAACCAUAUUGAAUUUGACAAGACAAACUAUCUAGAUAAGCGUAGCAUCAUUCUUAAACCACUGCAAGGAUACGUACUAUAUAUGACACAUCAAUCUCCCUCACAUUCUAGCUCAAAAUACCUCUCCAUUUUCUACUUCACAUUCUAGCAAAUAAACUAUCUAUCUCCAUUCUACACAUCAAGUUGUUUUAACUAAUACAAAUCGUAUAUAACAAGCAAAAUAUCCAUCACAUUCUAGCUCAAAAACAUGUAUAAAUACAAAUCCUCUUCAUUCUCCCUUUUUCUAACAAACAAACUCAUUUUUCUCCCUCUCCAAAGCAUAAAUUAAAGCGUAACAUGAGGAUGAGGUAGCAAACCUUCACAACACAUUGGAUGAGUGAAAUUCCCACGAAAAUGAGGGAAAAAAAUUCGGGCAGCACCUCCCUUGCUUCGGCACCUCUAGAGAGUAGGUGAAGCUCAGUUCUCUAUUUUUGUGGUGGACUAGCUUGGGCUGGAGGAGGAAGAAAGGCCUCUGUCUUGGUAUAUAAUGGGGGAUGAGUUUUUAUCCCAGUUAAAAGCUCCAACUGAGACAAAACGGCCAAUCUUUUGUCCCGGUUGGAGCCUCCAACCGGGACAAAAGGGGCACGCCAUCGACGCACGGGAGCUAGCCGUUACAACCGGGACUAAAGGGGGGCCUUUAGUCCCGGUUGCAAAUACCAACUGGGAUUAAAUCUCCCCUCCAUUUUUGCCUACCGUGGUGCGCCCCCUUUUAUCCCGGGUCAACUUUAAACCGGGACAAAAGGGGGCGUCGAAGAUCAGUUCUCUACUAGUGACCCCUCCCCACCUAUCUCUCUCCCUCCAUGCUCCUCGAUCUGUGCCUCCCCUCCCCUCCCCUUCCACUCGCCCCUCACCGACGGUAAGGAGCAGCGGCGGGGCGAGGUGAGGUGGCAGCAGCAAUGGCAGGUGGUGGGUCGCAGCGGAGCGGCUACGGUAGGCAGCCGGACGGGGCAGAGCGGCGGGGCGGGGUGGAGGCGGAGGUGGCGGGUAGAGGCGGAGCGGCGAGGCGGAGGCGGAGGUGGAGGCGGAGUGGUGGGACGGCAGGGCCGGGCGACUAGUAUAGGUGGGCGGGCGGAGGGCGGCGACGGCGGAGCGGGCGGAGGCAGAGGGGCAGCGGGGGCCGCCGGCGGGGGGUGUGAUCGGGGAUUUCAAUUUUUUUUAAAUUUUUUAACACCUUUUAGUCCAACUGGUUCUAAAGGGACCCCUCUAGUAUCAAAAUUGCUAGUACCGGUUGCACAACCGGUACCAGAAGUGGUUCCUAACUGGUACUAGAGCCACUUUCCCUGGUAGAGACUUUUUUACCAGUUAGAAUAUGUUAUUAUUUUAAUCAGCUUUCGCUGAUCGCCAGUAUGAUUUAGUACCUAAUUUUACUGGCGAUUGUUACCGCUGACACGGAUUGGGUAUAGUCCUAACAGUGUAUAACUACGGCACUACAUUUGUUAACCUAUAACUACUUGUAUCGAUUAGCCCUGGUUAGAAUACUGUCAAGGCAGCCAGAAUUUUUUUUUUUUGCCAAUUCUGCUAUCCAUGAGAUCCAUGACUAGUACCGCAAUGUAAUGAAUGAACUGCACAAAUAACUGAUGCACACAAAAGAAUAUGCACUUGCACGCUAGACGUUCGUAACAACAAAUUACUCUCAUCACCAAUUGAACAUAAUAGAUUAAACAUUAACUGAACAGAAUUCAACACGUACAUCAACACGACAAAGCAGUUUAAACAUCAACUGAACUGAACUGAACACAUACAUCAACUGAUGAUAAUUAUCGACAUCAACAGAACACAUGAACAUCAACAUCAAUAGAACUUAAUAGAGCAUAUUAAACAACAACAUCGACAAAACAUAUAAACCCAGCUUAGUAGCUCAGGCAUCAACUAAAAUUGCUGAAUUAAAACAACACAACGUAGUGUAGUUCAUAAUGCUUCGGCGCUUACACCACUGGCGGGUCGCUUACGUCGGCAUCACCGCGCUGGCUGAACCUCCGACACCCCCACCACGGCAAACGGAGGUGAUGGCGGAAGGUGAGGCAACGACAGUAGCUGGUGAGCUCCCGCUCCAAUGUCUCGCGAGUAAAGGAGGAGGAGGUGGCAUGGGAAUCGAAGAGGACACUAGUAGAGAAACGACUUUCCAUCCACCCCCUUUUGUCCCGGUUUAAAGUUGGCCCGGGACAAAAGGUUCACCAACCGGGAUUAAAACUCGGUCACUGGUGGGGGGCUCACCAACCGGGACCUUUUAUCCCGGUUGCAAAGGCUAGUGGGAAAAAAUUACUCUGAGAGGCCUUUUAUCCCGGUUUGAAACACCAACCGGGAUAAAAGACCCCCCCUUUUAUCCCGGUUGGUAACACCAACCGAGAUAAAAGGGUCAAGAGCCUUUUAUCCCGGUUGGAAACACCAACCGGGAUAAAAGGGGGUCUUUUAUCCCGGUUGGUGUUUCCAACCGGGAUAAAAGGGUCCCCCACGAGUUAAUACAAAAGGAUAGUAUCCCCUACAUAGUCAGAUGUGGUGUGUAGGUGGGAUGGUAAGGAAGCUACGCGCGAGGCUGGAGGUUGUGGGUUCGAAUCCCACGAACCGCGCACGCGCAUAUUUCGCGUGAAAAAUCGCGUGACUUGCGACUUGCGCGUGUGGGGGGGCCUCCUGGGAGCUCGGGAAUUUUUUUUUUUUGCAGCGCCGGCCGUGGGUGAACCCUUUUAUCCCGGUUGGUAUUACCAACCGGGAUAAAAGGGGGUCUUUUGUCCCGGUUGAGUGACCCGGGAUAAAAGACCCCCCCUUUUGUCCCGGUUGGUUUAUCCCGGAUGCAUUUUCGAGAUCUUUGCACCCUACCAACCGGGAUAAUAGGUGAGUUCUCCACCAGUGGGAGGCCGCCGCUGGCGGGUUUAGACUACGUGGAUGUGUGGGUAGGGUUAAGGUGACGGUGUGGACUAGUAUAUAUAAGAUGUCUGGGCUUGUUAGAAUAAGAUAACAUUCUAACCGGCCAAAUUCGGACCCGGUUAGAUUAAAUUGAUAUUCUAACCGGUCCUAUUUCUAGGUGGUAAGAAUAAGUUAACAUUGUAAUUGGCUUUAUUUGGAACCCGAUUGAAUCUUCUUGUUAUUCAAAAAAACAUCAAGUUCAUCAAUUUUAAUCCAGGAAAACAUCAAGAUAAUUUAAGCACGAUAUAUAACAAGAUUAAUACAUUUAAAAAUUGUUUGAUUCACAAAUUAACGAUAUUUAACAAAUUCAAAAAAUCCAAAUUAACAGAACACAAUAACCAAUUGUUCGAAAAAAUCAAAAUAAUCCACACACAUUAAUAUAUUACAAAUUCAGAAAUAUAUCAAAAUAAUCCCCGAUCCACUCGAUACCGUCAUAGGACUUUUAAAUACUGAGCUUCUUGAUUCGUCUGAGGUCCACCUACUCGUCUCAGUAACACUAGUGAUGGCCAUGCAUCUUGUAGAUGUCUUCUAACGAAUCAAGCUUGACGUACAAGGUCAUGCCUUCCGCUCCUUGAGGAUAACCAUCUUUGGUGAUCUUGAAAUGGCAGACGGUGGAUGUGCCAAAGGUACGUGACGAUCCUUCUAAAUGUAUGCCACCACAACUUCCGUCUGAUCGCCAUGGGUGACACCAAGAAGAGCUACCAUGCGGCAAGGGACGAACAAUUUAUCAAUUAGUGCCGCUGUCCAUCGCCAUCAUCUAAUCCAGCCAUAUCUUGUUGUAUAUUUAAGUAUAGAAAUUAAGAUUUAAAAAUAAACAGAAUAAAUUGAGAUCGAUUAUGUAUGUAUAUCAGAACAUUAGCUUUUGGAAAAAGGGCUUCGAUGGAAGAGAGGCACGGGGCAUAGAGACAACAACGAGUGACAAUAUGUCAGAAGAAUACCCGAUCACAAUUAUUGGCACACACAGCCGAUAUUUACAGUAGUCAAUACCCCUGGUAAAUAACCACACCAUCAAGAGUAAAUAGUGACAAUAUGCAGUAUAUACACGACAUAGCCUUGGCUGCCGUGGAAGCACCAGAAGGGAGACAAAUAACAGGGACCACUACAUCAAGUAGAUAGUGACAAUAUGCAAAAGAAUACCCGCGCCUGUUAGCAUGUGUGAACUGACCACACCACGAAACGUGAUACACGGCAAGCGUACCAAGGCCUUGCUGUGCAGACUAUGCAUGGACAACACAUGGUACCUGACCGCUUUUGGCCUCAGACACAUCAAAAACUGCAUCGUUCCACGUUGUACAUCCAUUGCUAGUUUAUCUAUAUUACAUAAUAUAUUAUUAGCUAUUUGAAUAGAAUGAACCAAUUAAAAAAUUACGUUGUAUUUUAGUACCGGCUGCAGGAUGGUGUUACCAACCAGUACUAAUUGGCCUGUAGGAGUGAUGGUUAUUAGACUUGGUACUGUUGUUAGCAUCAUUAACCUAAUUGUGCGCCGUAUGAAUUUGGGGAUGCAAAGCUAGCUCUCUAUGAAUGUGAGGGAUGGAAAGCUAGUUCUCUAGUAGUAAUUAUAUAUAUGACAGUCAGGAAAUCGAACACUAUGCUGCUACGAGUCACCAUCAUUUCCUUCAUUGACAAUCUGACAUAGGUGAAGCUGCUUCAAUAAUUUCCUUCGCGCAGUCGUGGAGCUUAUUGGAUUAUCACCAGGACGGGACACGGAAAUGGCCAGCAAUGAAGCUGAUUGCCGUCUGAGGAAGACUACAUACUUACCUAUGAAAUGAAGCGAUUGCAUAGACUAAUGAAGCAUUGCAUAUUUGCAUGUGAGUGUGGCAGAUAAUUCUGCAGGACAUGAUUGCAAUCCACGCACCAUCGAGAAGACUGGGGCGAUGGGGUUGCCUCAUCAAUAAUCACGUGGAUGCAUGCAUGCAUGUUCCCUCAACCGGACAAGGGUCUGAUAUAUGGCUAUAGUAUUACUGAGCCCACAUCAAUAAUUUCCGCUGGUGUAUCGUGUGGGAAGAAUCAACAUACUACACCUCUGAGUUCUUGGAACUAACUGACGUUCACAUGCAACCUCCACAAGGUGCUGUAUGCUUUUGACAUUCACCUGCCAGUUCGUGUAGAGGACACCCUAACGUAUGGUUAAUAUUAUCCAUUUCAUGAGUAAAAUACUGUGAUUCAAAAAUACUUCAAAUCCCUUGAGACAAUACUUCUCACUUGACUAACCACUAACCAACCCCGAAACCCUAACUCAACUCCGAACCCUAACCCCUAACGGCAUAACCACUCCGUUUUGCCGGCGAGAUGGAGGAACUGGCUGGAAGGUAGAGAGGGCAGCGGUCCAGGGUUGAAAACGACGGGCGAGCGCAGUAACAUGUGGAGGAGGAAGUGCCACGUAUUCGUUCACCGCUAUUGGGCAGCGACACACGACACGCCCAAUAAGAUCUUCGCACGGUAGAAGGACGUCAUGUAUUCAAUAAUGUUAUUGGUCCCCCAUGUGCAGAAGGGCGCGCGCGUAUGGAAUAACAAGUAGGGACACUGCAACUAAUCUACUCUGCUCGUCCAGUCCCUAGCCUAUAAAUAGAUGCCAUGCUAGCUCUUGUUGUGCUCACAAUUAAUCCGAUUACACACGAGCUUCUCUCCCUGGCCAAGACACAACCAUAGUAUGAUGAAGAACAUGGCACUAGCCGGCAAUGGUAUGAAGAAGUUAAUCCUCGCUGUUCUCUUACUGUGUCUAGUUAUAGGGCAGAUACAAGUGGAAGCUAAGAGCUGCUGCCCAUCCACCACUGCAAGAAAUGUCUACAAUACCUGCCGUUUCACGGGUACAUCCCGUCCAACGUGUGCAAAACUGUCAGGCUGCAAAAUUAUCAGCGGGAACAAAUGCAAGCCCCCUAACGACCACCUCACCCUUGACCCGGACACUGGUAAAUAAUAAAUUUAUCUCACUUGAUUUCUUCGUGAUUUGAGUCGUUAAUGUAUUUUCCAUCUGAUGAAACGUAUUGGUUUUGCAUUGAAGAGGAAGUUAAUGUGCUUAACUUCUGCAAGUUGGGGUGUGCGUCGUCUGUGUGCAACAACAUCAACGCUGGUAAGCAACUUUUGCUCAGACAGAGAAAACAAUAAUCAUUAAUUAGCGGCAGCUAGAAUCCUAUAAUCUAAUAUAUAUAUAUAUAUAUAAUUUUAUCAGCUCUGGGAAAUGAAGAGGCGAACGAUGCCGUUGAGAGUUGCGACCAAGCCUGCUCUAGCUUCUGCAGCGUGCAUGUUGGCAGCGCCACCGUGGUUGCUUAAGCAAAUGCAUCCAACUAGAUCGUCCUUGUGCUGAAUAAUUGGAUAUCGUAUCCACUUAAAGCUGCCUUGUGUAGUACGUCUUUGUGUCUCUCUUUAUAUUCCAAUAAGGUCGGUGAUCUUGAUGCCACACACUCAGAUGUGUGUUCAUCUCCAGAUACUACUCCAUGCUACCUGCCCUUUGUGUUUUGUUCAAUAACUGGGUAUCAUAUCCCAGCCAGUAUGCCGUCUGUUUUGUGUUUGUUUCCUUCUAGUUCCAAAGGGGUCAUCAUGAUGUUACCUUCUUUCAAUAUGGUGCUUUGCAUGACUACUGUUGUAUGGUACCAUCUUGUGGCCAAUAAGUACAUCUUAUCCUAUGACCUUUGCUAUGACCCUUUGCAAAUAAGUAGAAGAUUGUUAUAAGCGUCAAUACUCCGUAUAAAUUGAUCGCUGCUGUGAGUUCCCUUUCAGCUUAUCGUAGGCAUACAUUAUUGCUAGCACGGUAAAGCCAACCAACACGAAUGAUGAAGUAAACGUAGCGGUACUUCUGUAUACCAACACCCUUACUUAAAUGUACCGGUGUCAUUCCCUACUGGCACAUAUAUUCUUAUAUGCUAGCCAGCUUGUAAAAUUAACCAAUUAAAAUAAUUAUUUCAAGAUAGAAAUAACUUAUCGGUUUCUGGAAGCAUGUGUAAUGUGAAUUCAAGGACUCGACGGAAGUUGAAUCACUUCAUCUAUAUUGCUUUCAGUAUUUUGGGUAACUAAAUUUAACAUUUGCACAUACAAAUGUUAAAGUACAAAUGUUAAAUCUAGUUACCCAAGCAGAAUAUGAAGAUAGUUUAUAGUAUAUAUAUACUAUAUAAAUCUAGUUAACAUUUAGUCUAAAUGUUAAAUCUAGUUACCUAAAAUCCUGAAAGCAAAAUGUAUAAAUAUAUAUCUUUUAAGGCAGUAUAAGCUUCGAUUCCUAUUGCUGCUCUGUUAAAUCUCAUCUUUCGUUGUGGCCCAACACUCUAGUAUGCAUGUUGCACCAAGCUUCUUUGAGCCGCUCUGCCCUCUGAUUUUGCUGCGUAGGGGAAUCUUUAUCAGGUUGGGCUACUUCCAGUUGUGCGAUGUAAAGAUUCGUAUUUUCUAGAAGGUAGACAAAAAACUCGCGUUCUCUUAAGGCAACAACCGGAAGAUUCUGCAGCGCACAGGGCAUACCAUUAUUGUAGAAACGACCUUUAGUACCGAUCUCCAACCCCCUUUAAAACUGGUUUUGCAACCGGUACCGUUAUGUCGGUCCUUUAGUACCAGAUCAAAUAAGUACCGGUUGGUAACCAGUAUCAACUUGUUUUGCGGCCAAAAAAAUAAAGAAAAAAACAGUCAGAAGGCUCGCGCACACGCGCAUCACAUGAAAUAUGCGUGUGCGGGGUCCAUGGGAUUCGAACCCAUGAAAUCAAGCUGCGCGCGACCCUUCGUUACCAUCUCACCUACAUAGCGCAUAUGCUUUCCUGAAGUAACCCGUGGAGGAGGCUUUAGUACCGGGUCAUAACACCACCCGGUACUAAAAAUGACUCUUCAGUACCGGGUCAUAACACCACCCGAUACUAGUAUCGGAUGGUGUAAUGACCCGAUACUAAAAGGCCUCUAGGGACCCUCAAAUUUGAACCCGGUACUAAUGCUAAUAUUAGUAGCGGGUCAAAGUGCAGCCAGAACUAAAGCAUGGGAUGAAAGGUCAUAUUUCUAGUAGUGUAUAGUUGUUGUGAAGGACUGACUUGGCUGUCCUCUCUCUUCUCCAUCCCCUUGGUCUUACGCCGCCGCUCGCACGCGAGCCGGUGCCCAACCAGAGGAGUGAGAGCUAGGGGCAGGUUGGGAGGUGGGGAUAGUGACUGGUGGCCAGGGUGAUGGUUGAUCCUGGUGGGGUUAGGGUUUUAGGGUUUUCGAGCUUCCUAUGGUCGGCGAACCUAGAGGAGGAGCUCAACAUCAGCUGCAACCCGCGAUGGUGGUGGUUUGGCCGGCGCCCGAGGCGAGGCAGCGCGGGAGUGCUGCCGGUGGGUUGGUGUUGGCACUCAUUAUUGACAACUAUUUUGUUCAUAAAAUAACACUCAAACUUGCUGCUGCUGCUGCUGCUGCCAUCGCCACCCUAGCCAUAAUAUAAAGGCAAAAUUUGCUAAAGGACAUGCAAAAUGAUGCUAGUUUGCUGGCGGGCAUCGUUGACCUUGUAAUAUGCUACAAGACACUCUAGUUGUGUAUCAAUUUGCUGAAAGACAUUGCUAUGACUAAAAUAAUGUUUCUGGACUGAGUUGGAGAGAGAGAUGGAGUGAAAUGUCUGUUUUGCCCAUGACCCCACUGGUCAGAUCCUUCUUCUUCCACCCUCCUUUGUUCUUUCUUCAACCAUUACCCAGCUCCAGCGUGUUGCAGAUCUACGAGGGUGGCGGCCUGGGGCGAGGGGCAUCGCUCGCCCUUGGAGGAGCGCUGCGAGCGACGGCGCGGGGGCGGCAACAGCGCGUCAGAACCUGACUGUUCGUUAGCUCCUCUCGCUGCUGGGGAAGGAGGGGGAUGGGCCAUGGACGGGGUUCCCUUGAAAACCUCAGCGUCGAGCUCGGGCGGCUACGCGCAGGCAGCACUAGGCUGCUUCACGGGGAGGGGGCGCGGCCAAUCAUUGGCACCCCACUGGUCCAAUGCUGAUGAAGAUGGUGCCAGCGUCGUGUGAGGACAUCUCAUCUCCUCGAGUUCCAUGGCCAGCACAGGUGAGCUGCCGCUACCACAAAACAGAGGUUUCGUGAGAGUCAAAAAACCUUAUGAAAAUAGCUAAAACCAUCAUGAAAAUAAUCCGUGACAUGACACUCUCACGAAAAUCCUCUCACAAAUAUGGUGCCAUGAAAAUACCAUUUUCAUGAGAGUGAACUGUCAUGAUUUUAUUUCGUGAGAGUAUUUCCUAUCAAUGACCUCCACGAAAUACUUUGUGCCACCAGGUCUUCAAGAUCAUUUUCAUGAGAGCUGAACAUCAGGAAAAGUCCGCCACAAAUGUUUUUCUUGGAGCCCCUAACUCUCAUGAAAAUCAUGCGGGCCGCCACGAAAAACAGCAUGACCAAAUGACAAAUUUCAUUUUCAUGUGUUCAUACCGCCAUGAAAAUGGUCAUUUUCAUGAGAGUUGAUGAAACAAAAAAUAGUGCCAUUUUCAUGAGAGUUCAAGCAACCAGGAAAAGACACUAAUAAACAUCCAGAUCCCAUCCAGCACACAUCCAUGCACAUAUAUAACCCACAUAUUGCUCCAGCACACAUCCAUGCAUAUACAAGAUCCAAAUGUUAAUAUAGUAGACAUCCAUGCCUGAACUAGUCUGCCACACAAGUCAUUGAUGCUACAAAUCCUACAAUCGCAGCAUGUGCAUACAAGUCACAGAAUGAGACAAUGUACCCAAAACUAAAAGGUUAGCAUCAACUGUGCUUCAACCAAAGUUGUCAUCCCAACUCUCCUCUUCAUCCAUGCCAUUCUUGUCGUGGCCGUCACUGUCAGUCCCCAUGGCAUUGCCAAUGCUGUGCAUGUCUUGGUAGGAACCUACAUGUGAUGAACUAGUAACCUGCAAAAAGAGCUCAAAGGAUCUUGUUCUCAUAUUGUAGCUGUGAAAUUCUUACAAGUAGUGUUGCAAUCAGUUCACUUUGAACCAAAAGAGCUCAAAGGAUCUUGUCCUAAAAGUUCCUCAUAAAGCUUAUGGGUUUGCUGGUGGAACUGGAAGGGCUUGAUGCAGCAGAUGCCAUUCUGCAAUAGAGAAAAAUUUAGAGAGCAGUACUAGUUAAAAUUGGAUGCAGAAGAUACACAUGAAACUAGUAUUUAUACAAGUCUAUACAAUUAAAAUCUAAGGAGACUUAUCAUCGUUUUCAUGUGUUGUGAAUUAAAAUAAUGAAGGAUACACUGUUAGGUGAAAAUUCAAGAAACAAAAUUUUGCAUAGAGAUAAAGGUCCAACAUUAUUACAAGUUAAGGUAGUUUUAAAUAUCCUUGUAAUCUUCCUUUGGUUUCCUCAACGAUUCGAAGACAAUAACCUUGCUUCUAUCAAUGAUAAUUAUAAGGAGAAUCCAGUGGAAACUGUGUAUUCGUAUUAGAACUACCUAAGGUUAAUUAGGUUAGGAAAGGAAAUUGAAAAUAGAUGGUACCCACACUUACUUAAAGUUGUCGGGCAAUAGUAUGUAAUGCUUGUAAUUCCGUUGCUCCAAGAAUUUGUAUAUGUGGUCCAAUGUAGACUUUGGUUGAUCCCGUAUCUGCUGUUGGUUAAAUAAGUGUUUCUAGCCAUUUCUAGCCAUUAGAACCGGGACUAAAGGGGGCUCUUUAGUACGGGUUGAUAUUACUAACCGGGAUUAAAGAGCCCCCAUUAGAGUUGGUUUUUGGAUGCGGAACUAACAACUCCUUUAGUCCUGAGUACGAAAACAACUGACAUAUUUGUUGCUGGAUGGAAGGUCCUUUCUCUACCGUGAAUAUUGCCAGAAAGAAUUGAAAGAGACUGCUUGCUAAAAAUAUGUCAUAGAUGUAGACCAAGCUACCAAGGAGGUAGACCAAACAUGAUACACACCAUGCGUACCUUGCUGUGCAGACUAUGCAUUGACAAGAUACCCGACCACAUGUUGGCCUCGGUCACAUCAAAAGAAUCAUGUAGGCCACCAAUAAACUACUUGAAGCGGCAUUCCGUAUCGUAUAUGCAUUGCCGGUUCAUCUGCAUUACAUUACAUAAAGCACUAUUAACUAUUUGAAUAAAAUGAACCAAUUUAAAAGUAAUGUGUUGUACUCUACUAUAGAAAGCCCUAUCACUGCCGGAUCCAAAAACAUCAUUGUUAAUGGUGGUUAAGUACCAAAUAUGACGGUCAAUAUUCUCAAGAAUAAUGGAGAAUUAGCAUUUCUUAGACACAUAUUUGGUUUUGAACAAUGUAGUUCCACAUGUCUUUGGAGAUUAUUUGGGUGUGGGUGAAAUAAUACAAAAAUAAGGAGAAAACACACUCCCAUGGCGAAGAAACACAACUCCAACCAAUGAGAGAUAGCCACAGGGGCAGCACACGGAUCCAUGGGCCCACUAACCGCAUCAAACCAUCUUACCAAGGCAGGUAGCACCCACAACCGUCAUUAGGACCCACCUGGAAGUCUACCAAGAAGAAGGUUGCGAGUGGGGCCAGGAGGGGUUCGGUUGAAUCAUCUCUAGCUAGCUCCCCUCAUCCCCAGCUGGUGGGUGGUGGUGGUUGAUGGUGUCCCUACAUCAGUUAGAGGAGAUUCCCCCAAAUAUUCCUCCUGUAAACCACCUCUAUGGACCUAUACAUAGAGGGGUGUGCUCUCCAUUCCAACACACACCACAAGUUGAAUCACUCUCUCCCUCUUUAGUUUCCAAGUUUAUGGAGUUAGGCUAGAGUAGCUCUGCUCAAGGUUCCAAGUCCACUUGGAGUUAAGCAUAUGUCUCUUGUAUCGUUAUUUCCUAAAUUGACUUUAUGCUUAGUUCUUAUAUGCAUGAGUUAGUCUAAUACCCUUGCUAUAUUGAUAUGCUCGGCUUAUAUGCUCGUAUGCUAGUCAUAUACCCUUGCUGUCGUAGUAUAGGCUUAUAUGCUCUCAUGUGUGCCUGUAGACCUUGCUAUAGUAUAUACUUGUUGUGCAUACAUACCAUGUAUAGGCUAGUCGAUCUAUACCAUGGCAUUGGUUCAAUAGCCAUGUUUUUGGUGGCUCCAACCCUAGUCACAAUAGCUCGGGACAGCUGGAGUGUUGUUAAAAAUGCAAGAGUGGUGCUUGGGUUGUUUAGCAUCGUUGGAUAUGGGUUUGCCCCACGGGUUUCUAACGGUAGGCGGCAGCUAGUGACAUCCCUGUCCGUCCUUCGUAAUCCCCCCACAUUCAGGUACGCCAUAAAUGUUCGUAAAUUAGCAGUAACUACGCCGGUACACCUGUAGGGUAUUGUCUCCCUGUAGUACCUUGGUGCAUAGAACUAAGUCCUAUACACUGUGUGUGUAUGUUUACGCUGAUAUGAUCUGUGCAGUAUAUAGGAUGUAUAUAUGAACCUAGAGCUAACUCCUAGUCCGUUCUCCAUAGCUUAGUUAUCUUGAGAUGAUUCUUCUGUAUGUGUAACACUACCCAUCUUAUCAUUAUCCUUGAUCCUGUCUUGUGUAAUAUAUCUACUCAUCCUAUGAUAUACUCAUAUGCAUAGUAAACUAUUUUGACCUACCCGCCUUCCUUUGGGAAAUAUGAUACCUUGGAAUAAUCCUAGGUGAAAUCCUACAACGGUAUAUCCAUGUAAAUGCGGAUUUAUUCAUGACCAUUAAAUAUACCAACAAUCAUCACUGUGAGUUUUGGGCGUCGUUAGUGAAGGGUUGGUAGUGAUGGGCAUCCCCUUCACCAAUGGACCUGGAACCGGCGGUGAUGGCUAUUAUAAAAAAGGGGACACCACCCAGCGUACCCCACGACCCGGCCGGCCGCACCUCCCAUCAUCCCCGCCAGCCGCCCUUCCUUUUCGCCGGCCGAGCAUGGUCCCGGCCUUUGUCCCUACCACCUCGCCUCCACCGCGACCCCCCGCCGAUGCCCUCGUGCCUGGCCCCCCUCAUCUUGCCGGCCACCCUCCCGAUGCGUCCACUGGGGCCCUCGCACCACCAACCGCCCUUGCUUAGAGAGGGAGAGAGAGGAGGGAGGUGAGGCCACGCACCUCGUCCUACACCGCCGCUGUUUCUCCUCGGCCCACCGCGCCUCACCCCACACCACAGCCGCGCCUUGCCAUCUUACCGGCUGUGACGCCUCAUCUCACCGGCCACCGUUCCUCACCCCCACUUCGGUCGUCGCCGCUCCUUGCCCUACCGCUGCUCUUUGCCGCUGCGAAUGAGCGCCGAGUGGAGGAGGAGGGAUGGGGCAGGAGGAGGGCAAGAUCCGGGAGGAAGGGAGAGAUCUCGGGAGGUGGAGAUGGAAGGAUAUGGCGGAAGGGAGAGAUCCAGAGGGAGAGAGCAGGGGAGAGAGGGGGGCGUGUGGGGAGAGAGCGCGUGUGGGGUGGGGCCGGGCUGGUGGGAUGGAAGGGAGAGGGGCUAGACGGGCGCAGUGCAUUCAACUGGAUGAAGUAAAUAUUUUGGAUUCGAGACCCCAGCUUUAUUAUCACCGCUGGUCCGUAGUACCAUCCGGUGCCUGCUCGUAAUUUAAUUUGAAUCUGCGGUGAUGUUUUAUUAUCACCAUCGGAUCAUAUAAAAAUCCGGCGGUUAAAAAUCCGCUGGUUUCGAUGAAAACCGACGGUGAUAGGAUGACUGUGAUAGUCUCUUCUCUAGUAGUGGUAUAUUAGUACCGGCUGCCGGAUGGUGUUGCCGACCAGUACUUCUCCGGGGGCGAUUCAGUACUGCUGUUAGCAAAGCUUGUUCUCUAUGAAUUUGGGGAUGGAAAGCUAGUUCUCUAGUUGUGAUUUGUUACAUAUAUAUCUAUGAUAGUCUAGAAAUUGCAUGUCCUUCGUUGACAUAGUUGAAGCUGCUUCAAGAAUUUACUUCGUGCAGUCGUGCAGCAUAUUGGAUUAUCACCUAGACAGGAUACAUAGGUGAAGCAUUGGAUGUGAUUGUGGCCGAUAAUUAUGCAGGACGCUGUUGCAAUCAACCACCAAGAAGUCUGGAGUGAUGGGGUUGCCUCAUCAAUAAUUUUUAUAUAUGGCUGCAGUAUUAUUAAGCCCACGUCAAUAAUUUUUUGUCCGCACCAUAUAUCGAUGGGGUUGCCUCAUCAAUAAUUCGCGCAACCAGACAAGCUGCAGACUCAAUAUGGUACGAAGCUAGUUGCUCAGCCCACAUGCUCUGAUAUAACAUUGACAUCUGCUGAUCUACAGUAUAUAUGACCAGAAAUAUUGUGCCCACCUCAAUAACUUUCUGAAGUAUCGUGGGGAAGAACCUACGCGUACUAUGCCUCGGAACUAACUGACAUAUCGGCCCAGGCGGUCUAGGCCGAUUGGACUGGCUCUUCCUUGUGGCUUCUCACAUCCCCUUCGUCCCCAAGUAAUUUCAGGUGUUCUGUAGUUUUCUUUUCACUUGCAUCUGAGCCUCCUAUAUCAAUAGCUUCGGGAUAAGAAUGCCUCUUGAUAACCUUCCAAAUCCUCGCUUGAUUCACAUUGAUUCCGAAAUCAUCUUGCCAUAUCUUCAGAGACUUAGGUCCUAAGGCAUCAUGGAGGAUUGCUCGCCAAGAAUGAGCACCAUUGGGCUCCUGAGGACCCUAGGCCGAUCAGCCCGGGCUCUAUAGGUCGAUUGGCCCAGGCCCUCUCUGGGCCUGUUGGCCUUCAUCUUUCUUUGAGUCGACGCUUAUUCAGGGCUUUGUCCAAUUAUAGUCCAUUAUAGUCUAAUUUCCUAAAAAACAGAAUGUCCUCCAAAAUACAAUGCAUAUGUGAAAACAACCCAAUUAUUAGGUAUGAUCAAUAGUUUAGGUAUUAAAUUAAUAUUAUUAUUUAAGAUAAACAGGGGUAAAGGGUGUCAUUAAUAACAAGCGCCAACAAGCGUCCUAGCUGUUCAAUAAAUUUUUUCUAGUACCGAUUGGUAACACUAACCGGUGCUAAUAUGUACCCUUUAUUACCGGUUAUUUUACCAGGUACUAAAGGAGACAAGAGCAUCCUAACAUAAGGUUAAUAUCAUCCAUUUCAUGAGUAAAAUACUAUGAUUCAAAAAUAAUUCAAAUCCCUUAAGACAAUACCUAUCAAAUGAGUAAAUUGUAAAUAGAGUAAUCUUGAUCAAACAAUGUCCUAAUGAAACGGAACACUUCUGGUUCGUGUAGAGCACAAUAUAGAAAACAGUAGGGUAGCUGUAUGAUUGACACGUGGUCCAUUAAUUAUUGAGCCAACACUAUGGACAUGUCUUCAUGAGUAGUGUACUAGUCAUAAUACAUGGUAUGCAGUAGGUGGAGGUAUUGACUUAGCCAUGCUAUGAGCACUUAGUUACAACAAACACUUUGCCAUUAUCGAGCAUCCCAAAUCACUACAAAAUCCAUAGUUUACCAUAUACUACAAAAUCUGAGUUAAAAUAAGAGCAUACACGGAAGAGUCCGAAUGCACGGCACAUUGAAUUACUAGACAAAAUUUAUGGGACAAGGUUUUGGGUAACCGCAUGAAAAAUAUUGGAUUUUACUGAACACUUAGUUACAAUUACCAUGCCCGUGAGCACUUAGUCACCACAAACAUUUAACCACUUUAGAUCAUCCUGAAUCCCUAUAAAUUCUAUACCUUACACCGUACCAUGAAAACGACAAGAACAGAGACAGAUGCGGUGAAAAUCUCCAGAGCAAGCCUGAAAUUAAAAUAAGAGGAGGCAGUCACUAUCGACAGGACACGGAGAUUGCUAGCCAUGACAGAGGAAGACAUGAUAUGAUAUUCACCUCUGAAAUGCAGCGUAGACUAAAUGAAGCACAAUUGCAAGUGAGUGUGGCAGAUAAUGGACCAUCGAGACCAUCGAAUGGUAUGAAGCAUGAUUAUCACCUAGACAUGAUAUCCUAGACAGGACGGUGAAUUGUAAAAAGAGUAAUCUUGAUCAAAGAAUGUCCUAAUGAAACGGAACAUUUUUGGUACGUGUAGAGCAAAAUAUAGAAAACAGUAGAGUAGUUGUACGAUUGAAACUGCAUCCAUCGACGUGGUGCAUGAAUUGUUGAGCCAACACUGUGGACAUGUCUUCAUGAACACCAUCUAGUGAGGACAGCAUGCAGAAAAAUAUAAAAACAUGUCAUAGGGAGGCAGACCAAUCUUGCGAGGUAGACGAAACGUGAUACACGAUCUGCCUACCUUGUCGUGUGGAUACCCCAAGUGAAGAUGUCAUAGAGGUGCAGACCAAGCUAGCAAGGAGGUAGAUGAAACGUGAUACACGGCCUGCCUACCUUGCCGUGGAUAUUAGUCCUGAUAUCAUUCUAUUGUUCAAGGAAUAACACUCAAUGCUGCUGCUGCUGCUGACCUGGCUCCAUAAAGUUAUAUUCCUCUAGCCGCUUGCACUAACUUUAUCUGAAGUAUUAUUCUCUCUGCACUGUAUAUAUGGUUACGGAGUUUGCUGGAGUAUCCGGGGGGAAGAACCUACAUAAUAUGUCUUGGAACUAACUGACAUUGAUUCACAGACAAGGUGCUGUUGUUGACAUGGUACAGUAAAUAAUAUAGUUUACCAUAUACCGUAUACCAUUAUAUGUUAGCUAAAAUAAGAGCAUAACAUGUCGCAGGAGUCCAAAAGCACCGGUUGAGGACCAGGUACAUUAAAUUACUAGAAAACAAAAGGGGACAAGGUUUAGGUAGCCACAUGAAAAACAUUUGAAUUUACUGUACCAUGAACACUUAGUUACCAUGCCGGGAGCACCUAGUUAACACUAACAUUUAGCCACUUUAGAUCAUCCCGAAACACCAAUGACCCUCAAUAGCGACAAAUUUUGGUUUAAAUGCCGUCACCAAUGAUCCUCAAUAGUGACGUGUUUAGGUUUAAAUCCCAUCACUAAUAACCCUUGGUAGUGACGUGUUUUGGUUUAAAUCUCAUCACCACUGAUCCUCACUAGUGACGUGUUUUUAGCAACACACGUUAUGAAUGACUUGUCAUUGGUGACAUGUUAAACGCGUUAUCUCAAUGGCAAAUCAAUGGUGACGUGUUUAAAAAAACAUGUCACUGUGAGAGUUAUUGGUGAAGGGUAAUUAAAAUGCAUCACUAAUUUUGUAGCAUUAGUUAUGAUAUAAUUUUGUAACGCAAAAAUCUACCAUAGUAAUGAGGUUUAGAGCCAUCACUAAUGUGGGUUUCUUAUCGUAGUGAUGCAAGCUCUACAAGGUGCUGUUGUUGCCAUUUUAAAGCAUCCCAAAUGACUACAAGAGUCCGGUUGAGGACUAAACAAAUUGAAUUACUAGAACCAAAUGUAUGUCCAGAACAAAGAAAGGGGUCAAGGUUUGGGUAACCGCAUUAAAAACAUUGAAUUUUACUGUACCAUGAACACUUAGUUACCAUUACCAUGCCUUGAGCACCUAGUUACCACAAACAUUAAUUUAGCCACUUUAGAGGUUCCACAAUCACUAUAAAUAAUAUACCAACACCGUACCAUGAAAACAUCAAGAAGAGAGACGGGUACAUGGACCACCAUCAAGUGAGUAGUGACAGCACGCACAAGAAUACCCGGAACCUUUUAGCUUGUCUGUAGUGAUCUGUUUUCUUCGCCACAAAUAAUGAAAGAGGCUGACCAAGCUAGCAACGAGGUAGAGCAAACGUGAUACACGUAGGUUUCAUUCAAGACAUCCAUGUAAGAUUCAUUCAAAACAUUCAUGGAAAUUUCUUGUAAGUUUUCAUGUAAAUUUCAUUCAAGACAUUUGUUAGAGGUGUUGUAUAUACACUUAACGUACAUAUAUCUAUGAUUUCAUGGUUGUUAGUGAUGGCAGAUGAGGAGCAUGCAAGGUGUUUAAUGGAGCAGAUUAUUGCUAGUGGUAGUGGCUCCAACCUGCCCGUAACGUACACCGACGAAGAGGGCAGCCAGGCGGACAUGUUCCUCAACAUGUCCGGUGAUGGCAAUGAAGAGCCCGAGCAAAACCUUGCCGUGACGGAAGGUUCCAUCGAGGUAUAUAUCAUUUCCAUUAUUUUACCCCAUCUAUAAUUUCAUAUUCAUUAUUACUAUGUGCUAAUUAAUGAAUCUUGAACCGUUAGUCCUCUAGAUCAACGAACCGAAAUAAGCCCCGAGGUCUUACAAAGAUAAUGCAGGGAAGGCUUCACAUCAUGGAAGUCACAGAAGAGGGCACAUCGGUUGCUCCCGAACAUGUGGCAAGAAAGUACGUGAGUCAAACCGGGGCAAUCGUAAGGGACAACAUGCCCAUCAGCAUCAGGGAAUGAAAGAGCAAUAGAAAUGAUCUAUACGCACCCCCGGAUACACAAAAGGAUAUGUUGUGGGCAAAUAUCAAGAAACACUUCACAUUUCCCAAAGGAUAUGUUGAAAAAUAUGUGAAAGCGUGGAUGUUGAAGAAGAUGGCCACCCAAUUCCAGACAUUCAAGAAGAUGUUGGAUGCCAACUUCAUCAAGAAGGGUCGAACUCCGGGUUUCAAUGAGUGGCCAAAGUUAAGGGACCACUGGGAGUCGUUUGUCGAAUACAAGACGAGCGAAGGUGGUGCGAGUAAGGUUCACAUCAAUGUUGCCAAUGCUAGCAAGGAGUACCAUCAUCAUCUAGGGCGACGUGGUUACAGCUCUGCAAUUCCCAGAUGGCGCAAGAUGGAACAAGACCUGAUCGAUCGGGGUAUCGUACCAGCAACUCUUGACUGGAUCGAUUGAAAAAUUGGUAUUAUGCUCAUGAAGGCAAUCUGAGCCAAGAGGAUCCGACAUUGGUCUUCAAUAAAACAAUACGUCAGAAGGUCGGAAGGCUUAUUAGGAACAUUGAAGAUGCUAAAGCUGGGAGGUUCAAGGUGGAUAGAGAGAAUGAUGAACUCACAUUGGCCCUCGGGACUGUCAUCUCUAGCACUUCCAGCUCCAGGACUAUCGUCACCACCGGGACCGUCGCUUCCUGCUCGAUCACAGUCUCCAUCUCCAGCACAUCCUGGUGGUGCGAGCGACGACGACAACAACACCCCUCCCUGCCCACCAUUGCCGGGACUAAGACCCGCAUUGAGUAAGGAACCUGCAACACCACUGAAGAAGUCGCGACCACCACCUUCAAGGCAAGUCAGCAAAAGAAGAAAGCAGAGAAGCCUAAACCCACUGAGAAGCCAGCGACUGAUAUGACCGAUGCGGAAAGAUGGAAGGCACUCAAAGAAGAAUGCAGGGAGUGGUUCAGCGAAGGCGAAGGUGAGAAAGUCGUAUGAAUCGAAUUCAAGGAUAUAUAUGAAGUGAACCAUCAGGAUGCCCUUGAUGUCUCUCUCAUCAGCGCCUAGGUUCUGUAAGUGUAUGUUUAUCUAUAAGUAAAUUUUGGCUCAUAUCAUUAUUUUUUUUGCGUGCGUCACCCUACUAACUUCGUCUUCCAUUUUAUGUAGGAUGCUAAUUCAGACGUGCCGCAUAGAAGCGUACUUCCAUGUUGGAUUCAUGGAUCCAUCCCUAGUUAACCAAAAGCCGAUACGGAAGUAGCUAGAGAAAACGUUGGAGGUGGUGUACAACCUCCUGGACAAACUAAACUACAGAAUAGGGGCAAUAUGUGAGGGUCUUGUAGGAUUCCUAGUGGACGAGGUGAUAAAUCCAUAAGGAGAAUAUCAUUCCAACGGACGAGCAUUAGACACACUGAGCAACACCUAGAUGGGAGGAUCCUAGGAAUGACCUCGACAGAUUUUGGUAUAAAUAGUAAUUGUGUAAAUACUAGUUUGAUUUGUAUAGGAAUAUACUAAGAAUUGUAUAUAUAGUAAUUGUACAAAUACUAGUUUGAUUUGUAUGAAUACUAGAUUGAUUUUAUUAUAAAAAAGUUUUAAGUCGUACGUGCAUGCGCCUACAAAGGCGCGGAUGCCUUUUAAUCCCAGUCGGAAAAACAAACUGGUACUAAAGGGGCUCGUGCCGCACCUGGCAUGACCACCCCUUUAGUCCCGGUUGAACGACCCAGGACUAAAGAUCUCCGCGUCUCAAAAAUUUUAUCUCGGAUGCUUUUUAGAGAGAUUUGAGGCCUAUCAACCAAGACUAAUAUCGAGUUUUCUACCAGUGAAACUAACUAACGUUCACAUGGUUUUGACAUUCACCUGCCAUUUGGUGUAGACAAGGGCACCCUAACAUAUGGUUAAUAUUAUUCUUGAAAGAAAAUCCUUUGAUUCAAAAUACUUCAAACCUAAUAAUACAAUACUUCUCACAUCUGAAAAAUAUGAGACGGCCCGACAGUAUUCUAAUCGACGCAAUAAUAUUUUGAGGGCAGCACUACUACAGCGACCCUCAUUCGUGCCGGUGCUGGGACUCCUAUCACGACCCUGAUACAAAUGAGGGUACAUUAUUGGUGCCAGUGCUAGAACAGCCACGAAUAACUUGCUAAACGUGCUGUUACACUCACUACAGGGACCAAGAAGGUAGAUAAAUUACACGACAUAGCCUUGGUUGCCGUGGAAGCGCCAAGAAGGGAGACAAAUUACAGGGACCACACCAUCAAGUAGAUAGUGACAAUAUGCAAAAGAAUACCCGCGCCUGUUAGCAUGUGAACUGACCACACCACGAAACGUGAUACACGGCAAGCGUACCAAGGCCUUGCUGUGCAGACUAUGCAUGGACAACACAUGGUACCUGACCGCUUUUGGCCUCAGACACAUCGAAAAACUGCAUCGUUCCACGUUGUACAUCCAUUGCUAGUUUAUCUAUAUUACAUAAUAUAUUAUUAGCUAUUUGAAUAGAAUGAACCAAUUAAAAAAUUGCGUUGUAUUUUUAGUACCGGCUGCAGGAUGGUGUUACCAACCAGUACUAAUUGGCCUGUAGGAGUGAUGGUUAUUAGACUUGGUACUGUUGUUAGCAUCAUUAACCUAAUUGUGCGCCGUAUGAAUUUGGGGAUGCAAAGCUAGCUCUCUAUGAAUGUGAGGGAUGGAAAGCUAGUUCUCUAGUAGUAAUUAUAUAUAUGACAGUCAAGAAAUCGAACACUAUGCUGCUACGAGUCACCAUCAUUUCCUUCAUUGACAAUCUGACAUAGGUGAAGCUGCUUCAAUAAUUUCCUUCGCGCAGUCGUGGAGCUUAUUGGAUUAUCACCAGGACGGGACACGGAAAUGGCCAGCAAUGAAGCUGAUUGCCGUCUGAGGAAGACUACAUACUUACCUAUGAAAUGAAGCGAUUGCAUAGACUAAUGAAGCAUUGCAUAUUUGCAUGUGAGUGUGGCAGAUAAUUCUGCAGGACAUGAUUGCAAUCCACGCACCAUCGAGAAGACUGGGGCGAUGGGGUUGCCUCAUCAAUAAUCACGUGGAUGCAUGCAUGCAUGUUCCCGCAACCGGACAAGGGUCUGAUAUAUGGCUAUAGUAUUACUGAGCCCACAUCAAUAAUUUCCACUGGUGUAUCGUGUGGGAAGAAUCAACAUACUACACCUCGAGUUCUUGGAACUAACUGACGUUCACAUGCAACCUCCACAAGGUGCUGUAUGCUUUUGACAUUCACCUGCCAGUUCGUGUAGAGAAGGACACCCUAACGUAUAGUUAAUAUUAUCCAUUUCAUGAGUAAAAUACUGUGAUUCAAAAAUACUUCAAAUCCCUUGAGACAAUACUUCUCACUUGACUAACCACUAACCAACCCCGAAACCCUAACUCAACUCCGAACCCUAACCCCUAACGGCAUAACCACUCCGUUUUGCCGGCGAGAUGGAGGAACUGGCUGGAAGGUAGAGAGGGCAGCGGUCCAGGGUUGAAAACGACGGGCGAGCGCAGUAACAUGUGGAGGAGGAAGUGCCACGUAUUCGUUCACCGCUAUUGGGCAGCGACACACGACACGCCCAAUAAGAUCUUCGCACGGUAGAAGGACGUCAUGUAUUCAAUAAUGUUAUUGGUCCCCCAUGUGCAGAAGGGCGCGCGCGUAUGGAAUAACAAGUAGGGACACUGCAACUAAUCUACUCUGCUCGUCCAGUCCCUAGCCUAUAAAUAGAUGCCAUGCUAGCUCUUGUUGUGCUCACAAUUAAUCCGAUUACACACGAGCUUCUCUCCCUGGCCAAGACACAACCAUAGUAUGAUGAAGAACAUGGCACUAGCCGGCAAUGGUAUGAAGAAGUUAAUCCUCGCUGUUCUCUUACUGUGUCUAGUUAUAGGGCAGAUACAAGUGGAAGCUAAGAGCUGCUGCCCAUCCACCACUGCAAGAAAUGUCUACAAUACCUGCCGUUUCACGGGUACAUCCCGUCCAACGUGUGCAAAACUGUCAGGCUGCAAAAUUAUCAGCGGGAACAAAUGCAAGCCCCCUAACGACCACCUCACCCUUGACCCGGACACUGGUAAAUAAUAAAUUUAUCUCACUUGAUUUCUUCGUGAUUUGAGUCGUUAAUGUAUUUUCCAUCUGAUGAAACGUAUUGGUUUUGCAUUGAAGAGGAAGUUAAUGUGCUUAACUUCUGCAAGUUGGGGUGUGCGUCGUCUGUGUGCAACAACAUCAACGCUGGUAAGCAACUUUUGCUCAGACAGAGAAAACAAUAAUCAUUAAUUAGCGGCAGCUAGAAUCCUAUAAUCUAAUAUAUAUAUAUAUAUAUAAUUUUAUCAGCUCUGGGAAAUGAAGAGGCGAACGAUGCCGUUGAGAGUUGCGACCAAGCCUGCUCUAGCUUCUGCAGCGUGCAUGUUGGCAGCGCCACCGUGGUUGCUUAAGCAAAUGCAUCCAACUAGAUCGUCCUUGUGCUGAAUAAUUGGAUAUCGUAUCCACUUAAAGCUGCCUUGUGUAGUACGUCUUUGUGUCUCUCUUUAUAUUCCAAUAAGGUCGGUGAUCUUGAUGCCACACACUCAGAUGUGUGUUCAUCUCCAGAUACUACUCCAUGCUACCUGCCCUUUGUGUUUUGUUCAAUAACUGGGUAUCAUAUCCCAGCCAGUAUGCCGUCUGUUUUGUGUUUGUUUCCUUCUAGUUCCAAAGGGGUCAUCAUGAUGUUACCUUCUUUCAAUAUGGUGCUUUGCAUGACUACUGUUGUAUGGUACCAUCUUGUGGCCAAUAAGUACAUCUUAUCCUAUGACCUUUGCUAUGACCCUUUGCAAAUAAGUAGAAGAUUGUUAUAAGCGUCAAUACUCCGUAUAAAUUGAUCGCUGCUGUGAGUUCCCUUUCAGCUUAUCGUAGGCAUACAUUAUUGCUAGCACGGUAAAGCCAACCAACACGAAUGAUGAAGUAAACGUAGCGGUACUUCUGUAUACCAACACCCUUACUUAAAUGUACCGGUGUCAUUCCCUACUGGCACAUAUAUUCUUAUAUGCUAGCCAGCUUGUAAAAUUAACCAAUUAAAAUAAUUAUUUCAAGAUAGAAAUAACUUAUCGGUUUCUGGAAGCAUGUGUAAUGUGAAUUCAAGGACUCGACGGAAGUUGAAUCACUUCAUCUAUAUUGCUUUCAGUAUUUUGGGUAACUAAAUUUAACAUUUGCACAUACAAAUGUUAAAGUACAAAUGUUAAAUCUAGUUACCCAAGCAGAAUAUGAAGAUAGUUUAUAGUAUAUAUAUACUAUAUAAAUCUAGUUAACAUUUAGUCUAAAUGUUAAAUCUAGUUACCUAAAAUCCUGAAAGCAAAAUGUAUAAAUAUAUAUCUUUUAAGGCAGUAUAAGCUUCGAUUCCUAUUGCUGCUCUGUUAAAUCUCAUCUUUCGUUGUGGCCCAACACUCUAGUAUGCAUGUUGCACCAAGCUUCUUUGAGCCGCUCUGCCCUCUGAUUUUGCUGCGUAGGGGAAUCUUUAUCAGGUUGGGCUACUUCCAGUUGUGCGAUGUAAAGAUUCGUAUUUUCUAGAAGGUAGACAAAAAACUCGCGUUCUCUUAAGGCAACAACCGGAAGAUUCUGCAGCGCACAGGGCAUACCAUUAUUGUAGAAACGACCUUUAGUACCGAUCUCCAACCCCCUUUAAAACUGGUUUUGCAACCGGUACCGUUAUGUCGGUCCUUUAGUACCAGAUCAAAUAAGUACCGGUUGGUAACCAGUAUCAACUUGUUUUGCGGCCAAAAAAAUAAAGAAAAAAACAGUCAGAAGGCUCGCACACACGCGCAUCACAUGAAAUAUGCGUGUGCGGGGUCCAUGGGAUUCGAACCCAUGAAAUCAAGCUGCACGCGACCCUUCGUUACCAUCUCACCUACAUAGCGCAUAUGCUUUCCUGAAGUAACCCGUGGAGGAGGCUUUAGUACCGGGUCAUAACACCACCCGGUACUAAAAAUGACUCUUCAGUACCGGGUCAUAACACCACCUGAUACUAGUAUCGGAUGGUGUAAUGACCCGAUACUAAAAGGCCUCUAGGGACCCUCAAAUUUGAACCCGGUACUAAUGCUAAUAUUAGUAGCGGGUCAAAGUGCAGCCAGAACUAAAGCAUGGGAUGAAAGGUCAUAUUUCUAGUAGUGUAUAGUUGUUGUGAAGGACUGACUUGGCUGUCCUCUCUCUUCUCCAUCCCCUUGGUCUUACGCCGCCGCUCGCACGCGAGCCGGUGCCCAACCAGAGGAGUGAGAGCUAGGGGCAGGUUGGGAGGUGGGGAUAGUGACUGGUGGCCAGGGUGAUGGUUGAUCCUGGUGGGGUUAGGGUUUCAGGGUUUUCGAGCUUCCUAUGGUCGGCGAACCUAGAGGAGAAGCUCAACAUCAGCUGCAACCCGCGAUGGUGGUGGUUUGGCCGGCGCCCGAGGCGAGGCAGCGCGGGAGUGCUGCCGGUGGGUUGGUGUUGGCACUCAUUAUUGACAACUAUUUUGUUCAUAAAAUAACACUCAAACUUGCUGCUGCUGCUGCUGCCAUCGCCACCCUAGCCAUAAUAUAAAGGCAAAAUUUGCUAAAGGACAUGCAAAAUGAUGCUAGUUUGCUGGCGGGCAUCGUUGACCUUGUAAUAUGCUACAAGACACUCUAGUUGUGUAUCAAUUUGCUGAAAGACAUUGCUAUGACUAAAAUAAUGUUUCUGGACUGAGUUGGAGAGAGAGAUGGAGUGAAAUGUCUGUUUUGCCCAUGACCCCACUGGUCAGAUCCUUCUUCUUCCACCCUCCUUUGUUCUUUCUUCAACCAUUACCCAGCUCCAGCGUGUUGCAGAUCUACGAGGGUGGCGGCCUGGGGCGAGGGGCAUCGCUCGCCCUUGGAGGAGCGCUGCGAGCGACGGCGCGGGGGCGGCAACAGCGCGUCAGAACCUGACUGUUCGUUAGCUCCUCUCGCUGCUGGGGAAGAAGGAGGGGGAUGGGCCAUGGACGGGGUUCCCUUGAAAACCUCAGCGUCGAGCUCGGGCGGCUACGCGCAGGCAGCACUAGGCUGCUUCACGGGGAGGGGGCGCGGCCAAUCAUUGGCACCCCACUGGUCCAAUGCUGAUGAAGAUGGUGCCAGCGUCGUGUGAGGACAUCUCAUCUCCUCGAGUUCCAUGGCCAGCACAGGUGAGCUGCCGCUACCACAAAACAGAGGUUUCGUGAGAGUCAAAAAACCUUAUGAAAAUAGCUAAAACCAUCAUGAAAAUAAUCCGUGACAUGACACUCUCACGAAAAUCCUCUCACAAAUAUGGUGCCAUGAAAAUACCAUUUUCAUGAGAGUGAACUGUCAUGAUUUUAUAAGCGUCAAUACUCGGUAUAAAUUGACUACUGCUGUGAGUUCCCUUUCAGCUUAUCGUAGGCAUACAUUAUUGCUAGCACGGUAAAGAGAACCAACACGAAUGAUGAAGUAAACGUAGCGGAACUUUUGUAUACCAACACCCUUACGUACCGGUGUCAUUCCCCACUGCCACAUAUAUUCUUAUAUGCUAACCAGCUUUGAAAAUUAAGCGAUUAAAAUAAUUAUUUCAAGAUAGAAAUAACUUAUCGGCUUCUCGAAGCUUGUGUAAUGUGAAUUCAAGGACUCGAUGGAAGUUGAAUCGCUUCAUCUAGAUUGCUUUCAGGAUUUUGGGUAACUAAAUUUAACAUUUGCACACACAAAUGUUAAUGUACAAAUGUUAAAUCUAGUUACCCAAGCAGAAUAUGAAGAUACUCUAUAGUAUAUAUGUACUAUAUAAAUCUAGUAAACAUUUAGUCUAAAUGUUAAAUCUAGUUACCUAAAAUCCUAAAAGCAAAAUGUAUAAAUAUAUAUCUUUUAAGGCAGUAUAAGCUUCAAUUCUCUGUUAAAUCUCAUCUUUCGUUGUGGCCCAACACUCUAGUAUGCAUGUUGCACCAAGCUUCUUUGAGCCGCUCUGCCCUCUGAUUUUGCUGCGUAGGGGAAUCUUUAUCAGGUUGGGCUACUUCCAGUUGUGCGAUGUAAAGCUUCGUAUCUUUUAGAAGGUAGACAAAAUACCCGCGUUCUGGAAGAUUCUGCAACGUGCACGUUGGCGCUGCCACCGUGGUUGCUUAAGCAAAUGCAUCCAACUGAAUCGUCCUUAAGCUGAAUAAUUGGAUAUGGUAUCCACUGCUUAAAGCUGCCAUGUUUAGUACGUCUUUGUUUUUCUCUCUUUAUAUUCCAAUAAGGUCGGUGAUCUUGAUGCCACACACUCAGAUGUGUGUUUAUCUCCAGAUACUACUCCAUGCUACCUACCCUUUGUGUUUUGUUCAAUAACUGGGUAUCAUAUCCUAGCCAGUGUGCCAUCUGUUUUGUGUUUGUUUCCUUCUAGUUCCAAAGGGGUCAUCAUGAUGUUACCUUCUUUUGAGGUGUCUAUGAUGACUUCGUUAAUAUCAAUAUUAACCAAUUCAAUCUGUCUUAACUAUUUGUAAGGGGUAUGAUGUAUGCAUGAUUAUAACAAUGAUUGCGCAUACAAUCGCCGCCAAAGAAACGGUCAAUACCAUUAAGACAUAUUACAGACAAUUCUCAUAAUCUAUAAUGAAUAUACAUAUUCACUACUGCAGAAGACUGUCAUUUGUAUCGGCUCAUACGUGCCAGGGCAAAGGUCACCCUUGCAUUAAGUACAUUUGCACGGUAAAGACAACCAACACGAAUAAUGAAGUAAACAUGCCGGUGCUUUUGUACACCAACACGCUUACUUAAAUGUACUGGUGUCAUUCCUCACCGGUAGCCGGCUUGAAAAUUAACCAAUUAGAACAAUUAUUUAUUGUAUCGGUGUGAUUUUUGACCUAUUGGAAUAUGAAUUUGACCGUUACUGCAUUCGUCAAGACUCAAGAGAGAAAUAACUGAUCGGCUUCUUAGAGCGUGUGCAAUGUGAAAUCAAGGACUGGAUGGAAGUUGAAGCGCUAGCACUAGUAGAGAAACGACUUUCCAUCCACCCCCUUUUGUCCCGGUUUAAAGUUGGCUCGGGAUAAAAGGUUCACCAACCGGGACUAAAACUCAGUCACUGGUGGGAGGCUCACCAACCGGAACCUUUUAUCCCGGUUGCAAAGGCUAAUGGGAAAAAAAGACUCUGAGAGGCCUUUUAUCCCGGUUUGAAACACCAACCGGGAUAAAAGACCCCCCUUUUAUCCCGGUUGGUAACACCAACCGAGAUAAAAGGGUCAAGAGCCUUUUAUCCCGGUUGGAAACACCAACCGGGAUAAAAGACCCCCUUUUAUCCCGGUUGGUGUUUCAAACCGGGAUAAAAGGGCCCCCACGAGGUGACUGGAAGGUGACUGGAAGGGGAUUAAAUCGUGGGGGACCCUUUUAUCCCGGUUGGAAACACCAACCGGGAUAAAAGGGGGUCUUUUAUCCCGGUUGGUGUUUCCAACCGGGAUAAAAGGGUCCCCCACGAGUUAAUACAAAAGGAUAGUAUCCCCUACAUAGUCAGAUGUGGUGUGUAGGUGGGAUGGUAAGGAAGCUACGCGCGAGCUCCGGAAUUUUUUUUUUUUUUUUUUGCAGCGUCGGCGCUCUCUACCCUUUUAUCCCGGUUGGUAUUACCAACCGGGAUAAAAGGGGGUCUUUUGUCCCGGUUGAGUGACCCGGGAUAAAAGACCCCCCCUUUUUUCCCCGGUUAGUUUAUCCCGGAUGCAUUUUCGGGAUAAAAGCACCCUACCAACCGGGAUUAAAGCUCACUUCUCUACCAGUGUAGCUUCAUCUUCCGCUGCAAGUUAAUUGCUUGGAUAAGAAGUUGUAGCCGCUGCAAGUUAUAAAUAGUCCCGCUGAUGCUGUGCUCCGAAGUCUAUACUAUAUAUGCGGAAACUAGAUUGCUUUCAGGAUUUUGGGUAACUAAAUUUAACAUUUGUACAUAAAAAUGUUAGUUUACGAAUGUUAAAUCUAGUUACCCAAGCAGAACAAGAAGAUAGUAUAUAGUAUAUACUAUAUAAAUCAAGUUAACAAUUAGUCUAAAUGUUAUAUCUACUUACCCAAAAUAUUGAAAGCAAAGAAAGAAUAAGUAUAUAUCUUUUGUUGGAAAAUUGGUCCACGGAGAGGCCCAUUUAGGCCUCGUUCGUUUCACCGGGAUGGGAUUCCAGUCAGGAUUACUUCCAAGUUCGGUUUGAGUGAUUCCACCCGUGUCACUCAAUCCGGCUAGGAUUCAUUCUAUGGGUGAGGAGGUAUGGUUUCAAUCCAGGCCAUCUAAUGUAGAAGGAUUCCAAUCCAGGCCGGUUUUCGUUCCAGGCCAGACUAAAACGAACAACACUUUCAAUGCAAGUCUGGUUUCAAACCGGGCCAUUUCAAACCACCCGGAAUGGACCUCGUUCCAGGCCAAUCCGGUGAAAACAAAUGAGGCCUUAAUGGAAUCCCAAAGCAAGAGUUCAGUGGCAUUCUAUAGUCCCAUGCUGCUAGUUUGAGUUGGUCGAAGCCAACUUAAAUAGGAGAGCUCUCUCACUUCUCUAAAUACGUAACUGAAGGAGAGAAGGGGGCUUGGGUUACACAACGCACGCACGCACGCAUAUUUGCGUUCUUUUCGCGUAACCAACCGCGUGACUUGAAACUUGCGACGUAGCGUGCUGCUAAGUCAAGUUGAUAUAACCUUUUUGCCGUUUGCAUGUAAUCUUUUGACAACGGUCAUUGGAGGUGAUAAGCACGCAGUCAAUACCUUAAUCUUGAGUUAAUAGGGUGGUUACUACUGCCAAUUAGUGGGGCAAUUUUGUAGGGGAAACGGUUAGCAGAGGGCUACCGUCUUCUCUAUAAGAAGUUCUGGAGACGUCCAGGAACACACAUGUACAUGUGAGAGACCCACAAAUUCCUUCCCUUCUCCCUUUUCCAUGUGGUGAAGUGUGCUGUGGUACUGAGCUGCUUGAUCUCGCCGCUCUUCUCCUUGGCAUGCACCGAGGAGGAGGGUGAGCGGUAUCUCCGAGCUAUUGCCGUCAGGAAGCCUGCACGAGGGACAACAAAAAGUUUUUGGGUAGCGCAACUGCCAGCACAACUCUCCCUCCGCCUCUUCUUCACGGUUGAUGGCCACCACAAGCAUAAACCUCGCCUUCGCAUCCACGCAAAAGGGUCGCUGGGGUGCCUUCUUGCAUCGCUUCUCAGCCUCCUUGACUUGCGGCCAGCCAAGAACUGCGCCACCACCUCGGGUGCACGCCACCACUCCAGGGCUGCUACCCCAUGCCUGCGGCCGCCGCCGGCCACCACGCGUGUGCAACCGCGUCGCACCGCUUCCUUGCUUUGUGCCACCACUGCUGCUGUACCACCAGCUCCACCACCUUGGGCUGGUCGCCAGAGUGACUGAUAACUUAUUAUCUGUAACUACUAUUAACUCAGGGAUACAUGCGUCUUUUGCUUCUCCUACUAAUAUGUCCUAAAAUAUCUAGGAUGCCUUAUAUUUCUGGACAGAGGAAGUAUUUGAAUAAAAUGAACCAAUUUAAAAAAAUGUGUUGUACACUACUACAGAAAGACCUAUCAGUGUCAAACCCAAAAAUGUUGUCACCGCCAGUUUUGGGCAUCAUUGGUGAAAGGUUGGCGGUGAUGGGCUUUCCCUUCAACAACGGCACUGGAGCCGACGGUGAUUGACAUUAGAAAACAAAAAAGGGGACCCUACCUAGCCACCCCUGCAACCCGGCCGGCCGUGCCUCCCCUCAUCCCCACCACCUCGCCUCCCCAUGACCCCCCGCCGGCGCCCUUGCGCCUAGCCCCCUCAACUGCCCAGCCGGCCACCCUCAUCACGAGAGAGAGGUGCAUGUUGUAUAAUUGCGUGAAUUUUUUAAUGUUUAAUUUCAUGUAAGUUCCGUGUAAUAAAUUGUACAAGUUUUAUUGUAUAUAUGAAUUCCAUAUAUAUAUAUAUAUAUUUAUAAUUUAAUGUAUGGUUUCAUGUGUAUAUUUCAAUCAUGUGUAUAUUUAGUAGAUUGCCGAUUUUCUUUUUCUACUAGACAAGGGUUGAUGUAUAAUUACGUGUAUAUGUUUAUUGUACGGGCAAUUAGGACAAGUUUUGUAUAAAUUUCUUUUAUUUGAUGGUUGUUGUAUGGUUUCAUGUAUAUACAUUUAUUGUACUACUUUAGACAAUUUUUAAUUUAAUGUUUCUAUGAUUAGAUGUGUGUAUAACUAAUUGUAUUAUUAGUUAAGAUGGGAGCUAAAGAGGAUGAAAGGUAUAUAAUGGAGCAGAUUAUUGCUAGCUCAAACGUUGCAAGAACCUACACCGAGGGUGAGGGUAGCUAGGUGGACAUGUACCUCAACAUGUCCAGUGAUGGCAAUGACGAUGAGGAGCACGAGCAUGACAUCUAUGAUAAUGCGGAACAAGACAUUGCAGAAUUGGAAGGUUCUAAUGAGGUGUGCUUCAUGUUGACAAUCUAGUUGGCUUUUUUUCGUUGGUCACACCUUAGUUACCAUAGAACUUCGUCUCGGGAGAAGAUUGGUGGUGGUAUGGUGAUUGGAAUUUUAUUUCCACGAAAUCUGAUUUCCAUCGAAUCAUAUCCCUUGUAUUUAUCUUCUUUUUAUUUGUGAGAGCAUCUUCUUUAUGCUUGCAAAACAAUUCAAGUGCACAUACUACCCCUAGGGUGACGAUUGGGAGUAGAAAUAAUUGCCAACAAAACAACACCACAUCCUAAGAUUCUUAACUUGUGGCAUAAUUAGUCUAGUAAAAAGAAAGAUAAAAACCUAAUGGGUGUAUGUGAGUGCAAUGUGUAUAUGCAUAUGAGUGGAAGGCAUAUAAGCAAAGACAAUAUUUACACAUAGUUCUAAACACCAUGUUUACAGCUAGGUUGCUGAAUUUCUCCAUAGCCAUAGAGAUUAAUUAACCAAGGUCAAAACACGAUGUCUAUCCCAAGAUCAGUAAUUAUUUAUAGCACAAGAAAAAGAAAGCGCAUUGCAAAGUUUAUAAACCAACCAAUACAGCAUGAAAACAAGAUGAAUAGCUAGCAAGGUUUAUUAAACUGAAUGAUGACGGUCUGUAAGCAAGUUUAAACACCAUCUUUACACAAGAUUGCAAAUGGAAAAUGCCCAUAUGAAGCACUAACAUGGAUAUGAAAUCAUUCAUCAUAAAGCGUAAAGAACAACCAAGCCAACCAUAUGCAAAGCAUGAAUGGAAUGCAAUGAAGGUGCAAGAGAACAUUUUUGGAUGAACACAUUAUGAUGAUGGCAAAAUGCAAUGCAUGCAGAAAAAAUAAAUAUGAACAUGAAUAUGAUGAUCAGGGGCGGACCCACUAUUGUGGCCUGGGUAUUCCUCGGCAUACCCAAUAUUUUUGGGAAAAUGUUUAGUAGUUUUUAAUGGCAUAUACAUGUAUAAUAUAGUUUAGGUGUUAAAAUUGAUAUUCACAGCUAUUUUGGGCUCCAAUUCGCGUCCAAACCAACCUGGCCCACAGACCGCACCCGGCCGCCCGGCCCAUCGGCCCAUCUUGUCACUGAUCCUCCCACCACCACACUCAGCCCGUCAGUUAGUCAGGUCCCGAGCUCCUGCCUGACCUAGUCCGCUACCACCGCCAGGCGCCAGGCACAGCUGUACACGCCGCCCCCGUCCACCCACGUCCGCCGCACGGCCGCGUCGCGCCCCCCCCCGGCGCCCGCUGCUGCCAGAACCCAUUAGGCCUCCACCGGCAAGUCCACCCACAGUCCCGCGCGACGCGGCAGCCUCUUGGCUCUCGGCGCUCGCGGCGCGCCAAUGCCUGCGCAGCCCCAGCAGGCGACUGCCCCCCCCCCCCCCGCAUCGGGCCUCGGCCCCUCCCCAGCUCCCCCUCCCCCCUCCACCAGGACUGCCUGCUGGCCCCCACCGCGAGGUAAUCGAAAUGGACUGCUCAAUCUCUCAAUCUGUUGACAUGAUGCACACGGUUGCAAAAAUAGAUGUGUCAAAAUAGAUGUAUUGCCAAUUGCUAUAGAUGCAUAUGGUUGACAUGAAGAAGUCAAAAAUGACAUUUGGUUCCUUGUAGGCAGUCAAAAAUGAAGAAGUCAAACAAUAUUGAUCUGAAAUCAAUGCGGGAAAGGGCUACGAAGACACACGGGUAGAUUCCCUUGUGAACUUUUUAUGUCGUUCGUCUAAAUAUAUUUUUGCAAUGGGCAUACCCUACUCUGAAAUCCUGGGUCCGCCACUGAUGAUGAUGGUCUAAACAUAAAACAAGCCUAGAUUAAUUAGCUACAACUGAAAUUAAGCAAAGGUUAAUGUCAUUGACCCUAGCUCUAUCCUAGCUUUUACUAAAGUCCCGGCACAUAUAGUGGUUGGGCCCACUCUCUCUACUUCCCUCUCUGCUGCAUGCACACACACGAGCAACUGGAGGCCCAACAAAGCCCAGAAGGGUUCGGCCGAACCCGUCCGAUCCAGUCUGAGCGCCGCUCCCUCCCAGCCUUCGCGCAGAUGCUCCUCCAACGUUCCUUGACCCCUCCCUCAGUGUCCCAUUGGGUUUAACAUUGUAGGAGAGGAGUCCCUUUUUUAAAAUCUCAACCACCUCCUCUCCUCAUUCACUCCACUCUCAUCUCCAUCAAACUCACCAAGAUCCACAUCGGAAAUACCUGCUUACCACCAUGGCUGGCAAAGCCCUCGUCCCUUUCACCAACUUGGGCUUGACCAUUGAUCUCGAUGGGAAAAUCACUCCAGCAAAUGUCAUUGUCCCUGUCGGCGAUCUGGCGAUGGAGGAGGUCCAGGCACUAGAGGUCGAGCCCCUAGCCAUCAUACCGCCCAAGGGGUAAAGCAGGAGCAUGACAGGCGCUGCUAGGGGUUCAGCCGAACUCCCAGUUCAGCCAAACGAGGACGGCGUCGCCUCGGCCUCCCGCUCGACUGCAUGCUUCCCCUUGCCAAGGAGGACUCCAGAACAGCGGGCGCGUGCGUCAAGUCCCUACAAAAGGCUGAAAUACAAUGAAUAUCCAGGGUCACCCUUGAAGAUGGGUGAACGCUACGCCGGGUCCUUGUUUGACUAGUACGGCGAUGCAUUCUGCCACCGCUAUGUCGUUGUCGAGAUUAGCGGAUCAAGACUUAGACUAGUAAAUUUCUUUUAUGCGCGUAAGGCUUCAGAUGGUGGCGUGGGAGACAUGGGUUUUAUACUAGUUCGGGCAAUGGAAUACCCUACGUCCAGUGUCUGGAGCUGCUUGUGUUGCCCACGCGGGGUUCUGUAGUAGGGGUUACAGGUGUGCGAGAGAGGGAGCUAAUCCCAGGUCUCUUAGGCGUGUUCCGGUCCUCUAGAUGGGAGAAGUGUGUUCUGUUUGCUUGGGAGUAUCGGUUGUGUCUGAGUUGUCUCCGGAGCCUCCUCCCGUCUCAGGUCCCCGAUUCUCCUUUCAUAGCACAAGGAGACCAUCGGGGUUACAGACGAGACCGAGCGUGGGGAGGAGUAAAGAGAUAAACAUAGCUAGGUAAAAAUACAACAAGAAAGGGGGGAACCAAGUUUCUAGGUCACCGGCGUCCUCGCCGGCCUUCGACUUCCGCCGGCGCAUUUGUCGGAGGAGGGUGGCCGCCAUCGCGUUCUGUCGAUGGCUUCCUCGGUGACUGUAGCCACCGGGCGUGAUGAUGGCAUUUCGUCGUGACCCUUUGUCUGUUGGGGGAGGCGGCGGAUCCUGCCAUUCUGCUGACGGCUCGCGGAGUGCGAACGUCGCAUCCCUGCCGCUGGGCACGCGGGGCGCGAGAACGUGCGAGGCUUCCCCCUACCCCAGGCGGCGCAGGCCAUGAGUGCCCUGUGGCAAAUCGGAGGAGGCCGCAGCUACUGUAGCUUGUACUGUGCAGCCACGUAUGGGUACUUGUGGCAGGUUGCGUGGUGGAUGCGGAUAUCCUUCUCCCUGACAGAUCUGCGGCGCAUUUAUGGCGAGAUCGACAUGGGGACCCACAAGACCCGCGCCCAAGGCGGAUACUUGUCUGGAGGGCCCGGGUUAGCCUGACCCCCUACGCUUGGGGUCGGGCGAGGCGGAGACUUGCGGCGGGGCGUCGGACGCUCCCGACACUAGACCUGCGGUCGCGCAAGGCGGAGCUUGGUCUUCCGGGGGUCGGGGGUGCCGGACCCCAGGAUGCGGGGUCGGGCGAGGUGGAGCGUAAUUCUUGCCUCCCAUGUUGGGCCGAUGGCAGUCUUUGUUACCUCUAGUGGGCUUGGGCCUUUAUGUUUUGUUGUUUCCAUGGGCUUCGAGAGGUCGUUAAUAUUUCCCCCCAACAGUAGCCCCCGAGCCUGUGGUGGAGUGGGGGCGCUCCUCCGGAGGCUACUAUCAUCGCCCCUAGGGAAUCCUCGCAGUUGAUCCGGGAUAGGAGGUGUUGUUUGCACGGCUUGACCGAGGGGGUCGAUUAGGCGACGCAUCCUGUGAGCGACUCGGUGCGGGAGGGUUUCUUGUUGUUCCCUUCUGUCUGAGAGCCUUAAGUCGAGACCACCUGCGUGGCCUUUGGUUGCAAGGCCAGCCCCCGAGCCCCCGCACGUUGCAGGGGACCGGUCGGAGGCUAGGUCGACUUUUGUUCAUUACCCUCAAGCGUCUGUUCGCUAGGACGGAGGGGGCGAGCCGUGCCAUGCUAUCCUCAUCGGACGAACCAUGGUGCUCAUUGAGUUACUAACGGGUUGAUUCGAGUGGGAUCCCGGUCCCCGUUCGGGGGGGGUCCGGCUUGGGCCAAGCUGGUGGCGUACCCCAGGCUCCGGUCGGCCAGUUCAUAUAGUUCCUGAGUCCGUUCGGUCGGACCGGGGGCUCAUUGCCUUUCUUCGGGGAAAAACCAUGAACUUUGAUGCCGGUCCAGACUCGAAUGUGAGAUUGAGACGCCCGGGGCUGUCGCGUGCCCGGGUGAUGGCCGCUAGCGGACCCGUCUCCUCUCACCCCUCACUCGGGGGUAUCCUGAGGCGGCUGUCGAACCCGUGGCGGGCCAGCCUUCGAACCUCUGGAUCGUAAUGGGCCGUAGGGGCGUUUUCAGCCCCGUAUCCCUUUUUACCUUUUGGUGGGCCUUGGGCCGAAUCAUGGAGGAGGUCGGGCCUUGGGCCGGAUGCGGAGGAUGUCGUGCCUUGGGCCGGAUGUGGGGGACGUCGUGCGUGUCUUCCGGGAGACGAAGUGGUGGAGGGUGCCAACCCGCGAAUCGAGGGAGGAGGGGAUGUUUCUACUGCAGGUCAUGCGCACGGUUUCCGAAAAGGCAGCGGGCGUGACGGGACGUACCUCGCGCCGCAUUUAUUGCGAUGGGGGCGUCUGUUCUGCUUCCCUCGUGCCUUCCCUAUAAAACGAGGACUUCGCCUCGCCGGUUCCGCCCGCCAUCUACCUUCAAGCCUUUUCGCCUCCUCGCGCGCCCUUAGCUUUCCUGUGCCCGCUUCGUCUUCCUCCGCCCAGUGCCGCGCCCUUUCUCCCCAUCCGCCGUCGAGUUCUUCUCCCUCCGGCGAUGGGAUCCUGGGCGCGUUCCCACUUCGGCCCCUCACGCGCCGAAGGCCUAGUGAGGAAAGGCCUCCUUUGCGAGAGGACGGAGACGGAUGAGUGGGGGUUCCCUGAGAUGGAAGAGGUGCCGACUCCGCCCACCGGCUACGUCGUUUCCUUUGCCCACUUCCACGAGAGGGGGUUUGCGACUCCGCCGAGCCUCUUCUUCCGCGGGCUUUUGUAUUACUACGGGCUUGAGCUGCAGCACCUCAACCCCAACGGGAUUCAGCACGUCGCGGCGUUCGUUGCGGUGUGCGAGGGGUUCCUGGGCAUUGAGCCCAACUUCUCGCUGUGGAAGUACUUCUUCACGGUCAGCCUAUACCAGAAGGCCGAGAAGAGGGGAAGCCAGCAGCGGUCGACCCCGGUGCCGAUAGGGUGCGUCGGAAUCCACCUCUGCCAUACUCGCGCCAAGGAGUAUAUCGCGAUGAAGACCGCGGCAUCCCACAAGGGGUGGCACCAGCAAUGGUUCUACGUGAAGAACUACUCCAACCCCCCCUGCCGGAGUUCACCGGCCGCAUUAUUGAAGCGGCGCCGGAGGUGUGGGUGUACGGCCCGGUGGAGAAGGAGAAGAAGCGGAUCACCGGCCUGCUGCAGGCCAUCGAGCACCUGAAGGAGAGGGGACUGACCGGAGCCGGAGUCAUCGGGGCGUACCACGCCCGGCGGGUGGCGCCGCUGAUGCUCCGGGUCCGCUCGCUCGCCGACAUGACCCCCGGUGCUCUCACCGAUGGCACUGUCCUCGCGACGGGUGCUCUCGCUGCCUCCGAGAUCCGGCAGCGGAUCCGGGAGGCGCUGGAGGACAAGGACGCCGAUUACCCGGUGCCCGGCCACCCUCCGAUGCGCCCGGACGAGAAUUUCAUUGAUCUGGUAAGGAUUUUGCGCGCCAGUUUCCCUCUCUUGCGUUUCUUGGUAUGCCGUUCUGACGCGAGGCCCUCUGUGUUUGCAGGGUAGCAUGACCCGGGUCGUCGACUUGCGUCCGCCAGUGUCGGAGGACGCCGAGUGGCGGUAGCAGAACCGUCUCCUUGCCGAGAAGCAAAAGUGACGCAAGGACAAGAGACAGCGAAGAAGAAGAAGAGGGCCGCCAAGGAGUUCCAGCGGCGGCGGUGGGGAUAGGUCGUGUCGGAUGACGAUGACGAUGAGAAGGAGGAGGAGGAUGACGAGGAGGAGGAGGAGUUUAUCCUGUCCCCCCGGUCAGGGGCGCUUGUUAUCCGGGAGCCGCGCUCCCAAGCGGCCAUGGGGGACAAGGCGGGCGAGCUGCCUGCCCGGACCCGAUCCUGCGAAGCUUUGGGGGCGCGCCCCAGGGGUCGGCGCAGAGCGCCCCCCGGGGGUCGACGGAGCCGACCCCCAUCCCUACACCUGCAGCCCAGGAGCAGAGGAGCAGCGACAAGCGGCCGUUGCCAGAUGCCCCGGGGUCGGCGUCCAGCUCAGAGGCGAAGCGCGCGCGCCGCCCUUGCGCUGGGGGAACGUGAGUUGAAUUUCCUUGCGAAUCUCGUUCCUUUCCAUGCAUUGUGUUUGUUUCCGCUGAUGCUGUUUGUUGUCUCACAGCACCGCCCCUCAAGGCCUUGUCCCGCCGUUGGCGCCAAAGAAGGCGUUGCGGUGUUGUCGCCUCUGCGGGGCGGACCGCGGCUCCGCCGGCGGCGAGUGGCGGGGUCACUGGUGAGACCGCGGGUCCUACCGCGGAGGUGGCCCCUGCGGCGGCAACCGGUGGAGUGGUGCCACCGCCGGGCAUGGGACAGGGUCUGGACCCCGCUCCGUCCUCCGCCUCUUCGGCCGACCCCGCGGUGCAGAGUAUCGCUCCUGGGGGCCCUCAGGCCGGGGAGGUGAUUGACCUCGACGCCGACGAGGUGGAGGAGACGGCGGCGGUGGAGACGGGGGCGGUUGCCCCAGCGGCCAUGACGGGGACGACGACGGCGACGGGGGAAGGAGAGUCUACCCCCGCGGCCACGGCGGGGACAGUGGCGACAGAGGAGGCGGGGACGCCCGCCCCGGCGGCUGCGACGGAGGAGGCGGCGGUGACGGAGACGGGGGCUUCCGCCCGGGAAGCCACAGCCGAGGUGGCAGCGGCGACGGAGGUGAAAGUGCCUGUUCUGGAGGCCACGGUGGGGGUGGGGACGCCUGCCUCGUGGCCACGACGGAGGGCGAGGCGGCCCCAGGGACACUUGCUCCGGCACCCGCGUUGGAGGCGGUGGCGCCGACGGGUUGGCCCGUGGCGGCCUCGACGGGGGCGGGGGUGCGUGCGCCGGGACCGUCGGUGAGGCCGGCGACUUCCGGGAUGGUGGUGCCCGUCUUGACGGCGGCGGCGGCGCGGUCGGCCCCCGCCCUUGCCUCUACCACUCCCAUUCCCAAGGCGUGGAGCGGAUCCGUCCUGCGUUGGUCGUCUCGUGACGACCCGCAGAGGCCCCUCUUCACGUUGGAUGAUGCCACAGAAUGGGGCAAGUGGCAGGCGCUGCAGGGCGGACUCGCUAACGUCCGCGCCGCUCUAUCUUCGGCGUUGGGGGAGCUGGACGGCGUCAUCUUCCCCGGUGGCCGGGUAUGGUGCUUUCUCCGUUGGUUAUUUUCUUCCCGUUACUUCGUCCCUGAUGGCACAUUGUUCUGCAGGCCCUCCAAGAAUGUAGCCGGGGAAAAUCUGAUUUCCUUUGGCUCGAGCAGGGGCUCUGGGAGCGCUUCAACUUGGAGUUGCAGCGGACCGGGGAGCUGACCAUGCAAGUCGCCACCGUCUAGCAUGUCAUCGACGAUCUGCGAAGGCACGAGCAGGCGGCACAGGAGGACGCGCGGCGGGCGGAGGCCAAGUUCCAGGUCGUUGCCGAAAGGGCUCGCUGCGACCGCGAGGAGUUCCAGGCCGUUGCCGAAAAGGCCCGCCACGACGCUGAGGAGCUCGCACGGCUGAAGGUGCAGCAUGAAGCUCUUCAGAAGAGCGGCAGAGGGCCUGGCAGGACCGGGACGCCGAGAAGGUCCGGAAGGAGGAGGCUGAGAAGGUGGCGGCCAACCUUGGGGCUGAGGUCAGCCAGCUCCAAGUGCAAGCGCGAGAGCUUCAGGCCUCCGUGGCCCAGGGGCUCGACCAGGAGCGCCAGCUGAAGGCCUAAUCCGAGGGUAUGACUCUGUUUAUUUCUUUGUCUUUGUGAUGUUGCGGUGAUAUUUUAUUUGGCGGGUUCUUCUGGAUGAUCCUUGCAGAUGAGCUCAACUGGCUGAGGGAGGUGCUUGACGCGGAGCGCGCUGAGCACGGCGACCUGCGGGACGCGGUCCGCGUCAUCUGUGACUUCCUUAGUGUGGUCCAGGGGGAGGGGACGAGCUCGCUGGCGGCUCGUGUCCUCGGGACGUACCGCCGGACCAGCGAGAUCGCCCUGGAAGCGCUUCGCACCGGCUUGAGGCAAGCCUUUGGGGUCUUCGGCUCCCACUAUUCCGGCAUCAACUUCGCCGGGAUGAGCGGGGGAUACGCCACCGGCUACUACGAGGCCGAGCUGGAUGAGAUCGACGUGUCGGUGCUCAGCCCGGCGGAGGCCUUGGUGAAGCUCCUCGAGGAUGAGGCCGUCCCGCCCGAAGAUCCCCGGACGAGUUAACUAUAUCGGGCUGGCGCCCCAGAUGUAAAUACGUUAGGGAAAGACUUGUUUUUUGUGAGGGCCGUAGAGGCCUUUUCUAUGAAUUGUCGUAAAAAAGUUUUUGAUUCCCUUUCUUGCUUUUUGGACUUGGAAAGUUUAGAGCACGUUGUCGGGCGUGUCAGUAAGCUUUGAUGAGCGAAGGCACCGUAGCCGCUGGGGCGUCGUUUUUUUUGCAGUCCGAUCAAUCUUGCCUGAACACCGUUCGUGCACUUUCUCCUUUUUAUGCCCAAAAGUUCAGAAAGAGGGUCGGCUCGGAAAGAGAAAGCGUUUUGAGAGGGUGUCAAGUGGCUUAGGUACUUGCGGCAGGUUGCGUGGUGGACGCGGAUAUCCUUCUCCCUGACAGAUCUGCGGCGCAUUUAUGGUGAGAUCAACAUGGGGACCCACAAGACCCGCGCCCAAGGCGGAUACUUGUCUGGAGGGCCCGGGUUAGCCCGACCCCCUACGCUUGGGGUCAGGCGAGGCGGAGACUUGCGGCGGGGGGUUGGACGCUCCUGACCCUAGACCUGCGGUCGGGCGAGGCGGAGCUUGGUCUUCCAGGGGUCGGGGGCGCCUUACCCCGGGAUGCGGGGUCGGGCGAGGCGGAGCGUAAUUCUUGCCUCCCAUGUUGGGCCGACGGCAAUCUUUGUUACCUUGGGUGGGCCUGGGCCUUUAUGUUUUGUUGUUUCCAUGGGCUUCGAGAGGUCGUUAAUAUUUCCCCCCAACACUAUGAGGAGGACUUGUGGGCAGAAAGUCAGCUACCACAAACUUGCCUCUGAAUAUUUGGAGUGCAAACAUUGGAUGGUGGUUGUGGAGAGCCCCAGCCAUACCUCGCACCCGUGGAGAGGUAAUUGUCGGAUUGCUUGGUUCGUCUCUAGAAUGCGACAAGGUCAGGCGCCACCUCUCACUGCUGCCAGUCAGAAGGCCGAGGGGCCAGUUUCAACAUAGUAAUGAGAAUCUCCGAAGGCCAAUAUGGUUAAGCAGCUAACCUCCAUGAUCAUAGACUUACGUUUAGAAAAUAGGAGGCUUAGCGAUGCGUUAACAGAGCAGAAGUUAGAAACAGAAGAACUUAAGGACGACUUCCGUGUCCUCCGCCUUGGUCUUUGUGCUAAGAUAAAGCGCUUGUACAAUGCCACGGGGAAUGACGGUCUCUACGAUGCAGCUCAAUAGACGUGCCCCUUGUAUCCUUUCCUUUAGGCACUUUAGAAUAUGUUUAUUUGUUUUCCUUCAUUUUAAUUUCCAAUAGAUUGUUAGCGCCUCCAAUUUAAUUUCAAUAAAGUGUAGACUCACCGGUCAUCCAACUUGAUGGAGUCCUUUUGUCACCUAGUUGUCUUUGGAAGAAGUAGCUGGGUACAAAAUAAGUGUGGGGGAGAGCCACAGACUCUCUAGAGCUGAAACAAUGCACAACACCCACAAAUAGAGAAAACCACGCUGCACCAGCACGUACGUGAAAGUGGAGCCAGAGCUGGACCCAUAGGGGUUUGGCCAACCCAAGGGGUGGCCCACUCGGGCCAUCUUCAUCCACCGCGUCGGUUUGUGUCUCUUUACCCCUGAUCUCCCUGAUUCAUGAGUUUGAAUGAAUUUUAAAUCUGAUCAACUAAUUCAAACUCAACUAAAAUGAAUCAACUGCUCCACCUGCUCUACAUGUUUUCUAUGGUUGGCUUGCAUAUGUUUUAUUUCAUGCUUAUCAUCUUGAUGCUUGUGAACAAAUAUCUUUAGGACAGCAUGCUCAUCUAAGUAGUUGAUGUGUAUGAUAUGGUUCGAUGAUAUGAUCUUCACUCUUAAUGCUUAAGUGCUUGGGAAAAUCUAUUUGAAAAUUUAAAAGCCUUUUUGAAAUCUCCUCUUUGAUGUGCCAAAGUCCUACCAAAGCCAUAUGAUAAGUUAUCUUGAAAAACCAUUUGCAUAUGUUGCUUGUCUUUGCAUUGAGCUUUGUCAAAUUGGUGUGACCCUUGUCACAAUUCUUUUCAUACUUUCAUGAUCAAGACUCAUGUGCACGCCAUAUACCCCUUGCUAUGCUUCUAUGAGAUGUUAGCAUUGUACCAUCCAUUCAUUCCACAAAAUAAAUGCUCCACCAUAUGUGUUGGUCUCCUUCUAAGAUUAUUGUUACAAAAGAGAUAUGGGCUAUCAAAAAAAAAUAUGAAUGUCCAAGAAAGUUGGACACAUGAAUGUCCAAUAAAAAGAAAAAGAAAGAUAGCCAUGUCCUCAGAAAUAUUUACAAAGGGAGAGAGAUCAUACAAAAAGGAGUUUCCAUUCCAUCCACCACAUCCAUACAUGUGCACAUCUUGAUCUGAUUGUAUGACUUAUUUUUCUCUUUGGAUCUGGUCUUUGACUUUGCAAUAUAUGUGAUGCAAGCAUGCCUUAUCCUUCAUAGCCUACCUUGAGCUCCACAUAUAGCCAUCAUUAGAAGUAGGAUGAAGAAAGGCAAGUCUAAUGCCUUGGUGAGGACAUAUACACAUUGAGUGAUCUGAGAGAAUCAAAUGAGGAGCUAAGCAAGGUUUUGUUUUGAAAACUAAUUGAAAAAUCCCAAGCUACUUGGCAUAAGGAGUUGAGGUGACUUGAUUCAAGACCAUUACAUUCCUCAACUACCCAAGAUGGCAUGAUAGACACUCCAAAGUUCACAAGUGCAGGUAUGGUUUGGAAUAUCUUUUAGGCUCGCUUCAUACCUUUGAAAGUUAUGUUUCACCUUAGUCCUUUCUCGUUCACUCAAGGAUAAGCAAAGGCUAAGUGUGGGGGUGUUGUUGAUGGCUCUUAAGUACAAAAUCUGCGCCAUCAACUCUUGCAUAAACACAUAAAAUAUGAGCAUCAACAAUAGUGGUAGGAGUUAUUACAAACGAAUUCCACAAGUCUUGGUGAAUAUUUGUAUGCAAGCCCAAUAGGAGAGAAAAGACACCUCAAAAGCAAGGAAACACACUCUCAACCAAUCAAGAGCAAGCACAUGGAACCAUGGGCCCACAACCAAAAGGAAAUCGACUACAUUCCAAACACCCUAUACCCACAUGAGAACCCAUAGGGCAGUGACCCAGAGCAAAGGUGAUGCCAGAGUGUAGAUGGUAGUUAGCAUGCCAAAUUUUGAACCGCAAGCGCUCGGAUUAGUUGUUUCUUUUCCCUUAGAGAUUCCCCCAAGGUUUAUCAAUCCAUGGAACAAGGGAUUUGCACGUUUCACUAAGCACUAAUCAAUGUAAUUGAAAGCUUUUCGAAUAAGAUAUGAUUAUGCUAACAAAGGAACUAAGCAAUCUAGAUUAAGAUGGAUAGAGAGUACAGGUUGUGAACAAGAUAGAUUAAACGCUUGUAGAUGCAAUCACCAUGCAUGAAUGAAUUAGAUCUAGGUGUUAUUGUGAGUGGUUGUGAACCAUGCCCAACACUUUCCCACCCGCAACAUUGUCACUACAUGUGGGUACUCAACUAUCGGAACAUAAGAACACAUCAAGAUGAUCAUUCUAGGUAAGCAAAUAAGCAACCCAAAGUAGCGCUGGCCAGCCUUUUCAUGAAAGAGCAUCAUCAAGAUAAGAUUGAUAACAAAAUAGAUCUCAACCAAAGGUUCAGCGAUUACAAAUCAAGAUCUUCGUAUAACCCCGAUGACAAAUAGAGGUAUUACCCCCAUGAUCUUACACAUGUUGAUGAAUUUUAGGGUAAAGGACACCCUGUAGAUCAACUGGACCAAAGAUGAUGAUGAACGGGGGCAGGGAAGGCCCAGGUUGAUCAGCCUGCGCACUUUUGAGCCGAUCAGCUCAGGGGGUUUCCUCCUCCCCUGGUGCUCCUCUUCGCGUGGCCUCCUCUGGAUCCAAUCUUCUCUUCAUUUCUCCUACUUGUGGCGGCAAUGGAUGGUGUUUGCAUGGUGAUUUCCUCUUCUCCCCAACUCUCCCUCCUUGAAGUCCAUGAGGGGGUAUUAAUAGUCUCCAAUAGGCGGCAGCUCUGGGUCAAUGUCAGUGAAAAAAUCCUAGAGAUCAUCGUACACUUCAUGCUGAGGAAACAAGAGGUUGACCGAGCCCUGGGAUAGACCAAGAGGAUCAUCCUAGAGGGUCCCAGGCUAAUCGGUCUAGGCCCUUCCUAGCCCUUCUAGUCCUCUCCUUCCUCGUGCUGGCUUUUCUCGAUGACCCUUGUCCAAAUAUCCAUGAAGCUCUAUAUACAUACCCCCUUGAUUAUGUUGUAUUUCCUGUCAAAAUACAAUGCUCCAAAAUACAACACAUAUGCAAUAAUAGGGUUAUUUCAGGUGCCAAUUGGUGGGUUAGUAUACGAAUAAGCAUGAAAAUACUGUUUAAAUGACACUAAAAGUGUGUCAAUAACGAGCACCAACAAUCCCCCCACGCUUAGAUCUUGCUCGUCCUCGAGCAAGUCUAGCGACUAAAAGAUCUUGAAUUAAACCUGAGCAAGCGAGUCAAGUACCUAGCCUUGAAACAAAAGAUUAGAGGAGCAGCAAAGAUAAUCAAAGUCUGGGUGUUCAAAGAUUUAUCUAAGCAAAGAUUCCCCUACAACUAUUAUUCAGAACCAAGUAACUUCAAAAAUCAACUACACUUAUUUUCUGGCUUUUUUCAGAGGGUUUUUCUUUCAUCAUAAAACAAUCUCCCUGCAACAAAAUUGAAAAAAGAAUUAUUUUCAAGGUGCUUACAUGUCGCUUAAAUGAAUGUUGGCUAUCCUACUUAUUUGCAAGCUCUCAUCUCUCAAAAUUCAUUCAAUUAUAUGGUGGAGUUUGGGUAAGGUUAGCUAGAAUCAACACGUAUAUUAUUGAAUUAAGAAAACCCUCUAACGGUGGCCUACCUUCCGAGCCAUUGAUCAUAAGAAUAUCCACAUAAUGUGAAGUUUUCAAGGAUGAGAAGAUAUAGAAUGGUGGACAUGUGCAAAGGCAAAGAAAUAUAGUGACUCUGAGGCACAAGCAAUGUCCUCGUCGUUGGAUUGCAUAUGGUUGUAAUGAAAAUAUGUUCCUUAAACAAGUCUAUCUUUUCUUUGCACCACUCUUGAUCUUCAUGACAGUAAAAACUCCUCCUUUAUUUCUUUCUCUCUUUUCCUAUUAUUUCUUUUUAUUUGUCUCAAUACUUUUAUUUCUUUAUUUCUUUAUUUUAAUCUCUUCUCUGAACCUCUUCUGAACACCACAUAAUAAAAAUAAGUUUUAGAUCCUUCCAGAGACCUUCCAGGAAUUUGCUACAUGAAAACCGAGGCAAGGAGACCCCAGGCCGAUUGGCCUAGCCACUCCUUUGCUCUCCUCUAGCUCUUCUUUCUGGUGAAGCUUCCUUAUCUUGUAUCUUUCCAAAAAUUUCAUAAAGCUCGACUAGAAACGGAACAGAUCUUCAUAUAAUGAGUUGUGUUCAAGGAAUUGGUAAUAAAAUUGAGAAAUUUGUGGUUCGGGUUUACGAAUUCAGUACAAAAAUAUGAUUGUUCCAAUGAAGAACUCUCAUUACUGAAUAUUGACGAGGCAAGCAUUCAAAGAUGGUAAAAAGGAUAUGAUCAAUUCUCAAAAUUAAAGCAAACCAAGAGAGAGCGAUCCUAAUUCAAUUCAAAGUGUCAAAUGUUGCUUAUGGUGGUAUGAAUAAAUAUUUUUAGGCAUUGGGUAGGAUAAAUAAAAACUCUCAACCUGGUUAAAAGAUAUUGAUCAAUCUUGUUUUUGCAGAGGUUUUAAAUAAAAAAUAAAAUUUUAAAUCACCUCCAAUUCAAAGCCUUACUCAUAAAUCAUAAUCAAAACUGAAGCACUUGAUCAUCAUAAAGCAUGGGUAUUGCAUAAACAAAUCGAUUACUAAAACUCCACAACUACGAUUUAGAAUUCAAGACAAUGCUCAUAAUCUAAAGUUGCAAAGAUAAAAUAAAAGACAACCAAGCCAAGGUAGACACUAAAAACACUUGCACGAUCCUUGAAUUUUAUUCAUGCUUCUUCUCACAAAGACGCUAAAGUAGCCAUGUAGGCCUAAGUCUUCCCAAAAGCUUAAGAAAACUACUACUUUAUCUACUUUUGGUUGAAAUAAAAAGACUAAUCUAGACUCUCACAUGAUUCGACUCGACCAAAUUAGAUCCAAAAACUCAUACGAGCGACGAUCUCCCCCCCCUCACGCUUAAAAUCUACGACCUCCUCGUCGUAGCCAUAUGGAGUACAAGGAAAAGAAGCUUGUAAACGCUCUAAUGACGCUACCCGCACUACUUGCACACGGGAUGGUUGCUGCUUCCUUCGCUUUGUUCUUCCUCAUGUUGCUGCACAUCCCGAAGAGCUUCCUCACGUUCCUCUGCAAGAACUUGAACUCGUCCUCCUGACGGCGAUCAUUAUCUUCUGCCUUUUGAUCCAGAGCUUGUAAGGCUUGCAUGAUGUCAUCGAACGCAUCGAAGAGGUAGUGGAUGUUCUUCCUGCAAGCUGUGGAACAUGUACGAUCAUGCUCCUCCGAUUCUGGCCCGUCGUCUUCUAGAUCCUUCUCUUUGCCCUUGUCUUGACGGUGGCUAUCUUGCUCCUUGCUCGCCUUCUUGCCUUCAGCCCAAUCCCAGUACGUGUUGUCAUCUUCUUCAUCGUCACGGCCUGCAGCACCCUAUGAUCCAUUGUCUAUCUUGUAUGAAAGAAUCAGAAGCUUGUUCUCCUCAGGGUGUCUUGCGCGGUGCAGCGUUUGCAAGUGCAAGACUUGCUAGUUCCUUUUACACAUUGUAAUGUUCAUUGCAUGCUCUAAUUGUUCUACAUUUGUAAUUUCUUGGUGAAGUUUGGUUACUGAUCCACUGUUUGAUUAACUCUUGGGCCCAAACACUGUACUACUUCUGAUUAGAUAUCUGUAUCUUGACUUUGACCAAAAAAAAUAUCCGGCAGUUUUUGCCAUUAAAGUUUCAUAAAUCAUCUUGCAAAAAUCGUACUAUACAACAAGGGACGGUUUAUUAUAAAAUAUACGUUCCCCUUAUCACAUGCCACUUCCACUCAAAAGGCAACGAAUCAGUUUUCAAUCCUGAGUGAGCAAUUUGCUUUUAUUACCGAUGCCUCCUAUUCCCUUGUGCACCAAGUUUAUUUUGGAUAGGGCUGCAAAAAACGACUAACCAGCUCGGAUUCUCCACCUGCAAAACCGCAUCUGCAGCAACCAACCCCACGCGGUGGAAAAAAAAACAAAACCUAGAAACCGGACGGGGGUGGAUGUGGGGCUCGGAGCCCAAGCAAAAAACGGAUCGGGAGCGCCGGAGCAGGCCAUCACCGGAUGUUAGAGAUAGAAAAUGGUUGAAGUUUGGAGUGGAAAUCAAACAAGCCUUGGAGCAAAGGAAAAAAAAAGAUCAAACCACUCAAGCAUUCAUUUGAUUUAGAAAAGAGAACAUUUGUUAAGGUGGGGAGUUGAAAUCAUCUUUUAAUUAGUUCCACGUAUCUGGUAUCAUUACAGUUGGUUUACUUGUGUAAGUAUAAGUAGCUCUGCCGAAGCCUUUGCUCCUAUAAUUUAGUAACUAGUACAAAUGGAUCAAUAGGAAAAUCAAGUUGCAAUCAUUUCUCAGCCAACCAAACCUAUGUAAAUCAAAUUAUUGUCCAUGCCCGGCAUGCACAGGUGCCUGCCAUGCAUGCAUUGUUGCUCCAUUGUAAUAACCAUUAUUGUCCAUCGAUGUUGCAGCGCAUGUGUGCACUGUGCAGACACCAAGCAUCGAGAUUAUGUACUAGUAAGGUGUUGAAAUAAUGGGCCUAGCCCAUAAGUAAUUUCAGAAUUUCAAAUAAAUCUCAAAGGCCCAUGUGGGCAAGAGGUGGAGUGGUGCAAGUCUUUAGUCCCACAUUGCUAGUCGAGGGGAGGGAUGACCAACUUAAAUAUGGAAGUUGUCUCCACUCCUCCAAGCUAUGUGUGAAGGGCGCGGGCGCGAGGCACUUGCGUGAAUGGUCCGCCGAAAUCUGGCCCCCCUUGCGGGGGCGCGGCUUCCUUUUGCCGUUUUAUUUUUUGGUUACUUGGUCGUUAAGUCAUGGAAUCCUAACCGGUUUAGAUCACGAUCGUGAAGGUUUUUGGGAAGCGCUCUGCGCGACUGCUCGAUCGCUUCUUCCGCUUCGUCAAGUUCUUCGUCGACUCCUUCACCACGGCUCGUCUACCUCUUCGUCGCUCGGGCCUCACUCGUCGUCGCGAACAACGUCAGGCUGCUGAUCGUCGUCGCCUGCUGUAUCCGGUAGUCGUCCAGGAGCCGGUUUUCAUCAAGAAAGAAACGUACGGUCUCUUAACUCACAUUAUGUCUUCCAUACUAGCUAUUAUGAUUGUUGCAGUCUGAUAGCUCUGGAUAGUAUGGUAGAAUGUCUGAUUCUAUUUGCAAUGAUAGACUUGUCUAGAUCUUGCGUAGACAUGUCUAGUUUAAUCUGCUGCUUGUUCAUCAUAUUCAUGAUUUAUUUCUGGAUUAAGUUAAAACUAAAAGUGCUUAUAUAUCCAACAUAAGGUACCAAGAACACGUGAAGCACCCGGGGGAGGCUGCUCCACUCCGCAUGCACAGGUGGGCACGGCACCACUACUCGUCUCCUUCAGGCUGAGGAUAAGUGAUGUACGCUGAUCAACAGACCACGACGGAACCAGCAAUAAUAGUUUCAGCCUGCCUCACAGUAAUUAAUAUAUCCUGUAUCCUCCGAGGACCCCUCCCCUUAAUCUUGGCCUAUUGCAUCCAAUAAUGAUAUGUGUGUUUAUCCAAAUUUACGGCACCUUUGGCGGGGGUUCCACCCAGCUCCGCCCUCUCCACCUUCGGUACUCCAUGGGAAACCAUUCCUUUGGAAUCAAGGAAGCUUGAACAGUAUAACGAAUAAAGUUUCAUAUAUCCAUUUGAUUUCACAUGAAAUAAAAUAUUCUGUCAGAACCAAUGGUUUCACUGAAGCUCCAGGCAGCGAGCGAAGGGGUGAGAGAGGAUAACGCUUACUGUGUGUUACCAUCGCGUGCACCAUGGAUGACCAACGCGCAGCCGAGAUGAAACGGCGGACCUAAACAGGUCCUCGCUAUUUUUGCAGGUUCUCGACCAGGCCAGUUCUUUAGGCCAACCUAUCAUUCACGAGUUAAACAUACGGUGGCUGGAGAAAUGUUCUAUUCUUUUAAACAAUACCAGCUGGUUCCUCCGUUUUUAUUCCACCAAUACAAGCACCACCUUGUAACAUUUCCUAUGUUUUUUUUCCUUUCGUCUGUUUUCUCACUACAUGCGUUGCUCUUUCAUGCAUUUUUUUCCAUUCCUGUAUUCCAAAUAGGUCUACAUGAACACAAAAUGAACUAGGGGACAGAAAAAGCCAGUGAAGUUAGUUUUGAGCUUCACCAGCUACUUGCUACAUAAAGUGUGCUAUAGUCGCAGAAAAGCUAAGCUGGAUCAGACGUGGCCGAAACAAUGCCAAAGAGCUAGGUCCCUAGCUGAUGGCAACACAUCAGAUGACUAGCCUGCUUUUCUGUAAUAAUGAUAUUGAGCAAUACACUGCAUGGCUAACCUGCUUUACAAUAAUUGUCAUUUUAUAAUAUUGGUCAUCACGAGAGAUGCACAUUGCAUACACCGGCCCAUCCCUAUAAAUAGCCAAGCCUUUCAGCCAUCUUGGGCACCUCCUCUCAGGGCCUCGUCUCACCAUCAGACAUCUCGUUCCCAGUUAUAAUUUGCGAGGUUAGAUCAGGCUGCGCCAUGGCGUCCGCAACUGCUGUCAAGAUCGUCGCCACCUUCAUGCUGGUGCUGACCAUGGGCCACCUGAUGGCCGAAGCAUCACCGCAGCCUCGGCGUGUGCUUGCAGAAACGGAGCAUGCUGCGGUGUCCGGGAAUCCUGGCCUCCCAGGUGAUGCUAGCGUCAUGCAGGUCCUCGAACCCGCCCUAGUUUCUCGGCUUGCCUGCAAACCAGAGUGCACAGUCCCUUGGCCUCCUUUUGUAUGUAUCUGCUAGAUCCUCUUCCUGGCUCAACGGAACUUCAGGGAAAUGGCUGUGACGUCGGCCAAAGAAUAAAUUGGAUGAACAUAAUAUACCCCGGGUAGUGUAGCUUGGGCUUUUGUUGAGCGUCUGGUGCUAGUUGUAUUUUGUUUGCUCAUGUGGCUUUGCUUCUGGUUGCAUAUUGGCUUUCCUAUCGCUCUCUGUUGCAGCUAUGGUUUCUGCCAGGUGUGUGUUAAUGCGGUUUGUAAGCGGUGCUUGUUCCUACCUUCUGUUUUCAAUAAAAGAAGUCGGAGUCUCCCUCCGACUCUUGUUAUCAGUCAACAAAAAUGAGUUGUAUCAUAUAUAUCUGCGUCUUUUUUCUACGUAUCUUUGGGCUGCUUCAGCUGGAAGUUUAUCGUAAGUACGUGUAUCAGGAUGAUCGUUUGAAUUAAAACGAAAUGAUAAUGUGUGGCUGCUAGAAAUGGAAUGAGCAUCUUACUAUAUUACUAAUUGGAAGCCUCCACGUGAAGCCACCUAGAAAUUCUAGGUGGACGUUUUAAAAAAAACAAAACUCAUAGAAGCCUCCACCACCUAGGAAUCCUAGGUGGACACUCUAAAAAGAGACAAAUCCUAGAAAUUCUAAAAAAAGAAAAAAAUAAUAACAAUAAGAUUUUUUUGCAGUCAAUUACAUAUAUUUUUUUGAGACACCGUGCUGCUAGCUCUUGCCAUUGCGACCAGUAAAGCAAGCAGAUAGUAAGAUGACAUGCGUGUGGAUUGAUUAAAACAAAUUCAGUUAGUUGAUUCUAAAUCGUAUGUAUCCUAAAAGGAAGAUAUGUGCGUGCAUGGUCCCUAGCGAUGACAUGUAGACAUGUAUUGCAAUUUCUUUUUUAAAAAACAUGUCUAUCUCUAAACCAACAAACAGAAAAAAUAUCAAUCUAAAUCUAAAUCUCUUCCGUUCUCACACGCCUAUUAAAGAGAAGACAACCAAUCCCAUCCAUGUUCCAUAGAAUCCAUCUAAAAGCUUGCUCACUGCGGACGGCAUUUGACGGCAAAUCAAUGAAAGAUCAUCCUCUCCAAAUAGCUGGACGGCAUCACCAUCUUUAUCUCACCAACCUACAGAGCUACAACGAUGUUGUAGAGAUCAACUAGGUAACCUACCAAUCACCCUCCCCUUUUCUAUAUGCUCUAAAGAACACGUGGAGUAAUUAUAGGCCUAUAGGAGCCGACUAACCUAGAUUAAUAUGAAAAAUAUUCCAAUAUUAAAAGCAAGCAGAUAGUAAUACUUGCCUUUGACCAUUUUUCUAGAACUGUUAUUCCUAUUGAAUGUUCAAGUGCUACGGCCAGGCAUCGAAUGCCUGCACGGAACCUUCCUAUUGAAUGGUUACUCUAGAGAUCAACGCACCGCGAGACAUUUUUAUGGAAUUUGUUUGAUUCCCCUUCUACAAUUAGAUUAAUUUUUCAUGGCAUAUAUUACUACUAUUAAAUUAUUUGUUUAUUGUCGGGCCUGCUGCAUGUGUGGUAUAUAUGACUUGCUUCUCACCAUUGUUCUCAAACUAUUAUUCCUAUCGAAUCUUUCUAUCGAAAUAUAUUUUAAUUACUUGAUUGUUGUUUGUGUACCAUAACUUCUGUAUAGAAAAAUUCCAUGUUUGUAGAUAAUGUCUUUUGUAUAGAAAAAUAGCCCAAUUAGAUCCAUCACCAUCUUUUGCUUAUGUAGUUGAACAAGUUGCAAUGUUGAACAAAACUUUAAGUGAAAUUAGACCAGGAAAAGGAAUUGUGGAACAUUAAGGCAAGGGUAACCAGAUUGUGGAAUGCAACCUUACUCAGUAGUGGCGAACAAUUAAGUCUUGACAUGAUCCUUAUUGAUCAAAAGGUAUGAUAGAUGUUCACUUUGAUUGCAUUAUUGGUAUAAUUUUUGGUUUACAAAUUAUUAAUGAUGAUGCAAAAUUAGGGAACCAUGAUCCACGGUGUUAUCAAUAAGCCCUAUAUGAAAAAGUUCAAACCAUUGAUUGAAGAAGGCAAUGUGUACAUAAUUGCAAAUGUCAGAAUCACACCAGAACCACAGAAGUAUCGGCCAGUGGAAAAUGACAGGAUAGUCAACUUCUUACCCACAACUGCACUAAAAACGAUCAAAGAUACUGAAGACAUUCCAAAGUAUAGUUUUAACUUCAUGAGCACGGAUAUGCUUUCAGCAAGAAUAAAUGUGGACAUGUACCUAUUAGGUAAAACAUUACUGGCUUUUCAAUUUUUACACUUCCACUCAUUAAAUGACCAUCUAAUAAUAAUACAUAUUUAUGUUUCAUAGAUGUUAUAGGUAUCUCAGCUCACAUUGGACCGAUAGAAGAAACAAGGACAAACUUCGGAUUUACUAAAAUCCGUGAUAUUGUGCUCCUGAUCGAGUAAUUCUCUUUUCUUUUGUAGAAAACAACUACAAAACUUUCAACAUUUACAUGUAUGUUAUAGAACUUCUGUUGAACUAAAAAAUAUCUUCUACAGUGCCCCUACAAAUAAUUAAUUUCGUAGUUGGAUAUUUAAAAUAUUUAUUAUUCACUUUUAAAUUUGUGGCCAUGAAGUUAAAGUUAGAUUUUGGGGAGACAAAGUUGAGGAAGUUGAUGAUAAGACAAAAUCCCAUGUCAUUGCAAUAACAUCUACAACUGUGAGUAAAUUUGGCAGUAAGUCUUCAUUCAAUAUGAGUUAUUCAAUAUUAGUCAUUCAACAAACUAACCUCGUAAGAAAAAUAAAUAAUUGAUGUUUUAUCAGGGUAUUCUCUAUCGUCAACCAAUGCAACAAAACUUUAUGUAGAUCUACCUAUUCCUGAAACUAAGGAUGCACAUGAUAGGUGAGAAAAAUUAGAUAUUGUUUUUCUAUUUUAAUCUAUGUAGCAUGCACUCUAACAUGAUACAUUCUUUCAUAUGAUAAAAAAAUGUUAGUUCAAUUGAAAAUAUUGUCAAAGAGAUUCAUAUUGAGGACCAUCUAAAAGGGACAUUGGAAGACCAAAUGCAGUACAAUAGAAGAACUUUAGAAGAAUUAAAUUUCAUAUUAUUUGAAACAUCAAAUCAGGUAUGGAUUAGUAUGUUCAUUGUACACUAUACUAUUUAAAGACUUACAUACAUAAUGAUGGUAUUGUUCCUACUUUCAGGAUGAGGUAUUUACUAUUGAAGCAACAAUAAAUGAAAUUAAUGCAACAUAUGGUUGGUUGUCACACCCGAUUUUAAGGACAAAAUUGAGUGCAUUAAAUACAUGUGCACCAGGAUCAAGUUACACACAUCCUAUGAGUACCGUCCUUCUUUGGCACAAAGAUAACCGGUGCUCCCCAUGGUGAUGAACUAGGCCGAAUAAACUAUUUUGCUGAUAAUUCCUCUAGUUGUUGUUUCAAUUCUUUUAAUUGUUCAACCAACAUUCUAUAAGGACGUUUGGAGAUAGGUGCAGUACCAGGUAAAAGAUCAAUAGCAAAUUCAAUGUCGCGGUCAGGUGGCAUACCUGGUAAAUCGUCGGGGAACACAUCCGGAUAGUCACACACCACUUUGAUAUCUUCCAAGGAUUUUCCAGCCAACUGAUUAACUGCACAAUCUGCUGCUGAGGGUAGAGUAGCUACAAACUCCACUUUCUCUCCAUCAGGACCUGUUAGCAGAACUGUCCUCUUGGCACACUGAAUCGUUGCAUCAAAAGCGGCUAACCACCUCAUCCCCAGAAUUACAUCGAUUCCACUGGACUCAAGGACGAUAAGAUCAGCCGGAAACUCUAUACCCAUUAUUCUCAGUUUAACUUGUGGACAGAUGUAUUGAGCCUUCAUUGACCCCCCAGGUGAACUCACUAGCAUAUGACGCCUCAUGGUAUGCAUGGGUAAAUUAUGCUUUGCUACAUAAUGACUAGUGACAAAAGAAUGCGAUGCUCCAGAGUCAAAUAAAACUGAUGCGGGGGCAGAGUUGACAAAGAACAUACCAAGCACUACAUCUGGAGCCUCCUUAGCAGUCUCGGCUUCCAUGUGGUUCACCUUGCCACAAACAAAGCUUUGCUGCCCCUGAUUGCCUUGUGGGGUCUGGUUCCCAUUCCUCGGUUGCUGCAUCUGAUUCUGCCGAGGAGCACUGCUGUUCUGCACGGGGGUAGCUGGCCCACCUCUCUUAGGACAAGAGCUGGCAUAGUGACCAACCUCGCCACACUUGAAGCAGGUAGGACCCACUGGAGCAUUGGGCCUUGUUGGAGUGCCAGUAGGGGUCAUCUGGCGGUUCUGCGUAAAGCUUGGGCGCGGAGUCUGCAUAGUCUGCAUCCCUGGAUGCUGGAACUGAGGGCUAGGGCGCUGGAAUGACUGCUGAGCAGGGCGCGGAAAUGAGUGCUGCCAAAAAUUCCCACUCGGGCCCCCUGCGCGGAACGGCGUCCCUUGCUGUGGAGCAAAGCGAGGGCGGGUGUUGCUUCCUGAAGACUACUGGGAAUUGAAUUUCCUCUUCAUCUCCCCGAGCUCGUUCCUCUUGUGUUCCAGGCCAAUUGCCUUGUCUAGCAUCUUCUGGAAACUGGGGAAGGUGUGCGACAUAAGCUGAUAUUGGAGUGGUCCAAUCAACCCAUCCAAGAAUAGCUCCUGCUUCUGCUCAUCAUCAGCAACAUCUUCGGGAGCAUAUCGGGACAACUGGACAAACUUGUCCCUGUACUCUGCCACUGUCAUGUUCCCCUGCUUGAGAGCAAGGAACUCCUUCUUCUUAAGCUUCAUCAAUCCGGAAGGAAUAUGAUGACUUCUGAAGCUAGUCCUGAAUUCAUCCCAGGUGAUGCCAUUAGCAUUGGCAUGGGUGGUGGUGUAAGCAUCCCACCAAUCAGCAGCUGGCCCUUCCAGGCGUCCUGAAGCAUACAGGACCUUCUCCCUGUCAGUACAUUGGGCGAUAUCCAGCAUCUUCUCCACUGUUUUCAGCCAAUCAUCAGCAUCUAAUGGAUCCGGAGAAUGUGAAAACGUCGGGGGCUUGUGGCUCAUGAACUCCCUAUGCCUGUCCCUUGGCGGCGGCUGCUGCUGGUUGUUGUUGUUGUUAUUGUUCAGCUGAGCUUGUAAAGCUGCCACGGUGUUGGUCAGUCCGGCGAGAAGCUGAGUCUGAGCUGCUAGAAACUGCUCCAUCCCUGCAGGUGCUUGUUGGUUCUGUUGCGGAGCGGUGUUGGGAUUGCUGCUGUUGUCCCUGUGGCGUGGCACUGUGGGACGGUCAACUCCUGAUCCGGACCUGGUGUUUACCAUCUGAGCGUUAGAGACAAUGGAUUUAGAUAGAUGUGUGAAAGAAUAACUGAGAAAGAUAAAGCGACCAGAUGUAAAAGUAACACAGAUUCUGUUAGCUCCAUUUAAUUAGGUGUGGUCGUCAGAAGAAGUGUCCAUAAAUUCUGAACAAUUACCAAGUCGUAACUUAUUAAAUUUGUAAACCAACCCAACUGGAAUCAUCUCAAUCGGACUUCUGGAUCUCGAGUUACAAAAUUAACAAGCUGACAGUGUCGGUCGAUAGGUUCAGAUUCUGAGUGCUUUACUAAUUCGCAUACACCUCCCAGACAGAUACACCAAAAAUUCUGAAAAAUUUACAGAUAGUACUCCACGAAAUUCUGAAACUAACCCCACUGGUUUCAUGUCAUUUGGACUUCUGUAGCUAGAGAUAUAAAUAAAAAAGUACUGGCGUGUCAGUUAAUGUCGAGAACAGAAUUGAAUGUCGCUUAGCUUGCGUGAUGGAUAGAUUUAGACAGAUGGUAGAUCAUGAUUAAGGAAGAUUAAAUACUGAUUUAGAACAGAAAUAAAACCCAACUAAGCACUUUAUUUAUUAAGACCAGUAUCGUGUGGCAAUUGCCCCACAUACCGCACUCAUUACAAAAUCCAACUCAAACAUGUAGCACAAAACCAAUCAUCUAAGCACACUUUAACUAACACACUCGAACGACGUCUAACGAUUACAAGAAUUUAAACUAAAACACUCCUAAUUUCCUAGAGGUCUUCUGCGGCGGUGCCGGGCGAGUCGUAGCGGGGACGCUUAGGCGACGGCGACGAAGCGGGAUGAACAGCAAACUCCUGCGGCGGCGGUGCUCCCGUCGCGGCAGCCAUAUUCGCAUCCCUCUCCCACCGGAGUUCCUGAACCUCCUGUUGAAGCUCCUGGAUGUGGUUGUUUGCUUCAUUCAAUGCGGUGAGAGCUGCCGACGUGUACUUGCGGAGGAAGUCUGUAGCCAUGUCAACCCCAUCGUUAGUAGCGAUGAAGGUUCUUGCUUCCCCACUAGCUCGGUAAGGAAGGAACCGAUGGUAAGUGUGCUGCAAUCGCGGCCGUUCCUUGUGGGAGACGACCUCAAGUGCCCUCCUGGCGGCCUCGGCAAUGCCGGAUUCCAUGGUCCUCCUUAUGGUCACAUCAUGGUGAAAAGCCUUCACCUCCCAUCCUCCCUCGUGCUCCUCACGAAGGACAACCUUCACCUCCCAAAAAGUGGGAUAGCGAGGGUGGGUGAACCGGGAGCACUUGUAGAGUGGCCUCAUGCCGUACCCCAAGCGGUGACAAGUCCACCUGAGUAUGUCGGCCAUGUGCACUCCUUGGCCAUAAUCUUCCUUCACCCAUUUGAUCCAUGUCUCGGGCUCGGGAUCUGCUUCGGGCUCAUCAUCCGUCAAGUCGACGACCGGUACGGGCGUCGGGGCUGGUGCAGGAGCGGGCGCCGGUGCUGGCGACGGUGCUGGUGACGGCGUGGUCUCCUGCUCCACGGUCACGGCGUCCCCGUCAGAGUCAUCCCCCGGAUGCUGGAAGAUCUCUUCCUCUUCUUCCUCGUCCCAAGGCUCCAUGGGGGCGUACGACGGCGCGAUGCCAUGACGCGGCGGACGGGUGCUCUUGCGUGCGGUCAACCGGGUGCGAGCCAUCUAACAGAAAGAAAGAAGAAAAUUUUAGAAUAAAAUUUUGAACAAAGCUAGAUAAUAAAAUAGCAAUAAGGAUGAGACAAAUCAAGUUUAAGAAUAAUUAAGUAGAUUUAAAUUAAGAAAGGUAGGAAUGGCUACUAGAUUAUUAUAAUCCUUAAAUACGACCAUUUUCUAACUAGGCUAACGUCCUACAGUCAACACGGCUCUGGUACCACUUUUGUCACACCCGAUUUUAAGGACAAAAUCGAGUGCAUUAAAUACAUGUGCGCCAGGAUCAAGUUACACACAUGUACGACAAUAGUGAAUAGUAAAGCCAGUGCUAAAUCGAAUAAAGAGAGUAUUAACCAUUAUUACAUGACCGAAUGUCUCAAAUAAACCACAAAGUCUAAUUAUUACGCAGCGGAACUCCAAAGAUGACGACGACUCCAUAGGCAGCUGACUGAAGAAACGUACGCCUAGAACUCCUCGAAGUCGUGGAAGUACUCCUCUUCCCAAUUAACUUGGUCUGAACAGCGGUUUUGCAAGGGUGAGUACACUUAUGGUUGGUACUCAACAAGUCGUGGGAAGUAGUGUAGUGUAAGGCUAAUUCAAGGUAUGGCUAAGGCGUAAAUAGCAUUCGCUUUUAAUUAAGUUGGUCAAAUUUUAUUAGCAUUUACUAAGUAUAAGUUCAUACCACCCGAAAUUAAACAUGAACAUAAAGUAAACCACAUGUGCAUGAAAUGAUAACAAAUUAAAUCCAUCUUCCGAUAAUAUUAUCAUGUGAGGGUCCAGGCCGCUCUUAACCGUGAGCACGGCUGAUUGAUCAGUUUAACACUCUGCAGAGGUGGCACAUCUUUACCCACAAGUCGCGUAAAAGUUCAAAAGAACUUUGGACCCAACCAUGCGGUGUUUGCAAGGCACCAUACCACACUUCCGAGGUGUGAUUGCAUAGGGACGCUACGAGGCCUUUACAAAGAUUCAUUAAUCAGUGGUAACCCGCUAAGGUUUCGGUGUCUGGCGUGCACCACCCAUCCCAGGUAAAAUGCAACGACUCAGUCCCCCCCCUUGAAUCAUCACGAGUAAGGUCACCCCAGACUAAGGUUUCUAAUUAAUCAGCCAAGACCAGAGCUAUUUAGUCUUGUGGUAGCACUGUUUUCCUGGGUGGUCGCUCCAUGUUCUGAUUAACAAAUAAUGAUCUUGUCUUAAUGAAAGGUAUAACAGAAAUAAGGCAAGAUUAAGCAUUGUUUUUAGUUAAACCACCAUGUACCAAGUAAGCACUAAGCAUGAGCUACCCAACAUAAAGUAAACCGGUUGGUCAAGGCAAAGGUAAAACAAUCUAGGCCAACCUUAAUUGGGACCCAUCAAUUUAAUCUUAAUAUGUGCACAGCAUAAAUGUUGAGUACGAGAAAGUAAAGGUGUAUAGGACAAAAAGGUAGUGAUCAAGGACACGACUUGCCUUCUUGGCCUUGCUCCUGCUGUUCGUACUCCUCGAAGGCUUGAUCGGCAACUCCCUCGAACUGCGGGGCGUCUACACGCAUCACACGAGCACAUACAAGCAAACAUGGGCAAAAGUAAGAAAACAGUAUACCAAACAUAGUCAAACAGAGAAAACAAGCUUGAAAAGAUGAUCUACGCUUUAAAACGAACACGCGGAUAUAAAGAACGCGAAAAACGGAGUUAAGAUGCAAAAGAUAUGAUUAAAACAAAAUCCAGGGACUUUUCUGUAAGAAAAACAAAACUUUUAGGGCCUAUCCGCGAAAACCGAGGGCUUAUACGUAAUUAUGCGUAUAAACCGAGGGUCUGAUGCGUAAAAACAUCAAACCCGGACGGCGGGUUGAUUUCUGGAAAGGUCAAGGGUUAAACCGAAAAAUGCGAGGGCAGAUCUGUAAAUACUUUCAACGCGAUCUGGACCGCGGGUUGAUUUGCGAAAAAGGCGGGGGCUAAAGUGCAAAAACUGCACGGCGCGGCUCGGUUGACCGGUACGCGAUCUUGAUUGACUCGCGUCCGGCCGUCGGAUUAAGAUCCGACGGUCGCGGUGAUCCGCGACAUCGCGGCGGCGGCGGCGAGCGGCGGCGAGCGGCGGCAAGCGGCGGCGGGUCGCCGGAGUUAGGCAAAAUAGCGCCACGAGGCACGGUUUAACGCGCGGGUUGCACCAAAAAAGAGAGGGGAACACGUCGAUCCCGUUUUGGGGGUUCUUGUCGACGGGGGCUCACCGGCGACGGCGAACGGCGGCGAGGAAGAGGCGGCGGCGCUAGGAGCUCGGGCGGCUAGGGUUUCGGGGAGCUGCGGCGCUGGUUUUGGGCGGAGGAGACUGGGAGGAGGCGGCGGCUUUUAUAGGGCUUGGAGAUAGAGCCGGCGCGGGUUCAAAUCCCCCGGAGGAGUCGGAGCGGAUGGAGUCCGGGGCGGAGACGGCGCGCGGCGGUUGCGGAGUUCUGACCGGAUUCGGCCGGAGGUGGGAGACGAUGGGUGGGGUCCACCCGUCAGUGGCGGAGGGGAGCGGUAGACGGGCCGGCGCGACCGUGGGCUGGCGCGCGCUCGUGGGCUGCGGGGAGCGGGAGAGAAGCGGCGAGCGGGCGCUGGCGGAGCAGGCCGAGCGGAGGUAGAGCUGGGCCGCGGAGAAAAAGGAGGAGGCCGGCGGGCUGCUUCGCAGGCCGGUAAGGAUGAGGCGGCCGGGCCGAAGAAGAAAAAGAAAAGGAGGGACAAGGAGCUUUCGGCCGAGGGAAAAGAAGAAGAAAAAGAAAAGGAAGAAGAAAAGGGAAAAGGUUUUGGAAUUUGAAUUUAAAUCUGAAAUUCAAAAUUUGAUUCAAACUCAAGCAACCAAAAAUUAUGCUCCAGCAUGAAUGCACAAAUAAUUCCUAUGAUGAAUUAAUUGAAUUAAAGAAAAUGAAUUUAAAUGCCUAGAAAUUAAAUAACACCCUAAUUUGAGCAAAUUUUAAUGAAUUUGAAUUAUUGAAAUUUUGGGUGUUACAUUGGUACUACAUCUCAUGUAGUAGAGGCGAUUGUAAGAAGCAACUUGAAAAGAAGUUUGAUCACUACUAUUGCAAUAAAUGUGACAAGAGAGCCGAACCUAAAGCCCAGUAAAUUAUUUAGUAGUUUACAAUCUUAUUAUAAUACUUCUAUUUCUAAUAGGAGAAUAAUAUUUUCAGAUUCAAAUUAAGCUUCAAAUAAGUGAUCCAACAACAAGUGCAACUUGUGUACUUUUGACAAGGAAGCAGAAAUGAUAAUUAAUGAAUGAGCAGAUUCGAUGAUCACCUCAGUUGAUCAUGAUAAUAAGUAGCUACCAAAAUCAAUUCAGGAAAUAUGUGAAGAAACAUUGAUUUCUCAAUUCAGAUUGACCGAGUACAACUUGACAAGUUUUAGACCUGAUUAUACUGUUUCAAAGAUAUUUUUUCCAAAAGAAAAGGGCAGUUCAAGAAUUGGUAUGGAAAGUGUAAAAAAGGUAACACUUUAUUAUUAAUUUUUUAUUGCACUUUUUUCUUUUGAAUCCGUAAUACUUAAUAAUUUUACUAUAUCAAUGAAACAAAUUCUAACCUAAAUUUAUUUUCUUUUUUAUUAUUUGUAGGAAGUAGAAGACAACUCAGACAAAUGCUACACGAUAACUACCGAGAAUGAAGAGGUAGACACUGAUGACUCUUUUACCGAGAAAGUAACAUUCGUAGAAGAAGCCAUAAGGACUGGGGAAAGAUUGGCUAGAAAAGUAUACUCACUUCCAUGUCAGUGUUCAUUCUAUUUACAAUACAUGCAAAAAAAAUAUUAUUCAUGCAAAAUUGCAGGUCUACUAAGCAUUAAAGGAAUAGCGGAUAGUGCAAUAUGUAAUCUGAGCAGCAUGCAUUACAAAGUGCUCUACUGCAAUUAAAUUAAAAAACAUGAUAUAUGUUGAAUUCUUAGACUUUAUUAUUAUACUUUUCUACGUGACAAUUCACAAUUUUUUAGAAAAAAGAAGAUCCCAGAAGAAGUGACCAUGAAAAAAGGUCUAUGACCAGCAAUAAGAAAAAAUGCAAGCAUAGAAACAAAUCCGUAGAAAACAUAGAAAAUAAGGUACUCCAUAAACAAAAGUAUUCUCUUAUAUUUUUAUUAAAUAUUUUUUUAACACUUGACAAGUUCUUUUUUAGGAUCAAUAUAUCAGCAAUUCAGAUGUCAUUGGAGAUGAAACCUUAGUUCAUCCAAAAGGUCAAAAAAAAACAUCUGAAGAAAGGUGUUUGGCUGAAAAGGAAAAGCAAAAAAGUGGUAAUGCAGACAAACACAUGCAGAAAAAUAUAAAAACAUGUCAUAGGGAGGCAGACCAAUCUUGCAAGGAGGUAUAGACGAAACGUGAUACACGACCUGCCUACCUUGUCGUGGAUACCCCAAGAAGAUGUCAUAGAGGUGCAGACCAAGCUAGCAAGGAGGUCGAAACGUGAUACACGGCCUGCCUACCUUGCCGUGGAUAUUAGCCCUGAGAUCAUUCUACUGUUCAAGGAAUAACACUCAAUGCUGCUGCUGCUGCUGACCUGGCUCCAUAAAGUUAUACUCCUCUAGGUGCUUGCACUAACUUUAUCUGAAGUAUUAUUCUCUCUGCACUGUAUAUAUGGUUAUGGAGUUUGCUGGAGUAUCCGGGGCGAAGAACCUACAUAAUACGUCUUGGAACUAAUUGACAUUGAUUCACAGACAAACUCUACAAGGUGCUGUUCUUGCCAUUUUAGAGCAUCCAAAGGACUAUAAAUAACAUAGUUUACCAUAUACCAUAUACCAUAUACCAUAAUAUGUUAGCUAAAAUAAGAGCAUACACAUGUUGCAGGAGUCCAAAAGCACCGGUUGAGGACCAGGUACAUUGAAUUACUAGAAAAAGACAGGGGACAAGGUUUAGGUAACCACAUGAAACAUUUGAAUUUAUUGUACUAUGAACACUUAGUUACCAUGCCAGGAGCACAUAGUUAACACUAACAUUUAGCCACUUUAGAUCAUCCCGAAUCACCAAUGACCCUCAAUAGUGACAAAUUUUGGUUUAAAUGCCAUCACCAAUGAUCCUCAAUAGUGACGUAUUUAGGUUUAAAUCCCGUCACUAAUAACCCUCAAUAGUGACCUGUUUUGGUUUAAAUCUCAUUACCACUGAUCCUCAAUAGUGAUGUGUUUUAGCAAAACAUGUUAUCAAUGACUUGUCAUUGGUGACGUGUUAAAACGCGUUAUCUCAAUGGCAAAUCAUUGGUGACGUGUUAUCUCAAUGUUAUCAAUGUUCUAUUCUUUUCAACAAUACCAGCUCGUUCCUCCGUUUUUAUUCCACCAAUACAAGCACCACCUUGUAACAUUUCCUAUGUUUUUUUUCCUUUUGUCUGUUUUCUCACUACAUGCGUUGCUCUUUCAUGCAUUUUUUUCCAUUCCUGUAUUCCAAAUAGGUCUACAUGAACACAAAAUGAACUAGGGGACAGAAAAAGCCAGUGAAGCCAAUUUUGAGCUUCACCAGCUACUUGCUACAUAAAGUGUGCUAUAGUGACGUGUUUUAGCAAAACAUGUUAUCAAUGACUUGUCAUUGGUGACGUGUUAAAACGCGUUAUCUCACUGGCAAAUCAUUGGUGACGUGUUUUAAAAAAACAUGUCACCGUGAGAGUCAUUGGUGAAGGGUAAUUAAAAUGCGUCACUAAUGUUGUAGCAUUAGUUAUGAUAAUUUAGUAACGCAAAAAUCUACCAUCAGUAUUGAGCUUUAGAGCCAUCGCUAAUGUGGGUUUCUUACAUAGUGAUGCAAGCUCUACAAGGUGCUGUUGCUGCCAUUUUAAAGCAUCCCAUGACUACAUGUUAAUAACAUAGUUUACCAUAUAUCAUAAAAAUAUUAGUUACAAUAAGCACAUACGCAUGUGGAAGAGUCCGAAUGCACCGGUUGAGGACUAAACACAUUGAAUUACUAGAACCAAAUGUAUGUUUAGAACAAAGACAGGGGUCAAGGUUUGGGUAACCGCAUUAAAAACAUUGGAUUUUACUGUACAUGAACACUUAGUUACCAUUACCAUGCCUUGAGCACCUAGUUACAACAAACAUUAAUUUAGCCACUUUAGAGCUUCCAGAAUCGCUAUAAAUAAUAUACCUACGCCGUACCAUGAAAACAUCAAGAAGAGAGACGGAUACAUGGACCACCAUCAAGCGAGUAGUGACAGCACGCACAAGAAUACCCGGAACCUGUUAGCUUGUCUGUAGUGAUCUGUUUUCUUCCCCAUAAAAUCCAUGAGUAUUGCCACAAAUAAUGAAAGAGGCUGACCAAGCUAGCAAGGAGGUAGAGCAAACGUGAUACACGGCCUGCCAAGAUUGCCCUGGAUACGCCAAUAAGAGCGACAGAUACAUGGAUCACACCAAUAUGGUGAAACGUAUAUUCAUCACACAAGCAAAGCUGGUCAGUUUAUCCAUGGUCAAAUUGUGGUCUUUGUUUUCACUUGAGAGCUAAUUGAGGCACUAUAAUAUGGGCAGGCCUAUCUUCAACAGACAUGACAGCUACAGGGAACUUGACAUAAUUUGCUGGGCCGCCUGUGCACAAUUAUUUGUUUUAUUGUCCUUGCAUAGAAUGCUAAAAUACUCUUUACAAAAUGUUGGAUCUAAUAUUUGAAAUAUAGAGUAGUAAUCAUAUAUUGAUCAACAACUUGAAAUUAUCUGUACAUUCUCGGUGAAGCUGUUGAACUAAUUUUUGCAAAUUAUUAAUUCAUCUCAUUACGUAAAGAAAAAAGUAAGUGGAUAAGAUAUUUCGUGGACCACAUCACUGCAAACAUGUCAUGGAGAGACAGACCAAGGAGGCAGGACGUGAUACACGACUUACCCUAGGUUGCCGUGGAACCGCCAAGAAGAGAUACAGAUACAUGGACCACACCAUCUUGGGAGUAGUGACAGCAUAUAUGCAGAAGAAUACCCCGUGCCUAUUUGCAUGCAUGUCUCAAGUGAUCUGUUUUCUUCAGAAAAUACAUGAGCAUUGCCAGAAAGAAUGGCAAGAGACAAACAUGUCAUAGAGACUUGCAUGUCUUGCCUUGGAUACGCCAAGAAGAGGGACACAUACAUGGAUAACACAAAUCUAGUGACACGUAUAUUCAUCACAAAGGCAAAUCUGAUAAUUUUAUCCAUGGAGCAGACCAAGGAGAAAUUGAUGACGGACAUGUGAUCUCUGUAUUCAGUUGAAAGCUAAUUGAGCUACACUAAUAUGAGCAGGACUAUAUUCAAGAGACUUGUUGAGAGCUACAGGGAACUUGUAAUAAUUUGCUGGGCGGCCUGCGCACAAUGAUUUGUUAUACAUAGUUGAAAUAUUUCAAGAAUUUAUCAACCUCAUACUCUGAAACCCUUGGUGCAAUGUACUCUGCUUUCCGAGGUAGACUGUUCACGUAAAAUGAGGUCAUGCGUAAGACGGAAUCGGAUUGGAUUCACAGGGAAUCAGAUUUGGAUAGCACCUUUUAGCAGGUUUUUAGUCAAAUGCAAAUUCGGAUCCACAUGUGGUUGAAUGCGAGUUCAAAAUUCUACUUGGAUAUCCAUUUAAUUUAGGUGAUAGCAAUUAGCACAAAAUGUUGGAUGAACAAAAUCAUAGUUAGACAUACAAUUACAUGUAUGGUUAAAGUAUAAUACAAUACACCAAGAUUAUUCCUUGAAAAUAUUUCUUAAAAAUAUUAUAAUAAAUGAAUAAAUAUAAUUGUGGCCACCAACAAAUAGUCGGUGGUCGCUAAGUUGGAGCCAUUUCUGGUUACUAAUGCGGCCUUCUCCUCGACCAGCGACGACAGCUGAGCUUGUUCCUUCUGACACUAAAUCAUCAGAGUCUUCCCUCCACUACUAUAGAAUGCACCUUUAGCACCAAUUGGGAAAUCCCCUUCAGUAUUGGAUGCUGCAACCAGUGCUAUAUAUCAAAAUGGAGACUAAAAGCCUCGGUCUUGGGUACCGGUUGCAUAACGCAUUACUAAAGGAGGCAAAAGAGAAAUGUAACAAAAAAAAUAUUUUGAAUUCCAAGAAUGUUUCACUAUUCAAGAUGACUAGCUGAGAGUCAACAGACAAGAUACUAGGAAUGUGGGUGCUUGAAUGCAUUUGUACAGAGGUCAUACUAUUUACAAACUCUUCUAUGUUUCCAUAUGACUACCUACUUCAAUGUCACGCGAGCCAUUCAGCUGGACACAUGGCACACUAGCUUGCAUGUCGAAUCCAUGAUUAAUUAUUUGCACUUGUGAUCUCUUACCAGUAUUUGUCCAGACUAGAAACGUGCAACACAUUUUUAGGAUAUGGACACGCAUAUAUUUGGACUAGUAUACAGGUCACCUUUGGAUGCGUACAAGGAUGACCGGGAGGGACUAAUGGAUACAAGGAAGGGACCAUCAGGAUUAAUAUUGACAUAUGCCACAUGACAAUCUUCAUUGUCAUGCAAUCCCUAUCAACAAUCAUGGAAUCCCUAGUGUACUAAUCCCUGGAGGGUUGUGUGGAAAUUUAUUUUACCUUGCGGUGAAAAUCUCAUGAGCAGUCAUUAGUUAAGCUGACUAGCUGAGAUAUAAUAGACAAGCUAGUAAGAUUGGGAGCAUCAAUGCAUCCAUACAGGGUCACAAUAUCCUUUCCAUUCACUUUUAUAUAUAACCCUACGAAUACAAGUCCAACGAAAUGCGGGCCUUUCGAUCAAGAUAAAUUAAAUGGCCCACUUGUAUUUCUAAUCCAGGAUUAACUAUGCCCUCUGUUCAUCUCUUGCAAGCACGUGCAACACAUUUUCACGAUAUGGACAUGCAUGGAGGUUAUUAUACUGUUUGGACAAACUCUGAUGUGCCAUGACCUAAAUGCUUAGGGCCUGUUUGGUUUGAGUUGCUUAUUAUAAGCAACUUAAAGUUGCUUAAAGUUGCUUAUUUGAAGUUGCUUAUUUUUAGUCUAAACUGUUUGGAUACCCUUGCUUAUGAGCAUUGAAUGAGUUGGACAUUGUCAAAUUUGCCCCAUGUGUUGCUACCCCUCCAAUUUGCCUCCCCACCCUUCUUCUUCCUGCACACGUCCGAUCCCGGGGGCCGACGGCGGGCAGGGAGCAGCAGCAGCUGGCCAGGGCGGCGGUGGGGCGGGAGCGGCGGCGCACACCAGCACGCGCUCGCACGCCAGGUGCUAGGGCGCGGCGAGGCAGUCGUCGUAGCCCACCGGGAGCGGGUGCUCGGGCGCGAGGCGGUACUCGACGGAGAUGCCGAGCGUCGGGCGCGCGGCGGCGAGCGCGUUGAGGAAGCGAUGGUAGUGCGGCGACGUCGCGGACUCCGCCACGAAGCCGCCGCCGUGGACGUACACCACCACGGGCAGCUUCGUCUUGCCGUCGGCGGCCGCGGCCGCGGCCUGGGGUGGCAGGUAGAGGCGGACGGAGCAGGAGCCGAGGUCGACGUCCCUGGAGUCGACGCCCGUGGCGGCGUCCAGGCUGGGCCCGACCGGCGGCGGCACGAGCGGGCGCUCGAUGCGGCCGCUCUUGUAAAUCCGACGGGUCUGUGCGGAGGCGGGCGGCGGGCGGGAGCGGCGGGUGGGAGCGGCGGCAGGUGGUGCGGAGGCCGGCGGCGGCGGGUGGCGCGGAGGAAGGGGAGCUGGUGAGUGGUGACAGGGGAGGGGGGGAGAGAGAGGGGGGGUAGGGUGCAUUGAAUGAGGGCAGGAGGUGUAAAGUGCACCUUUUAGUCCCCAUGAGCAACCAUAAGCAGCCCAAGAGUUGCUUAUUUGCUUAUAAUAAGCAACCUCAUAAGCAAGAGUGAUUGGUUUCAUAAGCAACUUAUUUGCUUAUUUUAAGUUGCUUAUGCAUAAGCAUGUGAAACCAAGCAGGUCCUUAACCUAUGGUUGUGGCACCACACAGUACAUAGUAUUUAAUAAUGCUAUUCGUUUGGUAUGUGCACAAGGGCACGCAUGAAAUGUCUGGCCCACGGUAAACAAGUACGGACGCUGCAAAUAAUCUACUCUGCUCGUCCAGUCCCUAGCCUAUAAAUAGAUGCCAUGCUAGCUCUUGUUGUGCUCACAAUUAAUCCUGACUACACACGAGCUUCUCUCCCUGGCCAAGACACAAUCAUAGUAUGAUGAAGAACAUGGCACUAGCCGGCAAUGGUAUGAAGAACUUAAUCCUCGCUGUUCUCUUACUGUGUCUAGUUAUAGGGCAGAUACAAGUGGAAGCUAAGAGCUGCUGCCCAUCCAUUACUGCAAGAAAUAUCUACAAUGCCUGCCGUAUCACGGGUACAUCCCGUCCAACGUGUGCAAAACUGUCAGGCUGCAAAAUUAUCAGCGGGGACAAAUGCAAGCCCCCUAACGACCACCUCACCCUUGACCCGGACACUGGUAAAUAAUAAAUUUAUCUCACUUGAUUUCUUCGUGUUUUGAGUCGUUAAUGUAUUUUCCAUCUGAUGAAACGUAUUGGUUUUGCAUUGAAGAGGAAGUUAAUGUGCUUAACUUCUGCAAGUUGGGGUGUGCGUCGUCUGUGUGCAACAACAUCAACGCUGGUAAGCACCUUUUGCUCAGACGGAGAAAACAAUAAUCAUUAAUUAGCGGCAGCUAGAAUCCUAUAAUCUAAUAUAUUUAUAUAUAUAUAUAAUUUUAUCAGCUCUGGGAAAUGAAGAGGCGAACGAUGCCGUUGAGAGUUGCGACCAAGCCUGCUCUAGCUUCUGCAACGUGCACGUUGGCGCUGCCACCGUGGUUGCUUAAGCAAAUGCAUCCAACUGGAUCGUCCUUGUGCUAAAUAAUUGGAUAUCGUAUCCACUUAAAGCUGCCUUGUGUAGUACGUUUUUGUUUGUGUCUCUCUUUAUAUUCCAAUAAGGUCGGUGAUCUUGAUGCCACACACUCAGACGUGUGUUCAUCUCCAGAUACUACUCCAUGCUACCUGCCCUUUGUGUUUUGUUCAAUAACUGGGUAUCAUAUCCCAGCCAGUGUGCCAUCUGUUUUGUGUUUAUUUCCUUCUAGUUUCAAAGGGGUUAUCAUGAUGUUACCUUCUUUCGAUAUGGUGCUUUGCAUGACUACUGUUGUAUGGUACCAUCUUGUUGGCCAAUAAAUACAUCUUAUCCUAUGACCCUUUGCUAUGACCCUUUGCAAAUAAGUACAAGAUUGUUAAAUACUCGGUAUAAAUUGACUACUGCUGUGAGUUCCCUUUCAGCUUAUCGUAGGCAUACAUUAUUGCUAGCACGGUGAAGACAACCAACACGAAUGGUCAAGUAAACGUACCGGUACUUUUGUAUACCAACACCCUUGCUUAAAUGUACCGGUGUUACUCCCCACUAGCACAUAUAUUCUUAUAUGCUAGCCGGCUUGAAAAUUAACCGAUUAAAAUAAUUAUUUCAAGACAGAAAUAACUUAUCGGCUUCUCGAAGCAUGUGUAAUGUGAAUUCAAGGACUUGAUGGAAGUUGAAUCGCUUAAUCUAGAUUGCUUUCAGGAUUUUGGGUAACUAAAUUUAACAUUUGCACAUACAAAUGUUAAUGUACAAAUAUUAAAUAUAGUUACCCAAGCAGAAUAUGAAGAUACUCUAUAGUAUAUAUAUACUAUAUAAAUCUAGUUAACAUUUAGUCUAAAUGUUAAAUCUAGUUACCUAAAAUCCUGAAAGCAAAAUGUAUAAAUAUAUAUCUUUUAAGGAAUCCCAAAGCAAGAGUUCAGUGGCAUUCUAUAGUCCCAUGCUGCUAGUUUGAGUUGGUCGAAGCCAACUUAAAUAGGAGAGCUCUCUCACUUCUCUAAAUACGUAACUGAAGGAGAGAAGGGGGCUUGGUUACACAACGCACGCACGCACGCAUAUUUGCGUUCUUUUCGCGUAACCAACCGCGUGACUUGAAACUUGCGACGUAGCGUGCUGCCAAGUCAAGUUGAUAUAACCUUUUUGCCGUAGGCGUGUAAUCUUUUGACAACGGUCAUUGGAGGUGAUAAGCACGCAGUCAAUACCUUAAUCCUGAGUUAAUAGGGCGGUUACUACUGCCAAUUAGUGGGGCAAUUUUGUAGGGGAAACGGUUAGCAGAGGGCUACCAUCUUCUCUAUAAGAAGUUCUGGAGACGUCCAGGAACACACAUGUACAUGUGAGAGACCCACGAAUUCCUUCCCAUCUCCCUUUUCCAUCUGGUGAAGUGUGCUAUGGUACUGAGCUGCUGGAUCUCGCCGGCUCUUCUCCUUGGCGUGCACCGAGGAGGAGGGUGAGCGGUAUCUCCGAGCUAUUGCCGUCAGGAAGCCUGCACGAGGGACAACAAUAAAGUUUUUGGGUAGCGCAACUACGCAACCGCUCGAUUCGAUCGACUAUGUUCUGCGCUGCCUCAUCUUCGAUCUGCACUGCAACACGUAACCCUGCAGCAAGUCUACACAAGGACGGAGCACUAAUCUGUAAGUCCUAGAUUGGUUUCUUACAGAGUUGUAGGUUACACAAGAUCUAGAAUUGUUACAUACUUAUUAUUAUGGGUUACAUGAUGUUUUGUACGGUUACGUCUAUUUUGCAUAUGCUAUUUUUACAUACCGUUUACAUGCAUAUGUAAUGGUUACGCCUAGCUAUUUGAAUCUAGAAUUGGGUUACAUAGCAGUAGCAAUGACUUACGUAAUAUGCCUCAUGUUUAUAUCUGGUAGAAUUUAACACGUAUCUCCAACAUAUUUUGAGGCAGUAUAAAUUUCAAUUCCUUUUGCUGCUCUGUUAAAUCCCGUCUUUCGUGUGGCCCAACACUCUAGUAUGCAUGUAGCACCAAGCUUGUUUGAGCCGCUUUGUGCUCUGAUUUUGCUGUCUGUAUCAGGUUGGACUGUUUCUUUGUCUUGCGAUGUAUAGCUUCAUAUCUUCUAGAGGUUAGACAGCAAAACCCGCGUUCUCUUAAGGCAACAACUCGAAGAAUCUGCAGCGCUCCUGAUAUAUCACUGCUGCAGAAACAAUCUUUAGUACUGAUUUCCAACCCCCUUUAGUAUCGGUUUGGCAAUCAGUACCACUACGUCGGUACUAAAGGGAGUUCUCUAGAAUCGGGUCAAAUAACUGGUACUAAAAGUGCUCCUCUACUACCAGUUGGUAACACCAAUAGGUAGUAACUUUUUUUGCACCCAAAAAAUUAAAGAAAAACAGCCGGGAGGCUCGCGCACACACGCAUCAUGAGUAAUAUGCGCGUGCAUGGUUUGUGGGAUUCCAACCCACGACCAAGCUAUAAGCACGUAGUUACAAAAAAAUUAAACACUUAGACAUUUUAGAGCAUCCCAAAUAACUACAAAUUCUUUAGUUUACCAUAUACCAUAAAAUAUUAGUUAAAAUAAGAGCAUACGCACGUCGGAAGAGUCCCAAUGCACCGGUUGAGGAUCAGACCAGGCACUUUGAAUGCACAUGCCAUAAGAUAAUUCUGCAGGACGAUGAUUGCAAUAAUGGACCAUCGAGAAGAUAGGGGCGAUGGGGUUGCCUCAUCAAUUAUGACUUGGCGCAACAAGACCAGCAAAGUCUUUAUCGACAGGGGUGGAUCAAGGGGUGGGGCGGGUAGAGCUCCAAUCUUCCUACCGCCGCUCGAACAAUGGAGCCCCCCUUAGCCCCUCCAUAAAUUUUUAGGUAGAAGAAAAAAGAAGAGAAGGGAAGGAAGGGGAAGAAUAGGGAGCCCCUCCUAAGUAGGUCGCCAUCGUGCUUCCCAACGCAUGAUCGCCGCACCGCAUCCAUUCCUCUACAAGCCUCCAGCGUCUCUCCUGCCGCUACCUCUGAACCAUGUGCAGCUGCAGACCCAACUAGUGUCUUGUCACCCAUCUCAAUCCCAACAGAGCGGCGGCUCCUGCCAGCACAAAUCUCCCUCCGCCUGUUCUUCACGAUCGAUGGCCACCACAAGCAUAAACCUCGCCUUCGCAUCCACGCAAAAGGGUCGCCGGUGUGCCUUCUCGCAUCGCUUCUCAGCCUCCUUCACUUGCGGCUGGCCAAGAACCGUGCCACCACCUCGGGUGCGCGCCACCGCUCCAGGGCCGCUACCCCAUGCGUGCGGCCGCCGCCGGCCACCACGCGUGUGCAACCGUGUCGCACCGCUUCCCUGCUCUGUGCCACCACUGCUACUGCACCACCAGCUCCACCACCUUGGGCUGGUCGCCAGGGUGACUGAUUGGUGGAUUAUUACUACAAAUAAGUUCCUUAUUAUCUGCAACUACUAUUAACUCAGGGAUACAUGCGUCUUUUGCUUCUCCUGUUAAUAUGUCCUAAAAUAUCUAGAAUGCCUUAUAUUUCUGGACGGAGGAAGUAUUUGAAUAAAAUGAACCAAUUUUAAAAAAUGUGUUGUACACUACUACAGAAAGAACUAUCAGUGUCAAACCCAAAAAUGUCGUCACUGCCAGUUUUGGGCAUCGUUGGUGAAAGGUUGGCGGUGAUGGGUAUCCCCUUCAACAACGGCACUAGAGCUAACAGUGAUUGACAUUAGAAAACGAAAAAGGGGACCCACCUAGCCACCCCUGCAACCCGGCUGGCCGUGCCUCCCGUCAUCCCCACCACCUCGCCUCCCCCGUGACCCCCCGCCGGCGCCCUUGCGCCUAGCCCCCUCGCCUGCCUGGCCGGCCACCCUCGUCACGAGAGAGAGGGGUGCAUGUUGUAUAAUUGCGUGAAUUUUUAAUGUUUAAUUUCAUGUAAGUUUCAUAUAAUAAAUUGUACAAGUUUUAUUGUAUAUAUGAAUUCCAUAUAUAUAUAUUUAUAAUUUAAUGUAUGGUUUCAUGUGUAUAUUUCAAUAAUGUGUAUAUUUAGUAGAUAGCCGAUUUUCUUUUUCUACAAGACAAGGGUUGAUGUAUAAUUACGUGUAUAUGUUUAUUGUACGGGCAAUUAGGACAAGUUUUGUAUAAAUUUCUUUUAUUUCAUGGUUGUUGUAUGGUUUCAUGUAUAUACAUUUAUUGUACUACUUGAGACAAUUUUUAAUUUAAUGUUUCUAUGGUUACAUGUGUGUAUAACUAAUUGUAUUAUUAGUUAAGAUGGGAGCCAAAGAGGAUGAAAGGUAUAUAAUGGAGCAGAUUAUUGCUGGCGGUAGUGGCUCAAACGUUGCAAGAACCUACAUCAAGGGUGAGGGUAGCUAGGUGGACAUGUACCUCAACAUGUCCAGUGAUGGCAAUGACGAUGAGGAGCACGAGCAUGACGUUUAUGAUAGUGCGGAACAAGACAUUGCAGAAUUGGAAGGUUCUAAUGAGGUGUGCUUCAUGUUGAUGAUCUGGUUGGCUUUUUUUCUUUGGUCACACCUUAGUUACCAUAGAACUUCGUCUCGGGAGAAGAUUGGAGGUGCUAUGGUGAUUGGAAUUUUAUUGCCUCCAAAUAUGAUUUCCAUCGAAUCAUAUCCCUUGUAUUUAUCUUCUUUUUAUUUGUGAGAGCAUCUUCUUUAUGCUUGCAAAACAAUUCAAGUGCACAUACUACACCUAGGGUGAUGAUUAGGAGUAGAAACAAUUGCCAACAAACGAACACCACAUCCUAAGAUUCUUAACUUGUGGUAUAAUUAGUCUAGUAAAAAGAAAGAUAAAAACCUAAUGGGUGUACGUGAGUGCAAUGCGUAUAUGCAUAUGAGUGGAAGGCAUAUAAGCAAAGAUAAUAUUUACACAUAGAUCUAAGCACCAUGUUUACAACUAAGUUGCUGAAUUUCUCCAUAGCUAUAGAGAUUAAUGAACCAAGGUCAAAACACCAUGUCUAUCCCAAGAUCAGUAAUUCUUUAUAGCACAAGAAAAAGAAAGCGCAUUGCAAAGUUUAUAAACCAACCAAUGCAGCAUGAAAACAAGAUGAAUAGCUAGCAAGGUUUAUUAAACUGAAUGAUGACGGUCUGCAAGCAAGUUUGAACACCAUCUUUACACAAGAUUGCAAAUGGAAAAUUCCCAUAUGAAGAACUAACAUGGAUAUGAAAUCAUUCAUCAUAAAGCGUAAAGAACAACCAAGCCAACCAUAUGCAAAGCAUGAAUGGAAUGCAAUGAAGGUGCAAGAGAACAUUUUUGGAUGAACCCAUUAUGAUGAUGGCAAAAUGCGCCGUGCCCCCCAGCCCCCGCGGUGAGAUCCCGCCGCUCGCUGCCGCCAGACCCUAUUAGGCCUCCACCGGCAGGUCCACCCACGGUCCCGCGCGACGUGGCAGCCUCUUGGCUCUCGGCGCUCGCGGCACGCCAGUGCUGGCGCAGCCCCACCAGGCGACUACCCUCCCCCCAUAAGGCCUCGGCCCCUCCCCAGCGCCGCCCCCCAACACCAGGACUGCCUGCUGCCCCCCACCGUGAGGUAAUCGAAAUCGACUGCUCAAUCUCUCAAUCUGUUGAUAUGAUGCACACGGUUGCAAAAAUAGAUGUGUCAAAAUAGAUGUUUUGCCAAUUGCUAUAGAUGCAUACGGUUGACAUGAAGUCAAAAAUGACAUUUGGUUCCUUGUAGGCAGUCAAAAAUGAAGAAGUCAAAAAAUAUUGAUCUGAAAUCAAUGUGGGAAAGGGCUAUGAAGACACGCAGGUAGAUUCCCUUGUGAACUUUUUAUGUCGUUCGUCUAAAUAAUUUUUUGCAAUGGGCAUACCCUACUCUGAAAUCCUGGGUCCGCCACUGAUGAUGAUGGUCUAAAAAUAAACCAAGCCUAGAUUAAUUAGCCACAACUGAAAUUAAGCAAAGGUUAAUGUCAUUGACCCUAGCUCUAUCCUAGCUUUUACCAAAGUUCCGGCACAUAUAGUGGUUGGGCCCACUCUCUCUGCUUCCCUCUCUGCUGCAUGCACGCACACGAGCAACGGGAGGCCCGACGAAGCCCAGAAGGGUUCGGCCGAACCAGUAUGAGCGCCGCUCCCUCCCAGCCUUCGCGCAGAUGCUCCUCCAACGUUCCUUGACCCCUCCCUCAGCGUCCCGUUGGGUUUAACAUUGCAGGAGAGGAGUCCCUUUUUUAAAAUCUCAACCACCUCCUCUCCCCAUUCACUCCACUCUCAUCUCCAUCAAACUCACCAAGAUCCGCACCGGAAAUCCCUGCUUACCACCAUGGCUGGCAAAGCCCUCAUCCCUUUCACCAACUUGGGCUUGACCACUGAUCUCGAUGGGGAAAUCACUCUGGCAAAUAUGCGUGUAACACUGCCCCCUUUGCCGAGGGUUAAAGCCAAAACACUCAGCAAAGUGGAUAGUACCCCCCUUUUUACCCGUUUUGUCAUGUAUAACGGACCCCUCUCAAUUCACAAUAGACAUCAUCAUAGGCAUUUAUAAUAAACAAUCACAGGCAUAAUUCACAAUCACCAUUACAAGCAUUAUUCAUAAAUAUCACAGACAUAAUCCAAAGUAAGCAUGAAACAAGCCAUAAAUCCAAGUUCAAGUCACAACUAAGUUUCAUCCAAGUUCAAGUCACAAAUGCAAUGUCUAAAUCCAUGGAGGCCAAGGAGACCACUGCGACAAAUCUUGGUCUUCAUUAUUCGAAGCCGCCGAUUGAUUCUGCACAUAGGAUAGGACAUUCUGAGCUAACAUCUAAAGUUGUCAAAAUUAAAGUAUUCAAUCUUAAGCACAAUGUGUCAAAUGACUCACAGGAGUAGUUGUGGGUGGCUGAGGCGGAGGGAACAGCAUCGAUGGCGGUGGCAAAGAUUGACCCAUGCUCGAAGCAAAAUUCUGCAUGUACUGGAACAUCUGGUCCAUCCUCAUCCGAUUUUCUUCCUCCAUCCUCUGCCGCUCGGCCUCUAACCUCCGCUGAACCAUCUGCUCCAUCCUCGCCGCCAUCUCCUCUUGUUGCUUCCUUGCUGCUUCCACCUGGGCCUACAAUAUUUCAUUGCAAUGUUACAAUGCAAAGCUAAAGUAUAGCAACCAACGAACAAUGAAUGGAAGAGAAAGAACCUGGAGAGCCUCCAUCUGGAACUGUCCAAUGGUUGGUCGUAGCCGUAUCGCCGGGCUCGAGUCCGUGCUCCUUGCUUGGAUCUGGGAGAGAGUGGCAGUAGAGGCCGUGUUGAUUACGCCGUCGCCAAUCCAAUAUCGGCCAUGCUUCUUGCCUCCUCCCACCCUCAUCACGAUUUCUCCAUCAAUAUCCUCAGAGCUUGAAUCGAAGUCUGGCCCGUGAACCUCCCUUGCCAUCACUGUAUAUUCCUUUGCCGAGUGCCCGAGAUAAAGCACUCGGCAAAUAGAAAACACUCGGCAACUUUACUGUUUCCCGUAGUGUCGCUAUUUUUGCAGGUUCUCGACCAGGCCAGUUCUUUGGGCCAACCUAUCAUUCACGACUUAAACAUACGGUGGCUGUAGAAAUGUUCUAUUCUUUUCAACAAUACCAGCUGGUUCCUCCGUUUUUAUUCCACCAAUACAAGCACCACCUUGUAACAUUUCCUAUGUUUUUUUUUCCUUUCGUCUGUUUUCUACAUGCGUUGCUCUUUCAUGCAUUUUUUUCCAUUCCUGUAUUCCAAAUAGGUCUACAUGAACACAAAAUGAACUAGGGGACAGAAAAAGCCAGUGAAGCCAAUUUUGAGCUUCACCAGCUACUUGCUACAUAAAGUGUGCUAUAGUGACGUGUUUUAGCAAAACAUGUUAUCAAUGACUUGACAUUGGUGACGUGUUAAAACGCGUUAUCUCAAUGGCAAAUCAUUGGUGACGUGUUUUAAAAAAACAUGUCACCGUGAGAGUCAUUGGUGAAGGGUAAUUAUAAUGCGUCACUAAUGUUGUAGCAUUAGUUAUGAUAAUUUAGUAACGCAAAAAUCUACCAUCAGUAUUGAGCUUUAGAGCCAUCGCUAAUGUGGGUUUCUUACAUAGUGAUGCAAGCUCUACAAGGUGCUGUUGCUGCCAUUUUAAAGCAUCCCAUGACUACAUGUUAAUAACAUAGUUUACCAUAUAUCAUAAAAAUAUUAGUUACAAUAAGCACAUACGCAUGUGGAAGAGUCCGAAUGCACCGGUUGAGGACUAAACACAUUGAAUUACUAGAACCAAAUGUGUGUUUAGAACAAAGACAGGGGUCAAGGUUUGGGUAACCGCAUUAAAAACAUUGGAUUUUACUGUACAUGAACACUUAGUUACCAUUACCAUGCCUUGAGCACCUAGUUACAACAAACAUUAAUUUAGCCACUUUAGAGCUUCCAGAAUCGCUAUAAAUAAUAUACCUACGCCGUACCAUGAAAACAUCAAGAAGAGAGACGGAUACAUGGACCACCAUCAAGCGAGUAGUGACAGCACGCACAAGAAUACCCGGAACCUGUUAGCUUGUCUGUAGUGAUCUGUUUUCUUCCCCAUAAAAUCCAUGAGUAUUGCCACAAAUAAUGAAAGAGGCUGACCAAGCUAGCAAGGAGGUAGAGCAAACGUGAUACACGGCCUGCCAAGAUUGCCCUGGAUACGCCAAUAAGAGCGACAGAUACAUGGAUCACACCAAUAUGGUGAAACGUAUAUUCAUCACACAAGCAAAGCUGGUCAGUUUAUCCAUGGUCAAAUUGUGGUCUUUGUUUUCACUUGAGAGCUAAUUGAGGCACUAUAAUAUGGGCAGGCCUAUCUUCAACAGACAUGACAGCUACAGGGAACUUGACAUAAUUUGCUGGGCCGCCUGUGCACAAUUAUUUGUUUUAUUGUCCUUGCAUAGAAUGCUAAAAUACUCUUUACAAAAUGUUGGAUCUAAUAUUUGAAAUAUAGAGUAGUAAUCAUAUAUUGAUCAACAACUUGAAAUUAUCUGUACAUUCUCGGUGAAGCUGUUGAACUAAUUUUUGCAAAUUAUUAAUUCAUCUCAUUACGUAAAGAAAAAAGUAAGUGGAUAAGAUAUUUCGUGGACCACAUCACUGCAAACAUGUCAUGGAGAGACAGACCAAGGAGGCAGGACGUGAUACACGACUUACCCUAGGUUGCCGUGGAACCGCCAAGAAGAGAUACAGAUACAUGGACCACACCAUCUUGGGAGUAGUGACAGCAUAUAUGCAGAAGAAUACCCCGUGCCUAUUUGCAUGCAUGUCUCAAGUGAUCUGUUUUCUUCAGAAAAUACAUGAGCAUUGCCAGAAAGAAUGGCAAGAGACAAACAUGUCAUAGAGACUUGCAUGUCUUGCCUUGGAUACGCCAAGAAGAGGGACACAUACAUGGAUAACACAAAUCUAGUGACACGUAUAUUCAUCACAAAGGCAAAUCUGAUAAUUUUAUCCAUGGAGCAGACCAAGGAGAAAUUGAUGACGGACAUGUGAUCUCUGUAUUCAGUUGAAAGCUAAUUGAGCUACACUAAUAUGAGCAGGACUAUAUUCAAGAGACUUGUUGAGAGCUACAGGGAACUUGUAAUAAUUUGCUGGGCGGCCUGCGCACAAUGAUUUGUUAUACAUAGUUGAAAUAUUUCAAGAAUUUAUCAACCUCAUACUCUGAAACCCUUGGUGCAAUGUACUCUGCUUUCCGAGGUAGACUGUUCACGUAAAAUGAGGUCAUGCGUAAGACGGAAUCGGAUUGGAUUCACAGGGAAUCAGAUUUGGAUAGCACCUUUUAGCAGGUUUUUAGUCAAAUGCAAAUUCGGAUCCACAUGUGGUUGAAUGCGAGUUCAAAAUUCUACUUGGAUAUCCAUUUAAUUUAGGUGAUAGCAAUUAGCACAAAAUGUUGGAUGAACAAAAUCAUAGUUAGACAUACAAUUACAUGUAUGGUUAAAGUAUAAUACAAUACACCAAGAUUAUUCCUUGAAAAUAUUUCUUAAAAAUAUUAUAAUAAAUGAAUAAAUAUAAUUGUGGCCACCAACAAAUAGUCGGUGGUCGCUAAGUUGGAGCCAUUUCUGGUUACUAAUGCGGCCUUCUCCUCGACCAGCGACGACAGCUGAGCUUGUUCCUUCUGACACUAAAUCAUCAGAGUCUUCCCUCCACUACUAUAGAAUGCACCUUUAGCACCAAUUGGGAAAUCCCCUUCAGUAUUGGAUGCUGCAACCAGUGCUAUAUAUCAAAAUGGAGACUAAAAGCCUCGGUCUUGGGUACCGGUUGCAUAACGCAUUACUAAAGGAGGCAAAAGAGAAAUGUAACAAAAAAAAUAUUUUGAAUUCCAAGAAUGUUUCACUAUUCAAGAUGACUAGCUGAGAGUCAACAGACAAGAUACUAGGAAUGUGGGUGCUUGAAUGCAUUUGUACAGAGGUCAUACUAUUUACAAACUCUUCUAUGUUUCCAUAUGACUACCUACUUCAAUGUCACGCGAGCCAUUCAGCUGGACACAUGGCACACUAGCUUGCAUGUCGAAUCCAUGAUUAAUUAUUUCCACUUGUGAUCUCUUACCAGUAUUUGUCCAGACUAGAAACGUGCAACACAUUUUUAGGAUAUGGACACGCAUAUAUUUGGACUAGUAUACAGGUCACCUUUGGAUGCGUACAAGGAUGACCGGGAGGGACUAGAAAUGGUCUAGUUUUGAUUGGACUACAAAACUUUUUGUACAGUGAAUAGAGAAUAUAUAUUAUUGUUGGAAUACGAGGUAGGCUACACUAUCGCAAUUCUGAUAUUCUACCGCGUAUAACCAAGAAGAACUGUCGUAUAAGGAUCACGGGAUUACCACUCGACGCACUACUGGUGCGGAAGAUGUAGAUAUGCGUCGAUGCAGUGAAGACGAUCACGUAGUCGUAUGUAGUCGAUCAACGUAGUCGUACAUAGUCGAUCACGUCCAGCAGCUCCUCAGCAGCUCGUCCACGUGCAGCAAGAUCGCCUCCGGUACCGCGGCUCGUCGUUGGCUUGUCGUGGCUCGUCGACGGCUCGUCGGCGGCUCGUCCAAGUGCUGCAGGCGCAACACCUCCAAGGUAUCCACACGUGCAGGGAGGAAGCGUCGCAAGCCGGACUGCUAGAUCCACGAGUUGCAACAGGCGAGGGCGUGGGAGGCGCGGCAGGUGUGUUUCGCCAAAAAGGUGUAAACCCUAGGGCGCCCCCACCCCUCUAUUUAUAGAGGUUCCUGACGGGCCUCUGGAUCCGAGGCCCAUUAGUACUUCUAAACCUAAUCCAACUCGGAUCAGAUCCGAAUUGGGCUUCCAGCCCCUUAAGUGUGUGACCCUAUAAGUUCGGAUACGUAUAGACAUGGCCCGAGUACUCCUACUCGGCCCAAUAGUCGGUAGCGGCCUCUAGCAAGACGUGCCAACUCCUAUACGCACACGAAGAUCAUAUCAGACGAACCAUCACAACAUAAUAUACAUGCUAUUCCCUUUGCCUCACGAUAUUUGGUCUAGCUUCAAGCCGACCGCUCUUUCUCAGUCCUGUGAUUCGGAAUCCCUUUGUAGGUUAACUCUUAACCGUACGUAGCAUGGCCAUGCAUUUUCGGAUCUGAUCACUCGAGGGGCCCAGAGAUAUCACUCUCAAUCAGAGAGGGGCAAAUCCCAUCUUGAUUGACCAUGUCUCAUAGCAUGCUUCUUGACAAACCUAAAAACUACCUUUAUAACUUCCCUGUUACGGCGUAGUGUUUGAUAGCUCCUAAGUAGGUCGAUCCACAUCUAGAAUACAUGCGACAAUUUCAGGUCUAAGGACAAAGCGUAUAUGUUGUUUAAAGAGAGAACUACUUCUCGUGUUGGGUCAGUCCCAGCACAUGUCUCCACAUGUGUCCACAUUAUUAGUUCAACAUCUCCAUGUCCAUGACUUGUGAAACAUAGUCAUCAACUAAUACAUGUGCUAGUCUAAUAUUCAUGUGUGUCCUCACAUGAACUCCGACUAGGGACAACUUUAGAAUAACCAUACAAGUAAAGAGUUUCACAUACAAUUCACAUAAUUGCAAAUCAAUUCAAGUAGCCUUCAAUGGAUAUUCAAUGAACACAACAUACAAAUCAUGGAUACAAAUGGAAUAUCAUCAUCUCUAUGAUUGCCUCUAGGGCAUACCUCCAACAGUCUCCCACUUGCACUAGAGUCAAUCUAGAAGGUACCUAAUACCCAUAGCUCUUACAUGCGCAUCAUGCUUAGCCUGCGGGAGUGGUUUUGUCAACGGAUCAGAAAUGUUCAGAUCCGUGUGUAUUUUGCAUAUCUUGAUCUCACCCCGGUUAACGAAGUCUCGAAUGAGAUGAAAUCGCCGCAUUACAUGUUUGUUCUUCUGGUGGUUCCUUGGCUCCUUUGCUUGCGCAAUUGCCCCAUUGUUAUCACAGUAGAGAUUCAAUGGGCUGGACCCAUUCGGGAACACACCAAGCUCAAUGAGGAAAUUCCUUAUCCAAACACCUUCCUUCGCGGCUUCCGAAGCCGCGAUGUACUCGGCUUCUGUCGUAGAAUCGGCCACCGUCUCCUGCUUGGAACUCUUCCAACUAACAGCACCACCAUUUAGCGUGAACACAAAUCCUGUUUGUGACUUUGAAUCAUCUCUGUCGGUUUGGAAACUAGCAUCGGUGUAACCUGUUACAACGAGCUCCUCCUCACCUCCAUAGACGAGGAAUAUAUCUUUAGUCCUUCUCAAGUACUUAAGAAUGUUUUUCACCGCUGUUCAGUGACUCUCACCUGGAUCAGAUUGGUGUCUGCUUGUCAUACUUAGCACAUAUGAAACAUCUGGGCGAGUACUUAUCAUUGCAUACAUGAUAGAUCCAAUAGCCGAGGCAUAUGACACUCUACUCAUGUGAUCCCGCUCAUCAGCAGUCGAAGGACACUGAGUCUUGCUGAGAUGUAUGCCAUGUGACAUAGGCAAGAACCCUUCCAUGCUGAACCGCUUCAACACUUUGUCAAUGUAAGUAUCUUGGCUUAAACCUAUAAGCCUUCUCGAUCUAUCUCUAUAGAUCUUAAUGCCCAGAAUAUAUGCCGCUUCCCCUAAGUCCUUCAUCGAAAAACUAUUUUUCAGUGAAGUCUUUAUGGACUCAAGCAUAGGAAUGUUAUUUCCAAUCAGUAAUAUGUCAUCCACAUAUAAGAUUAGAAAUACUACAGAGCUCCCACUAACCUUCUUGUAAACACAAGACUCUUCUUCGUUCUUGGUGAAGUCAAACCCUUUGACCACUUCAUCAAAACGAAUGUUCCAACUCCUAGAUGCUUGCUUCAAUCAAUAAAUGGAUCUCUGAAGCUUGCAUACCUUUCCAGCAUUUUUCGGAUCGACAAAACCCUUGGACUGUAUCAUAUACACGUCCUCAGUUAGGUUUCCAUUCAGGAAAGCUGUCUUGACAUCCAUCUGCCAUAUCUCAUAAUCGAAAUAUGCAGCCAAACUUGAUUGUCUCCCAUGGACUCUAUUUCGGAUUGCAUGGCAUUCUGCCAUUUUUCGGAGUCUGGGUCCAUCAUUGCUUCUGCAUAUGUCACAGGCUCAUCAUUGUCCAACAAUAAUAUUUCCUGCAUUUCGCGGAGCCUUGCCGACCUUCGUGGUUGUGGCGGUGCUUCUCUUGCCAUGGGUAUCUCAACUUGUUCUGCUACGUUAGCAUCACUCAUUGAUUCUUGCCCGAUCGGCUCAUCUUGAACUUCUUCAAGAUGCACUGUCUUUCCACUCUUUUCUCCUUUGAGAAACUCUUUCUCUAGGAAAACCCCGUUCCGAGCGACAAACACUUUGCCUUCUGAUCAGUUGUAAAAAUAAUAUCCCAAAGUUUCCUUUGGAUAUCCCACGAAAAUGCACUUAUCCGACUUGGGUGCGAUCUUGUCCGACUGAAGUCGCUUGACAAACACAUCACAUCCCCAAAUCUUUAGAAAAGACAAACUAGGAACCUUUCCAGUCCAUAUCUCAUAUGGUGUCUUAACUACGGAUUUAGAUGGUACCCUAUUAAGUGUGAAAGCUGCUGUUUCUAGAGCGUAUCCCCAAAAUGACAACGGUAGGUCCGACUGGCUCAUCAUUGAUCGAACCAUGUCUAACAAAGAUCGAUUACGUCGCUCGGACACACCGUUUCUCUGAGGUGAUCCAGGCGGCGUAAGUUGUGGAACAAUUCCGCAACUCUUUAGAUGAUUGCUAAACUUGUGGCUCAAAUACUCGCCUCCACGAUCAGAUUGUAAGGCCUUAAUUUUCUUGACACGCUAAUUUUCAACUUCAUUCUGAAAAUCCUUGAACUUUUCAAAGGUUUCAGACUUGUGCCUCAUCAAGUAGACAUAGCCAUAUCUACUAAAAUCAUCAGUGAAAGAUAUGAAGUAUUGGAAUCCUCCUCUAGCCGUCGUGCUCAUUGGUCCGCAUACAUCACUAUGUACGAGUUCCAACAAGUCUACUGCUCUCUCAGGAAAUCCUGUGAAAGACGUCUUGGUCAUCUUGCCUAGCAAGCAAGCCUCACAUGUCUCGUAUGAUUCAAAAUCAAACGAAGUUAGAAGUCCAUCAGAAUGGAGCUUCUUCAUGCGUUUUUCACUUAUAUGACCCAAACGACAAUGCCACAAGUAGGUAGGACUCAAAUCAUUAGGCCGAGGCCUUUUAGCACUUACAUUACAGACAGGUGAACCAUCAAGAUUUAAAACAAAUAAUCCAUUCACAAUGGGUGCAAAAGCCAUAAACAUAUUAUUCUUAGAGAUCACACAACCAUUGUUUUCACUCGCAAAUGAAUAACCAUCCUUCAUCAAGCAUGAAGGAGACAAAAUGUUUCGACUUAAACUAGGAACAAAAUAACAAUUAUUCAACUCCAUAAUAAAUGCUGACGGGAGGUGGAGUUGCAUCGUCCCGACGGUCAACGCAGCAACUCUUGCAUUAUUGCCCACGCGGAAAUCAACUUCUCCUCUUUCCACGCUUCUACUUCUUAUCAUUCCCUGCAUCGAAUUGCAAAUAUGAGCAACCGAUCCGGUAUCAAAUACCCAAGAAUUAAUAAUUGUAUCAGCGAGAAAUAUGUUGUCUAUGACAUUAACAACAAGCGUACCUGAGGUAGAAGUACUCUUACUUCCUCCAUUCUUCAACGAAGCUAGGUACUGCUUGCAGUUUCUCUUCCAGUGACCAAGUUCAUGACAGUAAAAGCACUCUUUGUCUGGAGCAGGUCCAGGUCCAGCUUUAACCUUGGGCGCUCGCUGGGUUUGGCUUGGAAAUUCCAGCCUUGCCCUUCUUCUUCCAAGAAUUGCCCUUCUUCUUAAAGCUAGGCUUGUUCUGUAUAGCCAUCACAUGGCUAGUACAAGCGCUUUUCUUGAUGUCUACCUCUGCUGUCUUGAGCAUACCACACAGUUCAUUCAAACCCUUCUCCGUCCCAUGCAUAUGGUAGUUCGAGAUGAAGUUCCCAUAGCUAGGCGGAAGAGAUGAAAGAAUGAAGUCAGUGGCCAACUCUUUGCCCAUUGGGAAGCCCAGCUUCUCCAAUCGCUGAGUGUAACCAACCAUGUUGAUUACAUGUGGUCCUACUGCUGCGUCUUCUGCUAGCUUGCACUCCAGAAAAGCUUUGGACACAUUGAACCUUUCAGUCCUAGCCUGUGUCUGGAACAUGUCCUUGAGCGCCACGAUCAUAUCGUGUGCCUCAUGAUUUGUUUCGAACUGCAUCUGCAGCUCGGGUUCCAUGCAAGCAAGCAUAAGGCAGCUUACCUCAAGAUUAGCAUCAAAUGCCUUCUUGUAAGCAGCCUUAACGGCAGCAGAUGCAUCAUCAGCAGGUACUGGUGGUAGUGGGGUAUCUAGAACAUCUUCCUUUUUAUCGGCCCUGAGAACAAUUCUCAGGUUACGGAUCCAAUCCGAGUAGUUUGUUCCAUUCAACUUGUCCUUCUCAAGGACCGAGCGCAAAGCAAACGAUGUGGUGGUGUUGCUAGGUGCCAUUUAAUCUACAACAAAAGUAAUGCAAAAUACACUAAGACAAACGUAUCCAUGAUAGAGCAAAUUACAUUAAACUAUUUUAACAGAAUCUACUCCCACUAAAAUCAAUAUCCCUCUAUUGAAACUUAGUGAUUCAGGAUCCACAACUAACAAGUCUACUAGUGAGCUUUAGCAUCACCGCUAGCAAACGAGGUAGAUCGGUAAGCAACUUUUGCUAAUCAUAUCACAUAUGACUCCUGUUGUUGGGUGACAUCUCCAUGUCUCGGCGCCCAACCAUUAUGCCCCAAGGUCCUUAACCGUUAAGAUGACCUCGUUAAGCAAACCAACCCUUAUGCGUGUAAGUGUCCGACACAAACCCGUCUAGUCAAGGAAAACUAGUGGCACCCUAAUUUCAUAGACCCACCACUAAUUGUACAAGACAUGGGACGGUGCAAGUUUUAGUUGGGAGGGCAUACUAACUUAAAUUUUUUGUGAGGGAUCGUUCUACUUCUAACAUCACAGCAUGCAGAAAGUAAAACAUAAACAGAAUAGCAUUCACACAGCUGUGACACAGUAUGGCCCGUUUUUAUAUGGUGAUCUCCAUCUCCAUAGAACCUGUUCACCAUGGUGAUCUCCAUCUCCAUGUUCCAUGUGCGCCAUCCUCCUGGUGAGGAGUCCUCCAAGAACUAGAACAUGCUAUUACACCUAAUAGCUAGUAAAGAAUCUAGUAAUGAAGAUUACAUAGUUGCUUGGAUCAUCACAGAUUGGUACGCAGACCAUUAAAUACAAUAAAGUGACAACACAUAUGGCUCCUGCCGUGUUGCCGUACGCGCGACACGCAGGUCACGAAUGAGUUACACACAUGCAUCACAUACACAAGGGGGCCAUACUGAUCACAAGAUACAUACAUACAUCCUGCAAAACAGAGUUAGGCGUCCUAACGUUCCAAACUUCGAAGGCCCGAAACUCCAUCUUCCAAGCCGAAUUUGGGAAAUCUAAUUUUGCCGAAAACGGCAAAGCGGUUGAAUUUCAUGUGUAACUUUUUCUGUAGAUCAAUUUUCAUAUAAAAUUCGCCCCGAUCCGAGAUCGUACCGAAAAGUUACGGCUGAUUUACCGAAGCAUACGCAUACGGCAAAAAUUCCGACCCCGGCAGUAGAUCCCAUCUACUAUUGCACAUCUAAUGCGCCUGGCGUAUGAUCCUGGAUUUCGAUUCGACCAAUCAUAUUGAUCUUCGCUCACUGCAACUGGAAUUACGUGUAUCACUUAACUCGUCGGCGGCUCGUCGGCGGCUCAUCCAAGUGCUGCAGGCCCAACACCUCCAAGGUAUCCACACGUGCAGGGAGGAAGCGUCGCAAACCGGACUGCUAGAUCCGCGAGUUGCAAUAGGCGAGGGCGUGGGAGGCGCCGCAGGUGUGUUUCGCCAAAAAGAUGUAAACCCUAGGGCGCCCCCACCCCUCUAUUUAUAGAGGUUCCUGACGGGCCUCUGGAUCCGAGGCCCAUUAGUACUUCUAAACCUAAUCCAACUCGGAUCAGAUCCGAAUUGGGCUUCCAGCCCCUUAAGUGUGUGACCCUAUGGGUUCGGAUACGUAUAGACAUGGCCCGAGUACUCCUACUCGGCCCAAUAGUCGGUAGCGGCCUCUAGCAAGACGUGCCAACUCCUAUACACACACGAAGAUCAUAUCAGAUGAACCAUCACAACAUAAUAUACAUGCUAUUCCCUUUGCCUCACGAUAUUUGGUCUAGCUUCAAGCCGACCGCUCUUUCUCAAUCCUGUGAUUCGGAAUCCCUUUGUAGGUUAACUCUUAACCGUACGUAGCAUGGCCAUGCAUUUUCGGAUCCGAUCACUCGAGGGGCCCAGAGAUAUCACUCUCAAUCAGAGAGGGGCAAAUCCCAUCUUGAUUGACCAUGUCUCAUAGCAUGCUUCUUGACAAACCCGAAAACUACCUUUAUAACUACCCUGUUACGGCGUAGCAUUUGAUAGCCCCUAAGUAGGUCGAUCCACAUCUAGAAUACAUGCGACAAUCUCAGGUCUAAGGACAAAGCGUAUAUGUUGUUUAAAGAGAGAACUACUUCUCGUGUUGGGUCAGUCCCAGCACAUGUCUCCACAUGUGUCCACAUUAUUAGUUCAACAUCUCCAUGUCCAUGACUUGUGAAACAUAGUCAUCAACUAAUACAUGUGCUAGUCUAAUAUUCAUGUGUGUCCUCACAUGAACUCCGACUAGGGACAACUUUAGAAUAACCAUACAAGUAAAGAGUUUCACAUACAAUUCACAUAAUUGCAAAUCAAUUCAAGUAGCCUUCAAUGGAUAUUCAAUGAACACAACAUACAAAUCAUGGAUACAAAUGGAAUAUCAUCAUCUCUAUGAUUGCCUCUAGGGCAUACCUCCAACAAUUAUUUCAUGUAAAUUUUUGACAAUUUUUUAAAAUUGUUUGAUAUUUUUUAAAUUUUUUUUAAAAUAACUUUGCCGAGUGUCCUAUUGUAGACACUCGGCAAAGCAGCCUUCACCGAGUGUUACCCCUGGGACACUCGGCGAAUUAAUGCCCGGCCGCUCAAGAAUAUGUGCCCGGCCCCCUCACUCUCCCGGCCCCCCUCACUCUCACUCCCCUCACUCCCUCCUCUCUCCCUCCUCUCUCCCUCUCGCCGCCGCCCGAAACCCCCGCCGCCGCCCGCCGCCCGGCAUGCCGCCCAGCGCCCCCCGCCGCCGCCCGGCGCUCCCGAAUCCGCCGCCGCCCGCCCGGCGCCCGGCCCCCGGAUCCGCCGCCGCCGGCCGCCCGGCGCCCCCGGAUUCGCCGCCGCCCGCCCGGCCCCCGGCCCCCGGAUCAGCCGCCGCCCGCCGCCCGGCGCACGGCGCCCCCGGAUCCGCCGCCGCCUGCCCGGCGCCCGGCCCCUGGCCCCCUGAUCCGCCGCCGCCCGCCCGGAUCCGCCGCCGCCCGCCCGGCGCCCGGCCCCCGGCCCCCGGAUCCACCGCCGCCCCCCCGGCCCCCGGAUCCGCCGCCCGCCCGUCCCCUCCACCGGAUCCGCCGGCGCCGGGGCCUGAAGAGAAGAGAAGAGGAGAGGAUGGUGGCGGCGGCGGCCGCGGCGGCGGAGCAGGUGGCAGAGCAUGCAUGAUUUUUUUUUAUUUUUUCAAUAAUUGUUCGCCAAGUGUUUUCUGGGCACUCGGCAAAGUCUUUGCCGAGUGCCCGACACAAAACACUCGGCGAACCAGUGUUUGCCGUCAAGAUUUUUGCCGUGUGUCGUUUGCCGAGUGUUACACUCGGCAAACGCUUUGUCGAGUGUUUUUGGGGUUUCGCGGAGUGACCCUGGCACUCGGCAUCACGCAUGUUUCCCUUAGUGAACUUGAAAUUAUCUGUACAUUCUCGGUGAAGCUGUUGAACUAAUUUUUGCAAAUUAUUAAUUCAUCUCAUUACGCAAAGAAAAAAGUAAGUGGAUAAGAUAUUUCGUGGACCACAUCACUGCAAACAUGUCAUGGAGAGACAGACCAAGGAGGCAGGACGUGAUACACGACUUACCCUAGGUUGCCGUGGAACCGCCAAGAAGAGAUACAGAUACAUGGACCACACCAUCUUGGGAGUAGUGACAGCAUAUAUGCAGAAGAAUACCCCGUGCCUAUUUGCAUGCAUGUCUCAAGUGAUCUGUUUUCUUCAGAAAAUACAUGAGCAUUGCCAGAAAGAAUGGCAAGAGACAAACAUGUCAUAGAGACUUGCAUGUCUUGCCUUGGAUACGCCAAGAAGAGGGACACAUACAUGGAUAACACAAAUCUAGUGACACGUAUAUUCAUCACAAAGGCAAAUCUGAUAAUUUUAUCCAUGGAGCAGACCAAGGAGAAAUUGAUGACGGACAUGUGAUCUCUGUAUUCAGUUGAAAGCUAAUUGAGCUACACUAAUAUGAGCAGGACUAUAUUCAAGAGACUUGUUGAGAGCUACAGGGAACUUGUAAUAAUUUGCUGGGCGGCCUGCGCACAAUGAUUUGUUAUACAUAGUUGAAAUAUUUCAAGAAUUUAUCAACCUCAUACUCUGAAACCCUUGGUGCAAUGUACUCUGCUUUCCGAGGUAGACUGUUCACGUAAAAUGAGGUCAUGCGUAAGACGGAAUCGGAUUGGAUUCACAGGGAAUCAGAUUUGGAUAGCACCUUUUAGCAGGUUUUUAGUCAAAUGCAAAUUCGGAUCCACAUGUGGUUGAAUGCGAGUUCAAAAUUCUACUUGGAUAUCCAUUUAAUUUAGGUGAUAGCAAUUAGCACAAAAUGUUGGAUGAACAAAAUCAUAGUUAGACAUACAAUUACAUGUAUGGUUAAAGUAUAAUACAAUACACCAAGAUUAUUCCUUGAAAAUAUUUCUUAAAAAUAUUAUAAUAAAUGAAUAAAUAUAAUUGUGGCCACCAACAAAUAGUCGGUGGUCGCUAAGUUGGAGCCAUUUCUGGUUACUAAUGCGGCCUUCUCCUCGACCAGCGACGACAGCUGAGCUUGUUCCUUCUGACACUAAAUCAUCAGAGUCUUCCCUCCACUACUAUAGAAUGCACCUUUAGCACCAAUUGGGAAAUCCCCUUCAGUAUUGGAUGCUGCAACCAGUGCUAUAUAUCAAAAUGGAGACUAAAAGCCUCGGUCUUGGGUACCGGUUGCAUAACGCAUUACUAAAGGAGGCAAAAGAGAAAUGUAACAAAAAAAAUAUUUUGAAUUCCAAGAAUGUUUCACUAUUCAAGAUGACUAGCUGAGAGUCAACAGACAAGAUACUAGGAAUGUGGGUGCUUGAAUGCAUUUGUACAGAGGUCAUACUAUUUACAAACUCUUCUAUGUUUCCAUAUGACUACCUACUUCAAUGUCACGCGAGCCAUUCAGCUGGACACAUGGCACACUAGCUUGCAUGUCGAAUCCAUGAUUAAUUAUUUGCACUUGUGAUCUCUUACCAGUAUUUGUCCAGACUAGAAACGUGCAACACAUUUUUAGGAUAUGGACACGCAUAUAUUUGGACUAGUAUACAGGUCACCUUUGGAUGCGUACAAGGAUGACCGGGAGGGACUAAUGGAUACAAGGAAGGGACCAUCAGGAUUAAUAUUGACAUAUGCCACAUGACAAUCUUCAUUGUCAUGCAAUCCCUAUCAACAAUCAUGGAAUCCCUAGUGUACUAAUCCCUGGAGGGUUGUGUGGAAAUUUAUUUUACCUUGCGGUGAAAAUCUCAUGAGCAGUCAUUAGUUAAGCUGACUAGCUGAGAUAUAAUAGACAAGCUAGUAAGAUUGGGAGCAUCAAUGCAUCCAUACAGGGUCACAAUAUCCUUUCCAUUCACUUUUAUAUAUAACCCUACGAAUACAAGUCCAACGAAAUGCGGGCCUUUCGAUCAAGAUAAAUUAAAUGGCCCACUUGUAUUUCUAAUCCAGGAUUAACUAUGCCCUCUGUUCAUCUCUUGCAAGCACGUGCAACACAUUUUCACGAUAUGGACAUGCAUGGAGGUUAUUAUACUGUUUGGACAAACUCUGAUGUGCCAUGACCUAAAUGCUUAGGGCCUGUUUGGUUUGAGUUGCUUAUUAUAAGCAACUUAAAGUUGCUUAAAGUUGCUUAUUUGAAGUUGCUUAUUUUUAGUCUAAACUGUUUGGAUACCCUUGCUUAUGAGCAUUGAAUGAGUUGGACAUUGUCAAAUUUGCCCCAUGUGUUGCUACCCCUCCAAUUUGCCUCCCCACCCUUCUUCUUCCUGCACACGUCCGAUCCCGGGGGCCGACGGCGGGCAGGGAGCAGCAGCAGCUGGCCAGGGCGGCGGUGGGGCGGGAGCGGCGGCGCACACCAGCACGCGCUCGCACGCCAGGUGCUAGGGCGCGGCGAGGCAGUCGUCGUAGCCCACCGGGAGCGGGUGCUCGGGCGCGAGGCGGUACUCGACGGAGAUGCCGAGCGUCGGGCGCGCGGCGGCGAGCGCGUUGAGGAAGCGAUGGUAGUGCGGCGACGUCGCGGACUCCGCCACGAAGCCGCCGCCGUGGACGUACACCACCACGGGCAGCUUCGUCUUGCCGUCGGCGGCCGCGGCCGCGGCCUGGGGUGGCAGGUAGAGGCGGACGGAGCAGGAGCCGAGGUCGACGUCCCUGGAGUCGACGCCCGUGGCGGCGUCCAGGCUAGGCCCGACCGGCGGCGGCACGAGCGGGCGCUCGAUGCGGCCGCUCUUGUAAAUCCGACGGGUCUGUGCGGAGGCGGGCGGCGGGCGGGAGCGGCGGGUGGGAGCGGCGGCAGGUGGUGCGGAGGCCGGCGGCGGCGGGUGGCGCGGAGGAAGGGGAGCUGGUGAGUGGUGACAGGGGAGGGGGGGAGAGAGAGGGGGGGGUAGGGUGCAUUGAAUGAGGGCAGGAGGUGUAAAGUGCACCUUUUAGUCCCCAUGAGCAACCAUAAGCAGCCCAAGAGUUGCUUAUUUGCUUAUAAUAAGCAACCUCAUAAGCAAGAGUGAUUGGUUUCAUAAGCAACUUAUUUGCUUAUUUUAAGUUGCUUAUGCAUAAGCAUGUGAAACCAAGCAGGUCCUUAACCUAUGGUUGUGGCACCACACAGUACAUAGUAUUUAAUAAUGCUAUUCGUUUGGUAUGUGCACAAGGGCACGCAUGAAAUGUCUGGCCCACGGUAAACAAGUACGGACGCUGCAAAUAAUCUACUCUGCUCGUCCAGUCCCUAGCCUAUAAAUAGAUGCCAUGCUAGCUCUUGUUGUGCUCACAAUUAAUCCUGACUACACACGAGCUUCUCUCCCUGGCCAAGACACAAUCAUAGUAUGAUGAAGAACAUGGCACUAGCCGGCAAUGGUAUGAAGAACUUAAUCCUCGCUGUUCUCUUACUGUGUCUAGUUAUAGGGCAGAUACAAGUGGAAGCUAAGAGCUGCUGCCCAUCCAUUACUGCAAGAAAUAUCUACAAUGCCUGCCGUAUCACGGGUACAUCCCGUCCAACGUGUGCAAAACUGUCAGGCUGCAAAAUUAUCAGCGGGGACAAAUGCAAGCCCCCUAACGACCACCUCACCCUUGACCCGGACACUGGUAAAUAAUAAAUUUAUCUCACUUGAUUUCUUCGUGUUUUGAGUCGUUAAUGUAUUUUCCAUCUGAUGAAACGUAUUGGUUUUGCAUUGAAGAGGAAGUUAAUGUGCUUAACUUCUGCAAGUUGGGGUGUGCGUCGUCUGUGUGCAACAACAUCAACGCUGGUAAGCACCUUUUGCUCAGACGGAGAAAACAAUAAUCAUUAAUUAGCGGCAGCUAGAAUCCUAUAAUCUAAUAUAUUUAUAUAUAUAUAUAAUUUUAUCAGCUCUGGGAAAUGAAGAGGCGAACGAUGCCGUUGAGAGUUGCGACCAAGCCUGCUCUAGCUUCUGCAACGUGCACGUUGGCGCUGCCACCGUGGUUGCUUAAGCAAAUGCAUCCAACUGGAUCGUCCUUGUGCUAAAUAAUUGGAUAUCGUAUCCACUUAAAGCUGCCUUGUGUAGUACGUUUUUGUUUGUGUCUCUCUUUAUAUUCCAAUAAGGUCGGUGAUCUUGAUGCCACACACUCAGACGUGUGUUCAUCUCCAGAUACUACUCCAUGCUACCUGCCCUUUGUGUUUUGUUCAAUAACUGGGUAUCAUAUCCCAGCCAGUGUGCCAUCUGUUUUGUGUUUAUUUCCUUCUAGUUUCAAAGGGGUUAUCAUGAUGUUACCUUCUUUCGAUAUGGUGCUUUGCAUGACUACUGUUGUAUGGUACCAUCUUGUUGGCCAAUAAAUACAUCUUAUCCUAUGACCCUUUGCUAUGACCCUUUGCAAAUAAGUACAAGAUUGUUAAAUACUCGGUAUAAAUUGACUACUGCUGUGAGUUCCCUUUCAGCUUAUCGUAGGCAUACAUUAUUGCUAGCACGGUGAAGACAACCAACACGAAUGGUCAAGUAAACGUACCG